rnacentral:lncRNA from 1 species
ACAACCUAUUUCCAUUUGUUUCAAGCUUACUGCAACAAACCCUUCAACGCCACGGACAACAUUCCUCUGAAAAUGCUGCGCUACAGAGCAUAUAUUCCAAAUUAUUGUUCAGAUAAAACCAUACAAACCAUCAUAAUUAUUCAACAUACAUUAAGCUCCGUUUGGUAAAUACUUGCAACUUCAGUCCAGAAAAUACAGUUAAUUUUUAUUUAAAAAACAUCAUAAUUAUCAACAUACAUAUUUGACAAAAUUAUUAUUUAAAAAUCAUAACUAAUUACCAAAAGCCACAAUAAAUCAAUAUCAAACAGUCUUAUUAUUAGCUAAAGGAGGAUAGUACCUUAGCUGCCCUGGUGGAAUUGUAUAGAUUUUGAAGUUGUUGGUGACACUCAAUUUCAGAUUCAUCAACAUUUUCAAUACCAAGAUGGAGCAGAUGCUUCAAUACUGCCUGUACAAACCAUAAAAAACUAAUGAAAAAUAAAUAAAAUCGAGAAAUUUCACUAAAUAAAAGUCUAAAUAUAAUUUUUAAAAAAAGAAAAGAAACGGACUUGCUGCUGCUUGGCGACUUGUUCUCGGAGCUUGAUUGCCUGUUUCUUGAUAGCUUCCAUACUGUUUCUUUCAAAAAGCGACGACGGCUCAGCUCAUGGAGGUGGAAAAAAAAAAGUGUGAUGGAGAAAAAUAAAAAGGCAUGAAUAAUUUUUGACAAAAAGCGAAAAUCAAGGAAAGCCAGCUCUUUCCAGAAAAAUAAAAAAGAAAAAAGAAAAUUAUAAGUUUGAAAGGAGAAGAUGAUAGUGGAAGUGUGCGGUGUGGCUGCCAGCUACUUGGAUUUUACUGUUGGGUAAGGUAAUAGUAGAGAAUUUUUUUUUUUUUUUAAGAAAAAUAGUAGAGAAUUUUUUAAGAAGCUAGAACAGAGCAUGACAUUAGACUUUUGUGGACCAAAUUCAAAAGCCGAAUGGCACGGCCCAGAAGCUUUUGAAUAGAAAAACUUGCAUCAGCCUCAAUCACUUCUUAAUCGCUUGCUUUAACUGCAUCGCUCUCUCUGUGCUCUUCUAUAUAUGUAACGGUUAUGCGGUUGUAGUUCACGACUGAGGCUACGUGUUGGUUUGACGUGGCAGUUACGUUACUAGGGGAUAAAUAAGAUUGGUUUCAACAAACCCACUAAUUUUAUAAAAUUCGAGUAAUAUAGAAUAAAAUAAAAAAAAUAAAUACAAAAUUGGCUUUUAUUUUUUCUGGUUGACUGUAUUUUGUGUUCUCUUCCGGCACUACUACAAUUGUUCCCUAUAUAUUAGUCACACCCAUAUGUCAUUAACACAAGAAAUGAAAUCUAAUGUCACCUAUUUAGUUAAAGAAUCACUUAUGAAAAAAUUUUACCAUUUUGAUUUGAGGAUCCAUAUUUUGAACUGCAAACUAAUGUUCAUCAAGAACAGAGUAUGACUUAUGUGUAGAAAAUUUUAUGAUUUUGGCCCGAAAUAUAAGGAAAUUAAAUUAGAUGAGAAUCUGCCACUUUCUCAUGAAGAAAGGCAUGCGGAGCAUACCAUGGUACCAUACGGAGAAUAUUAGAACCUCCCUAGAAUAUCUUUACCCUGAUGUUUCUAACAAAAAUCUGCAUGUGGCAGCAAUUACUAGAUCUACAAUUUCCCAAAUAAUAUUUUGUGUUUCUUAAAAAAUUUGAAAUACAUAGUUGCACUUGCACACCGUGAGACAGUGCUACAAUCUACUGAGAUCUAAAUUAUAUGAGACUUUAAGCUACUAAUGUUUGCAUAUUUCUACAUGUCAAAUUAACAUUACCAUCUAUAAUCCUAAACGACAGAUGAUAAACGGCUUUUGGCCACUUAUUACUAGCAUCCACAAUUAAUUUUUGUUCAGCAAUCAGCUUAUUUUAUAGAAAUUGAUUUAGUCAGCAACAAACACUAUAAUACUUGAAAUUAGUUCUUGUUCUUUGUAAUUUUCUAUGAUUUUUCAUAUAUCAAUUAAUCUGCAGUGCCAAGAUGAGGUUUAGUUUUCAAACUAAAUAAUCAAGUAAGCAAAAAUACAAAUUCAGAGAUUAGCGGGGUAAACUAGCUGGGUGGUUUAGAACUGGGCUAGCUACCUCCCUGUAUUCCUAUUUGUAAGGUGAAUUAAUUGAAUCAUGAGAAAACAAUGUGACCAUAGCUCAAUAUGAGAUGAUUUCGGAGAGGCAUAUUGUUUUCGAGUGAAUUUGAUCCAUUAAGAGAUGAAGUGGAUUGAAGUGGAAAGUUUAAAUAACAAAUCCUUGUUCUUGAGUUUUACGACGUCGUUACUCCUUCAGGUGGCAGAUUAUGCAAGUGAAUUCAAAAACACAAUGCAUCAAUCACGGGGACAAAAGACGGGAUCACAGUCUAUGCAUUGAACAGUUACAGUUGCUGCUACCAAUUGUUCGGCAAAGAUCAAGAAGACUGAACGGGAAGCUAAUGCCAUCAAUGUCGUCUUCACUAUAUCUGCUGGGAAUGUAGGUGAACUUUCCUCAUUUGCAGCUGUCUAUACAUAGGCUUUUCCCCAGCUUAAGUACAAAUAAAUGAAGCUGCCUUGAAGGCUUUAUUAUUGACCCCAAUAAGGAUUACUAAUUGAAGAAGACUAUACGGAGUUAAUCUCACAUUUUAGUUCUCUCAAUUUCUUUCAGAAGUGCCUCUGAAAAUAGCUGCCAAACCGUUAGUCAGCUUGUAUACUCUGUUUUCUGGAAACAGAGUAGCAUAUUUAAUCGUUUUAAUUGAAUUGUCUUCGUAGCGAUCAUCAACAAACUCAUCAUAAGAUUUUUGAAGCACCCAAGGACUAUCACUGGGUUUCUCUUCUGGUUGAUUUAUUAAUUAAUCAAAGAACGGUUGGAUGAAGUGCAAUGAUGGAGCAAAAUUUACAAUGUCUCCGGUUUCUCCUGACCAUCGGACUUUUGCAGUGAGAACAUAUAACAAAAAGACCUUCAUCAAAAUUUGUAGACUCCGGGUAUGGAUUGGAUCGAGUUUUUUGUUUGAUAUUGAAGAACCACUUUACUAUCGCGAUAUAGAUUAUGUGCAAGGGGUUGUCUACUGUUCUUUGCCUUGUGCUAUGAUCGGUGCUUUUGACGUUGCCCCGAAACAGUGGAAAAUACUUCGAUUUCCUCCGUUUGAUGAUGCAAAGAACUGGUUAAUGUACGAUUACCUAAUUGACUCAGGAUCAAGUAACAACAACAAUUUAUUAAUAGUAGUAUCACAAACGAAGAAGAUUUCGGAGAGGGUGAUGUAUGCCUAUACCGUUUACAGGUUUGAUCCACAGGGGAUGAAGUGGUCUCAAGUGGAAAGUGAUUUAUUAAACAACAAAUCAUUGUUCUUGGGUCAUACCUCAUGAUGUCAUCAAGUGGAAGAUGAAGAUUAUGCAAGACGAAGAUCGUUUGAUAUUGAAGAAUUUGAACAGAAAGCCCAUAGAAAGUACUUAAAUAAGCAUAUUCUUGUUGGGGUAGAAUAUUAAGAAAGGAGUUGUCUACUGUGUGUUGCGUGAUUAGGCUAUGAUCUGUGCUUUGAACAUUGCCCUCAAAACAGUGGAAAAUACUUCAUAUCCUCGACAUGAUGAUGAAAAAUUGGUUACCGAUUACCUAAUUGACUCAGUGACAACAAUCUAUUAAUAGCACAAUUUGGCGUGAUGCCGUUUAGGUAUAUGGUUUUCAAGUUUGAUUCAUCAGUGAUGAAGUGGACUAAAAUAAGAUGUUUAAAUGAUAAGUCAUUGUUCUUGGGCAUAUCGUCAUUACUACUUCUAGUGAUCAAAGAUGAAGAUGAAGAUGAAGAUGAAGAUGAAAAUUGUGCGAGUUCAAGAUUACCAUCAACUCAAUUUUAUGAUUGGAGUGUCUCACCGUGACUCAGACAAAUUCUGAUUCAACCUCCUUCACCAAUGGAUUUUGAUUAGUUAUUUUGUGAUCAAGCAACUUAAUUAAACUCACAGUUUGUUAGUCUAAUUUUAGUUUUACUGUGACCACUAUUCAAGGUAAGCGAAAGUUACAGAUGUGGCAAAAUCAAUAAUUAAAUUCAUAAAAUGUUAAAAAAUAAAACUUAUAAAUUUUGCAUGACUACUUACUAAUAAAUAAAUAAGUUAGAAUGUAGUUAGUUAAUUUUACACCAUAUUAUAUAUUAUUCGAUAAUAAUAUAAAAUAAAAAGAAUUAAAAAAUAAAUAAUUGAAUAAACAAAUAUGACUUUCUAAACAGUAAAAAUUCUAGAGUUAAAAUUUAUAUUAUUAUUUUAUUUUUUAAAAUUGACAUAUUUCUAUUAUCUUACAUGUACACAGAUUUUGAGAGUUGAGAAGAAUAUAUUUAAUGAAGCUUGCUAACAUUUGGUGGGAUAGCAAGUAAGGGUAAAUAAGAUUUUUUUGUUAUUUAUUUGAAUUAUAUCUAUUUUGUUCAAGUUAAAAUACUAAAUAUAAAUUGGAGGUAGACAUUUUAACAGAUCAUCUAAGCUCUCAAAUCUGAAAUUUUGUGUAGAUUUAAAUUCAUAAUUUUAGUUAAUUUUCAUACAUUCAUAUAAACAAAUUUAUGAGAUUUUUCUUUUCAGCAUGUUAUAUUUUGAAACUUUCAAUGUAUUAUUCUAGCUUUAUUUAAAUAAUUAAUUUAUUUAAAAUUUAUUUAAUUUUGAAUUUGAUCAAUAGUAAAAUUAUUUUUAUAUCAAAUUUUUUUAUUUAAAUAGUUCGUGGAUUGGACAAAAUUAAAAAUUUUUAAUCCACAAAAUGGUGGAUUAGAUAUGAAUUGGGUUAAAUACACAUUCGAUCCGCAGUCGUAUGAAUUUGAUUUGGAUUGAAUUUCAUCAAUCCAUGGAUUAGAUUGGAUUGAAAAAUUUAUUAUCCGCAAAAUCGUGGAUCGAAUAUGGACUGAUGUCCAAUCAGCAAAAUCCAAUCCCCGAACACUCCUCUAUCAAAAUUUUCAAGAAUAUUUUUUAUCUUACAAAUUUUUUUUAAAGUCAUAGUCUAAGGGCGGCCCAAUUUCUACUCCAUCCAUAUAAGCGGAGUUCAAAUCUCAUACCUCUUAUCUCCACACAAGAGAUUUAACCAAUUGAAAUAGCUAGCACCCACAAGUAUACUAGUACAGCAUCUCUUAACGUUUAACAUACGUAAAAUUAACGCCAUAGCUAUUGAUAAACACAUUGUUCAAUAUAUAUGAUCAAGAAUCUGAUCCUGCGAGCAACAGCAGUCAGAAGAACCAUUAUAAUGCCUAGCUCUUAUCCUGGUUAAUCCUCUGGCCCGAUGCUUCAUCAUAGUGAUUUAAAAAACCAACAACAGCUCUCUAAAAGAGAUGAAGAUAUCAUCUACGUAAAGAACAUGAGACGGAGAUUCACAACCCAUAAGAACUGAGAUAAAUUGGACCAGACCAGUAAUCUUGAGAUAAGUUAAACUGUGACUUAAGUUGAAAUCAGAGGACAGGAAUUUUAAAAUCUUUCGGCUAAGCCCCUGAGGAAUUUUCUAGAGUACGACUUCUGCUUACCUCUGUUUAAUUUCUCUUUAUAUUUUUCUUUCAUUUCAUUAAUAAAGUCAAAUAAUAAAUCAAAGAACGAGGGAAGAUUUUUCCAAGUCAUGCAUUAUUUGAUUACCAUCAAUCAAGAAACCGACCAAAUUAAUUUCUCUCCGUGAUUUUUAAAAAUUAAAAAAAAAAUAUUUGAGCAUAACAUCAUUAAUUAUAGAGUGGAUCAAACUGCGUUAAUCAUGAACUUUGUUGUGUUAAUUAUUUCAAUCCCCGAUUACGCAAUUUUUAAAUUAUAGCCUAACGGUGGUCUCAUCACCACGUGUGUGAUUUUCUUUUGCCAAUAGGAUCUGUAGAGAGCUUGAUCUCACCCAAUAGCAAAAUAAACUUCCUAAUAAGUGAAGGCAUAGUAUAAAUAAUUCACCCCCAUAUUAUUUAUUAGCAGCUUGAUUAUUUUAUAUGCAUCUUUGAUUUAAAUUUUUUUUUCCCAUAAUUGCUACUAUGUUCGAACUGGUCAUGAAUUAUCUAUAAGAUUUUUCAUGUUGCUUUUAGGUGCAUUGGAUUUUUUUUAGUUUAGUGCAAGAGUAGAGGAAGGCAAAUUAAGAAAAAGGAUAAAGAUCUAUGAUUAGCUAUUUUGGGAUGUCUCAUAACAUAUUGAUGGUAACAUUAUACAUAUGUAUAUCUAAAAAAUGGGGUUGGAUCAAGAGCCCAUUAAUAAUCAUAGAUUAGCUUAUAUAGCAAUUUCACAAGCACAUGUUAGCCUAUGUUGAGCUUUAUUAUCAAUAGUUCAUAGUUCAUCGGUGCACUGCAGGUUUACUAUUUGAAGUAAAUAUUAUGGUGCGUGCAUUUUUUAUAAGGCCAACUGCUGAAUUUAGCAUUGAAACUUACAAAAUGUAAUAGAGAGAGGUAGAUAACAGCCACAAAACACUAAGAUUGGAAAUCAGGGCUACUAAAUACUAUUACAAGCCCUUAGAAAAGACACUGAUCAUCCUAGAAUGUAUAUACUGAAAGUAAGAAAUAUUAAUCGCAAAGUUAUGUGCCAACAAAACUAUUGACUACUUGUCUCUAGCAGAAGGUAUAUAUUUUUAACUUCAGCUCUCUACUUUGUUCUAAGAACUAGGCAAAAGAAUGAAACUUCGGUGUCUAAAGUUUGCCGCUUGAAAUAUUUCACUGUCUAAACAUUCACUCACCACUUAUUUCAUAAAUGAAUUUUGUCUAACUAUAUGUUGAUAAAGAUAUUAGAGGUAAUAUAAUGCAUUUAAGACUUAACGUAUAUUUUUUAUUAGUAGAGUGUAGAAUUUUUAAGAAAUAAAUUAUUAAAUUACUAUAACUAACAUAUUAUUUUAAAGUUAUGUUAAGAAAAGAAUGAAAAUAAAAAAUAAAAAAAUAAGGGUAUUCUAAAACUUUGAUCCUUUUAAAAGUAGUUUUUGACGUAAAUAAAAUAAUUUUUAUUUUUUUUAAAUCACAUACUCUAGUUAAAAUCAAAUUUGUAUUUAUAAAGAUUGUAAAAUUUUUUUUAGCAUUAAUAUUUGAAUACUUUCAAGAUAAGAAAUAGGGUACUAAUUAUGCUACAACAUUAUUAUAGCACAUAAAAAGACAAUACCCUUUAUAUUAUUAUACUAUCGUUUUUGUUAUGAUAGUAUUUUGUUAGUGGUCAAAUAUUACUUUUUUAAAUAAAAAAGUAGACAAAUGUAAAUCAAUUUUUAAUCUCUCCUAAAAUUCUAAUUCCUAGUUACCAAACAAAAUUGUUUGAAAAUAAUUUGGCUAAGUGCAUGGGUUCUUAAAACUAUAGGUGAUAGAAGUUACAAGCACAAGCAAAUUUGACGGUCCAUUUUAUAAAAUUUUUAAUAAUUUUUUAUUUACCAUUUUACCACCUAUAUAAUGAGUGCCACAUCGACAAAUCAAUUCAUUUGCAAAUUAUAUUAAUUUUGUAAAAUUCAUUUGACUUGCUAAACCCUUCUUAUCCCCUUUCUCGACUGUCAUACCCUAACCUUAUUUCCCGUGUCCACACUUGACCACGCUCAAUUCAGGCCAUCAGAUUAUCCUGGACCCACAUUAAUCCAACUGCUCACAAUGACCGACAGCCUCUCCAUCUCCAUUUCAAGCUUCCUCUUCAACUGGCUUCUGCUUCCGUCGUACUCUUUCUUGGAUUCGGAGUCCGUAUUUGCUCGGCCGGUCCCGCACAGCUCCCUCUCACUCCAAUUGUCACCCAACAAGACCAAUUGCUUAACAUUGACCGUAUGGCAAUUGUCCGUAUUUCUUGGAUUCGGAGUCCGUAUGGCACAGAACAAGAAGAGGAUGAGAAAUUGAAACAAGAAUUUGAGAAUUGGAAAUCGAAAACGUACGCAUUGACCGUGCCUUUGAGGGCAAUUACUUUUCUUGAGAAUUGAAGUUUGGUAAUGUAAUUUGUUCUCCAUCUGUGUUCCCUUUGUAGUCAUUUCAUUUAUUUGUUUGUUUGCUUUUAUUUGCACUUACGAAGUCUCAGAUAUAUCUACGCAGGAAUGAUGCAGGAGAAAUUGAUCCUCGAGCUUACAAGAAAAGUAAAUUUCGAAAGCAUAAUUUGGCUCCGAUUGAGGUAAUAAUUGUCUUUAAACUCAUUUAGUUUUAUAUCAAACAAAAUAAAGGCUGCCUUUCUCUUCAAUAUUUUUUAUGAUAAUAUCUUUAGAAGCAUCUCAUUGACGGGUAAUCAUGGUAUCCCUUAAAGAGUCUAUAAACUCAAUGAUAUUUUCUUCUGCAAAUGGUUCAUUAAACUUCUUAGACGUAGUUAAAUGUACACUAAGAACAACGAGAAGCUAUGCCGCUGUAGCAUGUAGUGAGAUCUUGUUUGAAGUUGUUUUCUGAAAUGAACUGCCAAAUGGUAGUUUUUUAUUUCUUGGGUGCAUUUGAUGACUCUUUUCUCCUCAUUUUAAGCAUGUACCUGCUUGGAAUGGGAAGGAAUAGGCUUCCGAGUUGUUAUAUAUGUUGACAUGCUCUGAUCAUUACACAAAAUGUUCAAAUUGGAAAUUAGAAUGAGAUAUUUGUCGAUGCUUUUUGAGAGAUCUGCAUUCUAUGCACCAUAACAUGAUUAAUGAAAACAGGUUUAAGGACUGGAAAGAUCUGUGGCGGCCCAAGCUUGCAGGAAGGAUUUCAAUGGUUAAUUCUCCCAGAGAGGUUAUUGGUACAGUUUUGAAGUAUAUGGGAGCAUCAUACAAUUCAAACGACAUUGAUUAGCAAGUUGCUGCUGGGAGGAUUGCUGUUCAGCAGAAUCUGGCAUUACUGGGAAACCAGGUACUCUUAAAGAAAUGAUAUCUGGUCAAUGCAUAUUACUGCCUGAGCUGAUUUUGUUUGUAAAGUCUGCCUCUUCAUACAUAUGAAUGCAUAUGUUAGUGUUUUCUUCUCCUUUUAAUACACAUGAAUGCAUAUGUUAGUGUUGUCUUCUCCUUUCCAUAAAUAUGAAUGCAUAUGCUCUGGGUGUUGGUUACUACUUCAAGUGGAAGGUGAAGGUGAUGCAAGUGAUUUCAGGAGUACAUAUAUUCCAAGGAUGCUGGACUAUUAUUGCUUCCCCCCAUAUUUCAGAAUUUUUUGUCAACCUCCUCCACUAAGGGAUUCCAAUUGAGUUACAAAUAUAUUUUCUGUAGCUAUGUUUUAAAGUUUUGGUCUCAUGUUAAUUUUUCUAAUUACUAUUCUUCAACAAAUCUCUUUUACUUUAAAAAACUGCUACAGUUUGAUUUUACUGCCUUAUAUCAUUGAACAUUGAUACAUGGAAUUUGAAAUCAGACUUGUAACAACAGAUAUAUAGAUAUAGAACAUGCAUAUAAUCUCCAUUUCGAGCUCCCUCUCCAACUGGCUUCUGCUUCCGUCGUACUCUUUCUGGGAUUCGGAGUCCGUAUUUGCUCGGCCGGUCCUGCACAGCUCCCUCUCACUCCAAUUGUCACCCAACAAGACCAAUUGCUUAAUCAAGGCACAGAACAAGAAGAGGAUGAGAAGUUGAAACAAGAAUUUGAGAAUUGGAAAUCGAAAACGUAUGCAUUGACUGUGCCUCUAAGGGUUGUUUCUCUUCAGAAUUCAGUGCCUCAAUCUUGGGUUAAGGAUUUUAUGCGAAGUCAAGGAAAGAGAUUGAAGUUUCAGAUGAAUUUGUGUGCUAGCAUUGGUGGGAUCUUUAACAAUUUAUCUGUGCCCUUUAACAAAGUUAAGGGUAAGUCAGCUUCGUAUACGGCUGCUGAUUUGGUUAGUGUUGGUGAUUCAUGGCUCAGUUUUGCGAUUAAAAAGAGAUUGAUUGAGCCAAUAGCUGAAGCUGAAGAUCAAGAUUGGUUCAAAUGCUUAUGUCACAAAUGGAAGGUAACAUACUAACAUCUUUAUCUUUGACCCGAUAAUUUUUAUUGUCUUACAUUGAAAUUUGGUAAUGUAAUUUGUUCUCUAUUUGUGUUACCCUUUGUAGUCGUUUUAUUUAUUUGUUUAUUUGCUUUUAUUUGCACUAAUGAAAUCUCAGGUAUAUCUACGCAGGAAUGAUUCAGGAGAAAUUGAUCCUCGAGGUAAAAUAUGGGCGGCACCAUACAGGUGGGGCACAACGGUGAUAGCCCACAAGAAAAGUAAAUUUCGAAAGCAUAAUUUGGCUCCGAUUGAGGUAAUAAUUGUCUUUAAACUCAUUUAUUUUUAUAUCAAACAAAAUCAAGACUGCCUUUCUCUUCAAUAUUUUUUAUGAUAAUAUCUUUAGAAGCAUCUCAUUGACGGGUAACAAUGGUAUCCCUGAAAGAGUCUUUAAACUCAAUGAUAUUAUCUUCUACAAAUGGUUCAUUAAACUUUGUCGUUGUAGUGAAAUGUACACUCAGAGCAAUGAGAAGCUAUGCCACUGUAGCAUGUAGUGAUGGCACUUAAUAAGUGAGUUGCUAGGAUGUGAACUAGAAAAAUUAAAUAUUGUCUCCUUGGGUAUGCUAGCUCAUAAGUCAGGGUUAAUAUUAGAGCUUAAGUUACUAUAACCAUGAGACGCUAUUGACUGCCAAUUAAAAUAUCCAUUAAAUUGUCUAGGAAGUUAUGAAAGUGGAGGUAUCUUCCGAUUUCUAAGGCCAGAUAGUAGACAUCAUCCAGGAUCCUAGGAAAGUGCAGUUAACCUCCUGCUCGAUGCAAUUAAUAAAUUUGGUCAAUGCCACUGAAACCUGCAAACCGACGUCACAAUGCAAGAUGAGCACUUCAAAAUGGGACAGACGGUCAGUAGCACUAAAUUUUUCUUUCCCAAGAUUGAGCAAUUGGUCUAACAACUAACCCCUAUUGUAGGUUGAUCAUUAUUUUUCCAAUUAUGUUCAGUUUGACCCAAAAAGUUACAGAAUCUUGAGCUGAAUAUUGUCACUGAACACUGUCAAUGUCGUUUAGCAUACCCAACUAACUUGAGUUUGGUAAAACAAACACACUGUGUGUCUCAUCUCUCACAAUUCAAAUUAUCAUCUGUAAUGAUGGAGAAUUUUUCCGAUGUAUGAAGUAUGCUUUGAUACGUGUACCUUGGAGAAGAUAUCUCCAAAUAAAGAAUAUGGAGAGAAAACGGUUCAGUAGUUUAUUAUUCUGUAGGCAAUUCUUGUCUCAAAAAUGGUCAAAAUUUAAAUGAAUAAGGACAGGGGAUCUUCAUUCUUUUUUCCCUUUUUUAUACCAAGAUAUCUCUCAACCUUUAUAUAAUCCCCACUGGAUAUCUGCUUCUAAUAAUUAAAAUAAAAAUUUCACCCGCACAAAUAAAUACUGACCAAGCUCUAACAAUAAAAAGUAACAUCUUUACUCAAGUAAUUUACAGUUCCUCAUCAUCUUAGUGUGAGACUAUCAUUACGUUCCAAAAACAUAAUAAAACUGGUUUGAUCCUGUUUAUUGAUGUUUAAAUGUUGUUCAUUGUGACAUGUAGAAAUGAUGAGGCGAAGUUUAUUUGGUCAUCAAUUAGUAAGAUCUUGUUUGAAGUUGUUUUCUGAAAUGAACUGCCAAAUGGUAGUUUUUUUGGGCAUAUGAUGGCUCUUUUUUCCUCAUUUUCAACAUGUGCCUGCUUGGAAUGGGAUGGAUUAGGCUGCAGAGUUGUUAUAUAUUUUGAGAUGCUCUGGCCAUUGCACAAUUUGUUCACACUGGAAAUUAGAAUGAGAAAUUUGUUGAUGCUGUUUUGAGAGAUCUGCAUUCUAUGCACAAUAACAUGAUUAAUGAAAAUGGAUUGUAGGACUGGAAAGAUCUGUGGCAGCCUGAGCUCGCAGGAAGAAUUUCAAUGGUUAAUUCUCCCCGAGAGGUUAUUGGUUCAGUUUUGAAGUAUAUGGGAGCAUCAUACAAUUCAAGCGAUAUUGAUUCGCAAGUUGCGGGUGGGAAGAUUGCUGUUCAGCAGAAUCUGGCAUUACUGGCAAACCAGGUACUCUUAAAGAAAUGAUAUCUGAUCAUGCAUGUUAUUGCCUGACAACUGAUUUUGUUUGUAAAAGUCUGCUUCUUCAUACAUAUGAAUGCAUAUGUUAGUGUUCUCUUCUCCUUUUCAUACAUAUGAAUGCAUAUGUUGGUGUUGUCUUUUCCUUUUCAUACAUAUUAAUACAUAUAUUGGUGCUCUCUCCUGAGAUGGAUGCAAUAAAGGCUUUUGGUCCUAAAUUUAGCUGAAGAAAUGGCAAGGGAUGUGAGAUUCUGUCUCAUUAAAUUAACAAAAACCCAAAACAAUGAAAACCGAUAAUAAUGUGGUGGGGGUAAAUUGGCACCAUUUGGUUUGUUUCCUUAAUGUGAAUACACGAGCAAUAGGGACUAACAAAAUGAAGUGACAACAACAAGUCAGUGUCCUUUGAUGGAUGCAUUUUAGGCAGAAAUAGGUUUGUAAUUGACCAAUUUCAAAAAAUUUAAAUUAUGUGGUUAUUAGCUGUAAUGAAGGGGAUAGUAGGUGCAAUCAGGUGGAUCCAGGAAAGUUCAACAAAGUUCUGGUAUGGCAUAGUGAAAUUGGUUUGUGCAACUCAAGAGUCUUUCAGGUGAACGAUGAUACGUUUUGAUUUAUAAAUGUUAUAAAUCUACCGUCCAUAGUAUUCUAGUAGAGUCAUCUAUAAGUUCUAGUUAUUGAAAUUGUCUACUUUGUCCAGUUUGAGUUAAGGGCACAUGUAAUAGGAAAAAUAGUAUUCACAUCUUUUUGGUUACCUAACAUUUGAUCGAUCCUAUUAUGAGGGCUUCAAGAUGCCUGACAAUAUGUAGAAUGCCCAUGCUCCUCCCCAUUGUUUAUCUUAUACAAUAAUUUGUUUUAGAUGCUAAUAUAUUUGUCGAUACCGGUAACGAUAUUACAAUAUCUGCGUUUAUUGGGUUUUACAUAGGUUCGACUGUUUGACAGUACACACUAUCUGAAGGCAUUUGGAAUUGGAGAUGUAUGGGUUGCUGUUGGGUGGAGUAGUGAUGUUCUUCCUGCUGUCAAACGUAUGUCUAAUGUUGCAGUUGUUGUUCCCAAGUCUGGUGCUAGCUUAUGGGCCGAUCUUUGGGUAUACCCAUGCCUGCCAUUCUACUUCGAUAUUCACAUUGUUAUCUCCUUCAUUUUAGCGAUCAUAAACUUGAUAAUGUGACUAAUAAGUUCGUAUUCUCUAUAUAGGCAAUCCCUGCUGCCUCAAGACUUGAAACAAAAGAAAUUGGAGGGCGAGUCAGAGGUCCAUCUCCAUUAAUCCAUCAAUGGAUAGAAUUCUGCUUGCAAACAGCGAGAACAUUGCCUUUCAAGCAAGAGGUUAUCCCGGGCGCAUCUCCCUCUGCCCUUGAAAGUACUCUGGUUAAGUUGCCUGAAGAACUUCUGAUGGGUAAACCAAGUCUGGAUACUAACUUAAUUGCUGGAGUACCCCCGGCUGAAAUUCUGGCCAGAUGUGAGUUUUUGGAGCCAUUGCCUGAAGCUACAUUGUCAGAUUAUGAGUGGCUGGUUGCUAAUCUGCAAAAACCUGCCCCCGUCUUGAUGAAAAGGCUGCAACAUUACUUGUCAUCAUUAAUCCAAAGCUUUCUAGCAAAAGCUACAUUGAAAAGUUAAUGGCACUGCAUGCCAGUCAUUGUAAUGCUGUCAGGGCUAUUGGGUCAGGGCAAUUAGGUAAGAGCAUAACUUCAUUAGGAAAAGAGGCUUCAGCUACGUUAAAUAUUGCAGGAUGUACUGAGAUGGUUGAAGUUCUUGAGGUUUUACGAGAAACGAAAGAUGAGUGUUUGUUUGAACAAAGUUGUUGCCAUCUUGCAAGAUCACUGAGCGAAUGCCACCGAUUUCUUAAUCAUUGUAGCCUCCAUAGUUGAAGUUUCCUUAUUUGAAGCUGUUUAUGCGUACGCUUUUUCCCUGCUCAAGUACAGGAAAUUGAAGAAUUAACCAGAUGUGAUAUGCUGAAAGAGGGAAGUUUUCUUCCUUGAACGUGGCCUUGUGAUUUGUCUUGAAGGAAUAGGAUGAUCACUGGCAAGAACCCUAUCAAGGUAGAUUUUAUGGUGCUAACGUAUUAUUAAGCAUUUUGUUACAUCAGCAAUGAUGCUUCCAUAGCAUGAAAGUGUUUAAAUUUAACUGAAUGAUCUUGAUUAAUCAAUUAUGAGUUUUAAUCGAGUAAAAACUAAAUACAAUCAUCGUUAGCAAAUACUGAAAUUGGGUAAAUAUGAUCUUGAUAUUGAAGAAUCUGAAAACACAACCCACACAGGGAAUCACCCUUCGCGUGGGGAUGGAGAUGUUUACUGCAGCGAUAUUGAAUAUGUCCACUGCUCUUUGGGUUAUGGUGCGACUUGCCCUGAAACAAUGGAAAAGAUUAACAUACCCUGCAAUGAAUGAAAGCGGCUGGACUAAUUCUGAUUACCUAAUUGACUCAGGAUCGGGUGGCAAUAAUGACAGUUUAUUAACAAUGCACAGUUCCGAGUACUUUUCCAGGAUCAGAUAUUACGUGGUCUAAUGUUGAUAAUAAUAGAUUAUCAAAUGAGAGAUGCUGAGAGAUGCUGGUCUACCUUUGCAAGCCCCCAGAUUUAAGAAUCUUUUGAUGAUAAUUUACCACCUGUACCUGUGCCGGAAGAUUCACCUAGCACUGAAAAAGAUGAUAAUUUAAUUGAUAUGGAUAGUUUUCAUAACACUUUUAAAUCAUCUAUAUGUGAACUAUUAUUGACGCUAUUUUGUUGUAAACAAUCUUAUUCAAUUAAUAUAUAAUUUAAAAUCAUUAUGUAAAUCAAUCUAUUACUUUUCAUGAUAUUUAAUUGAGUUAAAACUAAGUGCACCCAAUAAAUCUCUUUUCCUUUAAAAAACUGUUACGCUUUGAUUUUAGUGCUUAAUAUUUACGGAACUCCGGUACAGGGAAUUCGAAAUCAAACUCGUAACCACAGAUUAUCUAAUUGCAAGUUUUUGUCCAUAGUUGCUGAUUGUAGUGAUUAUCUAAUUGACUGAGGUGACAACAAUUUUUUUUUUUAAUUUUCAAUAGCAUAAUGUGGAAUUCAAUAAUUAAAUUCUCCUUUUUAAUUUGUUUCCAAUUAAAUUAUUAAUUACUUAAACUCUGUUUUAAGUCUUUAAUUUUAUGUCUUGGCGUAUAUGCAGGGUUGGAUUCUUGAGCGUGUUGGACACGACCAACAAUGAAAUUGACAGUAAACAAACAUUACAACGCGUUGAGUGUCGACUCCGCUAGCUGCCCUACAAGUCUACAACUUUACAAACAACAACUGAGUACACACAUUUGAUUCUUGGGACCCUUCAAUGAAUUUCUAGCCCGGUUGACUCCACCGACAAAAGUUUUGGAAAAUAAAAAAGAAAAUUCAUAGAAUUCCACCAAAUGCAAAACGCGUGGAAUUUAAUUUUCGGCCAUGUGGACCAAAACAUAAUUUAAUGAAAAAAAAAGAUAAGAUUUCUAAAAUGUGUGGAAGGUGAUCCAUAUUUUACUGAAAACAACUUGUUAAAUUUUUCAAAGAUUUAGAAUAUUUGGUCAUAAAUUACGCUCAUGUUAAUUUUUCCGCUAUUGACUAUCAUAUUCUAGACUCACUGGUACCUUUCUUGAUGAAGGGUACUUAGUCUCUCUUCUCCUCUUAUAAAAAUUAUAUUAAGUGAUUUCUUAUUAUAAUAAAUAGUCUUUAAGAACGUAUAGAUUUAUUGUUUUCGUGACCAAAUUAUGCCAGCUUAAGGUUGCGACUAUUAAUAAAAUUAAUAUUUAAUGUUUAUGUUAAAAGAUAUAAGAUUUUAUGCAUUCAUUAAUUGUUAUUAGCUAAAGGAUUAAUUAUUUUUUCAACCCAAUCAGUUGAUGCAUCUGCAAAAAAAAUUUCUUUUAUUGACCAUAAUUAUAUUCCGGGUACAAUAAAUUAUCUUUGGUGCUUGGAAAAUUUGACUUCUUACUUCAAGUUUGAUGUGUCUCUCUCCAUAAGCUUACUGGAAAUAUAUCCUUUUGUAUUAUUAAUAAAGUGAAAUUUGUUGCUCCUUCCUUCUAAAUCUAAACAGAGUUUCACAAUUUCACCAACUUGGAAUAUUUGACAUUGGACUUUUCCUCUCUCCAUAUAAGCCUUCUGCAAAGAAUUGCAUCGUUAUUCCCUUCAUUAAAAAAUCUGUCGAUGUCUGGUUGUGAAGUCAAUGGUGUCCUACGCGGUCAAGGUAAAAGAAAAGUGUUGAUUGUGAACUCACUCAAUGGUGUCCUACGUGUUCAACAUUUUUAUUUAUUAAUCUUUCUGCUAGAUUUUCCUCAUUUCAAGAGUUUGGAACAUUUUGACCAGCUUUCUUCAAAUCAUCGGUGAAUCAAUGCCUUCUCUUAAGUACUUAUCACUGUCAGAUUCUACUCUUGGCACUAACAGCAGCAGGAUUCUUGUUCGAGGUUAAUCAGAUGCUCCCACCCUCCCUUCUUAAUCUAUAAUAUUAAUUUUCAAUUAAAUAUUCAAUUACACAAACCAAUCACUUAUUAUAAAAGAACAAUACGCAUUCAUUAAUUUUUAUAUUGUAUUAAUAAUUGAUGAAUUUAAUAAAUUUUCAAAUAUUGUAUUAAUAUUUGACAUCCAUUGAAGAGCUGUAUCUUUCAAACAAUCACUUCCAGAUCCCAAUUUCACUUGAACCAUUUUUCAAUCACUCACGACUCAAGAGUUUCUAUGCUGACAACAAUGAAAUAAAUGCAGAAAUAAUUGAGUCGCAUUCUUUGACUGCCCCAAACUUCCAAUUAAAAUAUCUCUCAUUGUCUUCCGGUUACGGAGAUGGUGUCACAUUCCCCAAAUUCCUUUACCAUCAACAUGAUCUGGAGACUGUUGACCUCUCACAUAUAAAGAUGAGUGGAGAAUUUCCAAAUUGGUUGUUGGAAAACAACACAAACUUAGAAUAUCUUUUUUUGGUUAAUGAUUCUCUUGCAGGACCUUUUCGGUUGCCAAUUCAUUCACACAAGCGGUUAAGACUGUUGGAUAUAUCCAACAACAACAUCCGAGGCCACAUUCCAGUAGAAAUUGGAGAUGUUUUACCAAAUUUAUACGUUUUCAACAAUUCCAUGAAUGCUUUAGACGGUAGCAUUCCCUCUUCAUUUGGUAAUAUGAAAUUCCUCCAAAUUCUAGACUUAUCCAACAAUCACUUGACUGGUAAAAUCCCCGAGCACUUGGCCAUGGGUUGCGUCUACUUGAAUUUUCUUGUCUUGUCAAACAACAACCUACAAGGUCAUUUGUUCUCUAGAAAUUUUAACUUGACAAACUUGAAAUGGUUACAAUUGGAGGGCAAUCGCUUCGUAGGUGAGAUCCCAGAAAGUUUGUCUAAAUGCUCCUCACUAGAAGGAUUGUCUCUUAACAAUAAUAGUCUUUCGGGUAAGAUUCCACGAUGGUUGGGUAAUCUCACAUGGUUAGAAUAUAUUAUAAUGCCCAAUAAUCAUCUUGAAGGCCCUAUUCCAGUGGAGUUUUGUCAGCUUGAUUUGCUUCAGAUUUUGGGCAUUUCAGACAACAACAUAUCUGGAAGUUUACCAUCUUGUUUCCAUCCUCUCUCUAUCAAACAAGUUCAUCUUUCAAAAAAUAUGUUACAUGGACAGCUAAAAAGAGGUACAUUCUUUCAUUGCUCUUCCCUUGUGACAUUAGAUCUUAGCUAUAACCGCUUGAAUGGCAGCAUUCCGGAUUGGGUUGAUGGGCUUUCUCAGUUAAGCCACCUUAUCUUAGGUCACAAUAAUCUUGAAGGUGAAGUGCUAGUUCAAUUAUGCGAAUUGAACCAACUACAAUUGUUAGAUCUUUCUAAUAAUAAUCUUCACGGUCCUAUUCCUCCUUGCUUUGAUAACACCACACUUUAUGAAAGUUACAGCAAUAAUUCUAGUCUUGAUGAGCAAUUUGAAAUAUCUUGUUCCAUCGAAAGCCCUCAGGGAGAUGUAGAAAAGCAAAUCCGUGAAAAUUUUGAGUUCACAACAAAGAACAUUGCGUACAUUUACCAAGGAAAAGUGCUUAGCCUCCUAUCAGGACUUGAUCUUUCUUGCAACAAGCUAAUCGGUCCUAUUCCUCCUCAAAUUGGAAAUUUGACAAGGAUUCAAACAUUGAAUCUAUCACACAACGACUUGACAGGAUCGAUCCCAUCAACAUUUUCAAACUUGAAGCAUGUCGAAAGUUUGGAUCUUUCCAACAACAAAUUGAAUGGGAAAAUCCCUCAUCAACUAGUGGGGUUAAAGACAUUGGAGGUUUUCAGUGUGGCAUACAAUAACUUAUCAGGCGAAAUUCCAGAAUGGACUGCACAAUUUGCAACAUUCAAUGAGAGUAGCUAUGAGGGAAAUACUUUUCUUUGUGGAUUGCCAAUGCCCAUUUGCAGAUCACCAGAAACUAUAUCGGAGGCUUCAAUUGGCAAUGAACGAGAUGAUAAUUUAAUUGACAUGGACAGUUUCUUUAUCACAUUUACAACAUCGUACGUAAUUGUGAUAUUCGCAAUUAUUAUUAUUUUAUAUGUAAAUUCUUAUUGGCGACGUAGAUGGUUUUACUUUGUUGAAAUGUGGAUAACUUCAUCUUACUAUUUUGUUGUAGACAAUCUUAUUCCAACAUGAUUUUGUCAUUGAAAUUAAUUAGUAGCUUAAUUACGAUCCUUUAAGUACUAAUCAAGUUUGCUUAGGAAAUAUUUUUUUAUUAAAAUUGUAGUAGUAUUUAGCAUUAUAUAGCUUCCAACUUCCAAGCACUUCACAUUUGUCUCUACACUUAAAAAACUGAGUGAUCAUGUUUUGCAGAUCUGGAUUUGGAGCAGGAUGGAUCCAAACCCAUAUCUGUCCACCAUAACUUAUAGCUUCCCUAUACUGUGCAGCAUACUUAAAUAAGAGAACCAUCUCCAAUGUUAAAAGCAUUCACUCUAUAACAUUCAUUUAGAAACUAUAUUCAGAAUAAUUUUAUAAUUAAACACAAGAAAUGAAACACACAGAUACACUUGAUCGCCUAUUUUACUCUAAAAAAGAACGAUUACUGUGCUAUCAUCAUCUUCUUCACUAGCAACAUUAACACCAAAUCGAUAGACCCAUACAUUUCAUCAAGAAAGGUAUAUAUCCAAUAAAGUUGAAGCCUAACAAAAAAUUCAAGAAGAUUAAUGCCUCGCCACAACAAGGGGCACAACAACAUCAAAGUAGAGAUUAAGCAGUAUUCUCAAAGCUAAAACUCUCAAAUCCACCCACCAGAAUUUCAUAUCUCCUCAACAAUUUUAAGAAAUAAAGAUAAUUAGGAUUUAACAUUAGUUUUUUAUAUAUUAGUUUCAUAAUUUACAAAUCAAUGAAGAUGAAGAUUAUGCUAAUAAAUUCAAAUUAUACCAUACAUUCUCUAGAUGUUACCAAAAAUUUCUAAGUCAAUCCCACAUAUUUCAUAAUUUUAAGACUAGAAAAUUUCACUAGUUAGAAGUUUCAUUAACUUCAAGUGGAAGAUGAAGAACAUUAUACAAGUGAUUCAGAUUAUAUCAUACAUACUCCAAAUGCAACUAGAAAUUAACAAGUUCAUGCGCACAUAUUUCAUAACAUUAUGAUUGAAACGUUUCACAAAGAGAAAUUCUAAAUUCAAUCUCUUGCAUGAAGGCAGUUUGAUUGAUUUGAGUUACUUUCUUAUCAAGCUACUAAUAUAACAUUCAAGUCAGGGAGAAAAUAAAUUAAAACUGGGAAGAAAUAACAGUAAAAAUUUGUUGCUCAACAUGAUGUGUAUUUUUUUUCAAGGCAAUUUGGAAACACAAUUGUUACUACAGAUAUUCUUCUCAACUUGGAGAUAAAUACAAAUAUUAAAAUGCAUAUGAUCGCACAUAUUACUUCGAGUUUAGUAAGAUUUCAUUAAAAGAAGCAAUCAAACCACUUAUCAAUUGUCGCAGUCGUUCUAUAAACUAAAAUAGCAAUAUAAUACAAGAAAAAGAACAUAUAGAUACUUGGCAAGAGUUCAUUAAGAAGUCGCAUCACAUUCGGGUGAGGAGUUUGCUUCUGAUAUCUUGCUAGCUGGGGCUUUUUCUUGUCUUUCUACGUAUGCCGAGGGAAACCAACCAGCUUGGCCCUUGCAUUCACCUUCCGACCAUCCAAUAGGAGCCACCUUGAGAAGUUAUAACUAAAACGGUGAAUUAAACAAAAGUUGACCGUUCAAAGACCUAAGGGGAAAACUAAUUCUUUUACGUAGGAGGAGUGAAUUAGUUGUGAUCACUGAAAUAACAGCAUAACUAUGGAAGCAUAACAAGAUAUAAAUUCACACGUCUAUAAGGAUAAACUGGGUGGUUUAGAACUGAGCUAGCAACCCUACUAUAUUCUGAUUUGCACUUCAAUGUAAAAGGGAAUAUAUGGUAGGAAGAAAGAAAACCAACCAUCAUUUGUUAACUCAUUGCUUUUCAAUCAAAAUUUUAAGAACAAAAUGCCAUGUGCUUUGAACAUCAAAUAAGUAUAAGCAUUAGUUCUAAAUUCCACAUAUCAUAAGUUGUUAGAAGGAUAAGUUAAUAGCAGAGUAGAAAAAUCAAUGUGUUGGUAUUUAGAGGGGAAAGUACCUGGCGAACCACAACAUAAUCAUCAAUUGAAAGACUUAGCUCUCCAUUUGCUUGAGCAUCAAAUGGAUGUAUAACCUGCAAGAUAAUGGGAUAAAUGGAACUUAAAAAAAGCAUAACAAAAGCAGCAACAGUAGCAGCAACGUUCAUUGUAACCACUAUGAUCAUGGCCAACAAAGAUAUAUUAGAAACAAAAUUCCAUUUUUACUAUGACAUUAAUAUGUACUAUACGAUAUCAUGACGAUUGGGUUACUAAGAGCUAUCAAAGUCUAAUAAGUUCUGUAUAACUUUAUGUAGUUAUUUAAAUUAUGGAUCAGAUUUUAAAUUUGAAAUUUUGACUGCUCUCCACAAAACAUGGCCUAUGCACAAGAAAGUCAUAGAUAAUGAGGAUUACAAGUGUCCGACAUCUUUUGAGUGAUGGAUUUAACAUGAGAGCUUAUGGUCAGUCAAUUUCCUCUGCCUAGCAAUAUAAGCUUUCUCGGCCAGAUUUAUCAUCAAAUACAUAGAUUGCCCCCAAGUCACAUCCAUAUAAACAUAGUUUUUCUAGGUAAACCAAGUAAGGAGCAUCAUAAUUCAGACAUAAUCAUAAAAAGGCCCAUCUAAAUUAAGAGAAAAUCUCAAAAAGAGGGAUGCUGAGCUAUCAGUCUUGUAUCUAUAAGCAAUAUCAAGACUUUACAUCACCUGCUACAUCAUGAGUGGCUACACAACUUUCAGUGGUUUGUCUUUCUUUGGCACGCCUAACUCAGCUUUGAUGUUGCUGAGAUAUUGAUAGUAGAGACACAUGAUACUUCUAGCUCAUGCAUUCUAUCUAACUCAUCCAACAACUAUCUCUUUUUUAAUUCAUUAGUGUUUGCUAAACCUCAUGCUUAAAAGUCCUGUUCUCCUAAAUAAAGUUUCCUAAGAAUGACUUCCUUAGCACCACAGUUGGACACUUGUAGAGCAAUUUUAUUUGGGGGAAAAGAAUUUUCAAGGUGUUAACUAAUAAAUUUUAAAAAAUAAUUACAAUUUGUCCUACGAUCAUAUGACAAUUUAUCUGGGAUGAAAGGAUACAGAUAGACAUCUUCCACUUUCAAGACUAAUCACUACUUCCGUAGAUGUUGUGCAAUAAUACAAAUACUUGACCAGAUGGUAGUGAUGGUAGAAAAAAAAUUUAUUGCUCCAAAAUUAAAAUAAGAAUGCAAUAUGUUAAGCAAAAGGCUGUGCAACAUCAAAUUAAUUGAUAAGAUAGAUGCAGACAAGCAAGUUAAAAUGCAUAGUCCCAAACCUCCGCAUACAACUUCUCUAAAAUAGCAAUAACGUGUUGAUGCUAUGUUUUCUCAGCAUCUACCUGCAAAGGCCCGAGACCAGGAAAACAACAAUAAAACCACUAGCUGAAGGAGAAAGCAAAGAAAGAAAUACACUUGACAUAAAUCUUGACAAGAAGCACAAUUUAAGACAUAACAAACCCCAAUCAUAUUGUUUAGAACUACCAUUCGUUAUUUCGUUAUUGUAACAUUUCGAACAAGUGUUGACUUAAUUCAACAUUGUUGGAAAGAUAGGCUUUUAGAAGCAGAAGAAAGCCUCUCAAACCAAAGUGCUGGUCCUUGUAUUGAUCAAGGGAUGUAAACAUAUUACAUUUGCAGGAUGAGAUUUAAUCACUCCCCUGAUUUAUUUGGGUUGCAGUAAAACUAAGCGAGCAACUGUUUGACUUCCAAGCAACAGCUAAAUCAGCUAUUAAAAUUCAAAUAAAAUCAUAAUAGAAUAAUAACAGGCCCUCUUGCAUCAAAAAUUAAGUUUAAUUUGUGCAUUGUUUUCUAUAGACAUGUCAGUUUCUGCUAUUGAAAUGUUAAAAGCAUUGAAAAAUUAUUCAAUAAAUUAUGCAAGCAUUAAAAUAGAGGACAUAUUAAAAAGUUUCUAAUUACAAUGCUAAUAUUUCCUAUAUUUUAGCAUUUGCAUAUUUUAAUUUAUUUAAAAGCUACGUCGAUCAACUUUGGGCAUGAAGAUUUUAGCUUCUACGAGACUUGAUUGGAAUAUGCAUAAGGAAGAGUGUUAAAAUAUGAUGCAUCCAACGAAAGAAAACCACGUGUAGUCUUUUAAUUAAGCCAAAGUAGCAGCUCAAACAAAUGACACUUGGACCAACAUGCAAUCAUGAAGUGGCCGGAAAAAGGACAAAUGCUACUUUGGCUUAAAUAAAAAAUAACAUGUGACUUGACUUUUGCUGGACAUGCAUCAUGUUAUUACAAGACAACAGAAAUCAGUAUGAUAGUACUAAAAGUUGACAAUAACAUGAAGAUAAGAGGCAGAAUGUCAACACAUGCAUAGGCACACACAAGAAAGUAUUAACAUAUAUACCAUAGCAAAAACUCUUUUAUAUGUCAUCUGUUGCUGCUGUGAUUCAACUGACAGCAAGGCAGCUGUCGCUUCUCUACCAAGAGCCAUUAUUUUAGAUUUAAGCUCGGUCAAUCUUGCUUCUGCAUUUCGAAGCUUCACAGCACUCUCUGCUGAUAUAUCAGAUUCCCUAAUCUUUGAUCGGUGCCUAAAUACUUCAGCUGCCUGGUGAAAAUAUUCAAUAUAAAUCUAAUAUAAUUCUCAUCUUGCCUUAUACAUGCAUAUGUUACGUCAAAGCUUACCUGGGCUUCAACUUCAUGUCGAAGUUUGUCAUAACAAUGAGUCAGGUGUCGAGCAUCUUCCAAAGGUGCUCCGUUGAUUAACGCCCGUAGUGGCUCAGAUACCUACAUGUCCAAAAACCUGUAACAUAGUUAGAAAAAUGAAAAGAAAGAGCGAAACCUCAAUUAAAAAGUUCAUCCAACAUAAUCAUGGAAUUUGGGCCUACUUUAAGAAUAUAUAUAAGGAUAAUUUAUGCAAUUUUGGGUCUUAGGAUGAUUGGUAUUAGGUUAGUGUUCUUCUCUUCUGUAUUUAAGGUUAAAAUAGAAAUAAACCUAUGCAAGUAUCUAAAUUAGGCCUGUAAGACAUCCACAUGCAUCCUUCAGUCUCAUGGAUUUGAUUUUACUAUAGAUGCAAGUGUCUUUAUCGAAAAUGCUUGGAGUCAAUUGAGAGAACUCAUGGCCAAUAACUUGUCACACGCUAGUCUUUGCUAGUGAUCACAAGGUCUCUUCAACAUUUGAACCAAUAAAAUUAUUAAGUCAUGGAUGUCACUAGCAAUGAUUUUAAUAUAAAACAUUAAAUAUUUCAGAGUUGUAACUUUAAAAUGGAUUCUUUUAUUCAAUAUCAUAGAACUAAGUUUCCUUAUGAGAAGAUAAUAGUUUCGAUAAUAAUUUUACAUAUAAUUUUCUAUAUUUGAAUUAUUUUCUAGUUAGGGAUGAACUAACCUGAUCACGAAGAAUCCCGAGCAAAGUUUCCCUCUCAUUUUCCAUCAAAUCAUGUGAAGUGCCAAAUUGAAGAGCAGCUCUUGCAACGCAAGAAUUGUCACUUUGAUUCUCUACUCCAUACUUGCAACAAUCUUCAGCCAACUUUCUCGCUACAAUAUUUGAAUACAAAAAUAUUGUACACAAGAACUAUAAAAAAACUAAUGAAAAAUGCCAAGAUGGAGCAGAUGCUUCAAUACUGCCUAUACAAACCAUAAAAAACUAAUGAAAAAUAAAUAAAAUCGAGAAAUUUUACUAAUUAAAAGUCUAAAUAUAAUUUUGAAAAAAGAAAAGAAACGGACUUGCUGCUGCUUGGCGACUUGUUCUCGGAGCUUGAUUGCCUGUUUCUUGAUAGCUUCCAUACUGUUUCUUUCAAAAAGCGACGACGGCUCUGCUCAUGGAAGUGGAAAAAAAAGUGUGAUCGAGAAAAAUGAAAAGGCGUGAAUAAUUUUUGACAAAAAGCGAAAAUCAAGGAAAGCCGGCUCUUUCCAGAAAAUAAAAAAAAGAAAAAAAGAAAAAAGAAAAUCAUAAGUUUGAAAGGAGAAGAUGAUAUUGGAAGUAUGCAGUGUGGCUGCCAGGUACUUGGAUUGUAUUGUCGGGUAAGGUAAUAGUGGAGAAUUGUAAGUUUGAACGGAGCAUGUUGGACUUUUGUUGACCAAAUUCAAAAGCCAAAUGGCACGGCCCGGAAGCUUUUGAAUAGAAAAACUUGCUAGAAAGCAUCAGUUUAAAUCACUACUUAAACGCUUGCUUUAACUGCACCGCUUUGUACUGUUUUAUGUAUGUAGCGGUUGUGCGGUUGUAAUUCACGGCUGACGCUACGUGUUUGUUUGUACUGUUCUAUUCGGUGACAGAGUAUUAUUAGUUAGGCCAAAACUAUGUUGCAACAGUGGUACAGUAGCACUGUUGCUUUCAGUCAUUAGAUCUAUAGUUGUACAGUUGCAUUAACAAGAUCCAAUGACUGAAAGCAACAGUAGUACCGAACUACUGUUGCAACAUAGCUGGAGCCUAUUAGUUAUUUCAAAGGGAUAAAUAAGAUUGGUUACAACAAACCUACUAAUUUUAUAAAAUUCAAGUAACAUAGAAUAAAAUAAAAAAAUAAAUACAAAAUUGACUUUUAUUUUUUAUGGUUGACUAUAUUUUGUGUUCUCUUCGGGCACUGCUACAAUUGUUCCCUAUAUAUCAAUUACACCACAUACUAUCGACACAAGAAAUGAAAUCUAAUAUCACCUGUUUAGUUAAAAAAUCACUCAUGAAAAAAUUUUACCAUUUUGAUUUGAGGAUCCAUAUUUUAAACUACAAGCUAAUGUUCAUCAAGAAUUACUGAUGGACAAAUUAUUUUUUUUGAUAGAAGAAUUUCUUUAGGAACUACUAAAUUAUUAAUAAAAAUAUCGAACACACCCACAUAUCAUCGACACAAUUGAUUUUGAGGAUCCAUGCUUUGAACUACAGCCUAAUGUUCAUCAAGAAUAGAGUAUGGCUUAUGAGUAGAAAAUUUUCUUAUUUUGGCCCAAAAUAAAAAGAAAUUAAAUUGGAUGAGAAUCUGCCACUUUCUCAUGAAGAAAGGCAUACGGAGCAUACCAUGGUACCAUACAAUAUAAGAAGCCUCCGUUCUUUGGUUUUUCAAACUCUGAAGGGGCUAAUAUUGCCAAAUUCCCCCUUGAAAAUUCUGAUUACGACAUUAUUCAUCGCUUGAUGCAAUCAAAGUAGUGACAAAGUUAGGAAAAAUAUGAGUCCUAAGUAAUUGCUAGGCAGGGCUCCUGAGAGCAAAAUUGUCCUAAGCAUUAUAUGCAUACAUAGUGCAGUACAUAGAGCACGUUGAAUUCCCCACUAUAACACAAACCCAGAAAGACAAGUAAUAACUCAACUGAUAUAAAGACAAAAAGAAGAUAAAAUGAUAUAGAAAAAAGAAUUUCAAAGAGACAGCAACAUACAAUAGACUGAAGCCACUUGAUCUGCUCAUUGAUUGCAGCCUUAAACUUGCAAAUAGUUACUGUACGCUAGUGCUCUAAGAAGUGAAAAUGAUGCGAGCCCUGAUUCCCUUUUGACUUCCAUUUACUGUCAAACAUUCUAGUAAUACAAAAAAUUGUUUAGAUAUCUUGCUAUAAAUAUAGCCGUUUGACUGUCAUAAUAAAGUCACAAAUAACCAUUCAUAUUGAUCUACUGUCACACAGCAUGCUUUAUGCAUACAACAGCUGUAUGCAUACCAACUCCUAACCUUAUCAAUACAUUUGGCAAAAACUUAAGAAGAAAGCUAUUUCUCCAUCUCUUUUUUGAAAUUUCACAAUAACCAGCACAAUGUGAAAGCUAUGUUCUAACCUUAUGAUAAAUGCUCCAGACUCCAAAAGGGUUUUAUAUAUGAGAGUUUGUUGCAGCAGAUAUAUUGACUUAUCAAGUAUGAAUCAUUGUCUGGAUGAACUAUCUUUAGAUAAAAGAAUAUUAGAACCACUGUAGAAUAUCUUUACCCUGCUGGUUCUAACAGGAAUCUGCAUGUGGCAACAAUUGCUAGACCCACAAUUCCCCAACUUGAAAUACAUAGUUGCACACCAUGAGAUAGUGCUACAAUCUACUGAGAUCUAACUUAUAUGGUACUUUAAGCUACUAAUGUUUGCAUAUUUCUACAUGUUAAAUUAACACUAUCAUCUAUAAUCACUCCAAAACAACAAAUGAUAAGCAGCUUUUGGCCACUUAUUACUAGCAUACACAAUUAUAAAUAAGAGAUCAUGGGUUUACUUGUUGCACCUACUUAAUUAUCUGCAGUUGACAUCCUGACACAAGGUUUAAAUAGUGACUGCUUAGAACCCUUGUAGUUGGAUCUUGACCUCUCCCAUUGUAGCCAAGAUUGGUUACUCUGGUAAUGAAUCAACACUCUCCUGCUCAGGGCCAUGAAGAUCUGAAAGCUCAGCACUAGUGGAGAACUUCAUCAAUCUCUUCUUCUCAGCAUACUUGAGACAAGGCUGCAUUACGAGACCAAUCACCACAGCACCAACGCUUAAAACUGCAACUUUUAAAGAAGAAAGAGCCAACACAACACAACACAAAUCAAUAUGGUUGGAGGAAUACACAUGAUAAUGGCUCCAACAGUGCCAGUGGGUAUCUUGUAGGGAUGAGAUGCAGCAGGAUAUUGUAUCCUUAACCAUACAAAUGCUAUGAACUCCAUAAUCAUUCCAAAACAGUACAGGAAGUUCUCUGCAGCUACAAUAUCUCGAAAGCUCAGCCAUGAUAGCAAAACCACACCAGAAGCUGAGAAUAUGAUUCCAAUCAAAGGAGUCCCAUAACAAGACCUCUUAGCAAAAAACUGAGGUAGCAUUCCACGCUCAGCCAUCCCCAAAAGUUGGAAAGAGUCGCUGCUCAUCUCAGCCACAAACAUGCCCAUAUUGGACAUUGCUGCAGCCCCCUGGAUGCACCAUCUCAACCAAACUCCUCCAAGCACUUUAGCAAUAUCUGAAAAGUAACCAUCGGUCCACAAGUCGCGAUCUAAUGGAAUAGCUCCAGUUCAAACUAGAAGGGGAAAGAAAUACCCAAAAAUGACCAAGAUCAAAGCAUAAAACAAAGCCUUUGGAAGAGUCUUCUUUGGGUUAUCCACCUCUCCAGCUAGUGUACUUAUUGAGUCCCAGUAGUUGAGAUUCCAAAACAGGGUGUUCAAAUACAAAUUCCAAUCCACUUCACCUAAAUUUACUACAAGCCAUCUUGAAGGCUCUAACUUGGGAAGGGACACAAGUCCCAUAACCCCAAAAGGAAGGAGUGAGAAAAUCCCUAAAAGAACAGCAGCCCAUCCCACAAUGGUUAGACCCCUAUAGUUCAUGAAAGUGAGAACAAAAGUCAAAGCUAACGCCGCAAAGGCUCUAGGUAACCCAUUGCCCAACGCAGGGAUACCAGACUUCAAGUAGUCAAGAAACAGAACUGGGUAUAAAGCAUUAUCAAUAACCCCACUUAGCCAUCCAACCUUGCUGAAAACCCCAAUAUGGGCCUAAGGCAGAUGAAACCCAAACCACAUAACCACAAUUUUCAGGAAACACAGUACCCAUUUCGGCAGUAAUUAAAGCUUCAGGGACACUCCAUAUAAUCGGAAACACCAAGAAACCAAGAAGUGCUAAAAGAGGACCAGCUGCCUUUACACUAUCCUCAACACCAAACGGCCCCCCAGAAACCUCAUAGAAUAUAAGGAAAAUAAGUGGCAAGAUUGAUACUUUUUUAGUGCCAUGGACUCGAGGAGAAGAUGGUUGGUCAUUGAUAUUAACAUAUUCAACAGCAUCAGACUGCCCUAUUUCUACUGAAACUUGCCUAUUUACAGUGUUCCUCAAUUUCUGCAUCAAGUUUAAGCAUAACUAUCAAAAGGGUAUCCGCAUCUAAAUUAUGAAACAAAAUGAGCAUUUACUUAUUAAAAAAAAUCAAAAAACAGAAAUGGAUUUCGCAGAGCACAUGAAUUUAAGUUCAACAUUAAACAGGCGCUUAAGAAAACAAAAGGGUCUGUUCGUAAAGCCAUCAGAUUGCAAGAUUGAACAACAUUAACGGAAUCAAUAGAAUAGAUGUAAAGAGAUCUGAAAAGAAAAUAAAAUAAAAGAUAAAGAGAGAUAAAACGAACCAUCAAAUAAGUGCAUGCAGAGCAGAGAGGCAGAUACUAGAGAAGCUCCGUCAUGUUAGAGAGAGCCUAAUUCAAUCAGAGCUCACUGAGUUUCUUUUCAACCGACCGGCAAAUUUGGAGUGGCACAACAUAAUAUUUUUACUUUUAAUUUUUGGAACACUUUUGAAUAGAAUUUUUUGUUUUUAAAAAAGGUAAGGGAGAUUAGUAUUUAUUUAACGGAUCAGGCUACGGUGCAACUGUGGCACCGUGCCACAGUUGCAUCUAGCCGUUGGAUGCAAUUGGAAUGGUGGAGUCCACUGACAUCCAACGGUUAGAUACAACUAUGACACGGUACCACAGUUGCACCUAAGGUUCCCUUAUUUAACUUUAUAUUUUUUAAAAUACCUUAAAAAUAUUUUUAUGUUAAAAUAUUAAUAUUUUUAUUAAUAAUUUUUAUAUUUUUAAUUUAUUUUUAUAAUAUUAUUUUUUAUAAUAAUUUUUUAUUUAAAUAUUAAUAAAAAAAUAAUUAAAUUAACAAUUUAAUCCUAAAAUAAAUAAACACGUGUUUGGUUUUGGGCUUUUUCUUUUGUUCGUUUAAUAUCAUCUGGCUCCCUGAUUUGUGACUAAUUAUCAACAGAAUCCCGUUGGUUUCUAAAUUGAAAUAAUAGAAGGUCAUGAGACUAUUUACUCCAUUUAGCACUGCAGACUUAGAGUAUAUUGAAAAAGCUUUGUCAAAUAGUAGUAAUAGGGGCAUAAGAAAUAAAUUAUAGCUAUCACAAAUUCGUUAGGAGAAUUUCAAUUUUUUCCAUCAAUAAUGGCUAUGAAGCAAAAUUACCUUAGGUUAUAUUGCAAUACUAAUACUUCAAAUCCUGAUAAUAAAUUUGAUGACAGUCGUUUUUAUCAUGGUUUUAACAGAUAUAAGAAGAGAAAAUUAACUGUUCAAACAAAUUAGAAGCAAAUUCUUUCAUAUCUUUCUUUUAUUUUUCCGCUUACUUUCUUAGCAUCCAAACAAGUUAAAGUUAAAACGCUGUUAGAGCCAACAAUAUGCAGGCAUCAAUAAGCAUAGUAGUUUUGUAUAUGUAUUCUAUACGAUAUUCUAGGGAUGUCAAUUGUAGAACAUUUUGUGGUAACUUUUUUACAUUAAUUAAUGUUUGAAGAACUUGUUAAAAAGAAAAUGGUAAUUUUAUCAUUUUGAAAGACAAAAAAAAAAAAAAAAAGAGUGAAAGUGGCGUUACCUCAUGGUCAUUAGAGACUUGUUGCAAUGAUAGCUCAAAAUUAAAAAUUUGUGAAGAAUUAGUAGACAACGACGAUACUAUAUUUAUACAGUCACCAACGUGUUGAUUUUUGUUUAAUGUUUGAUCGAUAGAAACUUUCGUCGUCGUCGCCGUUGUUGAAUUUGUGCUAAGAAUAUCACAAGAGAAGAAAAAAGGAUGAAAGGGAAGAGAAGAAGAGAGAAGUGGUGGACAGCAAAUAUGAUAUGCUAGCUACACACAGGCCUUAGAGAGUUUUUUUUUAAUAUUUAUUGUAUUUUUGUUUUUGUUAUUGGUUUUUCAUAUGCUUCCAAGGCAGCAAUGCGUUACAUCAUAAAUUGCACCUUUUAGGGGAGGUGGUAAAAAACAUGAGAGCAAUGCAUUCUAGCGCAUACAUGCAGAAAGAGUUUCCAAAUUUUCAAAAGUUUCUUUAUUUCUUCCACCUUUUUUUGCUUAAAAUAAAUUUUAAUUGUAUUUUGCAUUAACUUAGAGAAAAAAAAAUCCAGUUCUAUACAUAAACGCAUACAUUGAUUAGAAAAUGAGUUUUAUGGACACAAAGGGACAAUAUAAGAGAUUCUUUUUGUUUAUUAGAAGUAACAUAACUAGUUAGUGUAACAUGUAAUUAUAAGCUACCAAUAAUUUGCACUAAUGAUAAUUAACGGUAUAGAUUUUGAGCUAUGAAUGUCUUGUGGCUAGUUUAAUUAGAUUUUCGAGUUUUCAGCAGAUCUAUUUUAAUGAUUAUUAAAUUAUUUUCACUUCUUAUGCCUUAAUAAAAAAAAUCAAUAUUUUUUGCUGUAUUCUAUAUUUUAAAACUUAAUUUUUAGUUCUUUAUAUUGCAAACCAAACUGAGUCAAAUAGAGUAUGCUCUUCAAAUAAUUUUUCCAUUGCCUUCAAGAAGAAUUCAUUUUAUUUUUAUAUAUUAAUUUAACACUUGUAAACCGGGCCGUCAGAUUGCACAUAAAGCAAAUGAUCAAACCGUUACAAGACCGGCCCAGGCCCACCGACUCUAUUUUCUUUCAUUUGACCAUUAAAAAGCUUUUGGCCACCCCCACCAAAUAAAUAAGCUCUUGUUCUCUUUUGUUCCCUCUCAAAGGAAAAUAUCUGAUCACCGGAUAAUGAUUCCGGCGACACAAAAGAUCGAAACACCCCCCUAAAUUCCCUAAAUUUACGAUAAUACCCCACCAUGGAUGAUUCCGUUGAAAUGCCGCCUUACGAUGAAAGGCCUAAAAAGGGUUUUAACUUCACCUCCAUGCGCUUGAUCUUAACCCUCGUUUUCCCAAUUUUAACUUGCUUUUUGUUGGCAUUUUUUAUUGGAAUCGUAGCUGUUUUAUUCGGUGAAUCAUCAGUUUCCAGUUCCAUUUUUGUCCCUUCCCAGUGCAAGAUAGUGUCCAGCAGUAAGCUUUUUUUAACAUUUUCAAUUUUUUUUCCAUUUAUGAAGUCCAAAAAUUUUAUUAAUUUUGACUUUUUUGAAUGAUUUUGCAGGUGUUGAUAUAAGGUCAUCAAAAGUUUGUGAACUUGGGGUGUUGAAUUAUAAGGCGAAGCGUGUGUUUUAUCCAUUUGAAGCAAGUAAAUUUCGCUGUCGGUAUGAUUACUAUUAGGCUUCUAUCUUCAAGGUAUUCAUACAUUUUCCCCUGUACUAUAAGCUUCUCAGUGGCGGUCUUGUGAGCGGAAGUGAGCGGUGUGGUUGACAGCUUCUUGAAAAUUAUAAGUUUGAACCAAGCAUGUUAGAGCACCACCAAAAGCCUCUUUAAAUAAGAUUUUAUUAUUUAUUUAAAGAGCCACAUCAAUAUUGAAAGCUCCAAAAGACACUUCAAUUAAAAUUCUUUAAAUAAGAAUUGAUUCUCUUCAAAUUUGGAGAGUUAAUUUCUCCCUCUUCAAUUUAUAUUUUAUUACUUUUCAUUGAAGAAAUAGAGAAAUGCUUUAAUUGCUAUUAACUUUUCCUUUAAAAAACUAAUUAUAUGAUUAAAAUAAUAUUAACUUAUUUAUAUUUGAAGAGUCUUUUGAAGAAUAUCAUAUUUUUUUCACCAUUCUAUUUGCCACAUAGGUAAACAAAUAGAUAUUUAAAGAGUAAAAUUUAUAGAAACUUUUGGAGAUGCUCUUAGACUUUUGUUGACCAAAUUCGAAAGCCAAAUGGCACAGCUCAGAAGCUUUUGAAUUGAAUAACUUACUAGGAAGCUCCAAUUUUUUGUUGGCUACAGUAAAAGGAUGUUGUUUUAUUCUUCUUAUACUUUACGCUUGCAUCAGCUUAAAUCACUUCUUAAACGCUUUGCUUUAACUCCACUGCUUUGCUGGGGCGGAUUUACCUUGGAACAAGUGGGGACUUAAGUCCCCACUGAAAAAAAAAUUGUUUUAAUAAUUAAUUUGAUUUGCCAAAACUUCUCAAUAAAUUUUUCUUAAGCCCCCAUAAUUUCUUUCAACAAGCAAUUGAUCUAAAUGAGUUAAUUUCUGUCAGUUGUAUCCAAAUGAGUUCUCUGCAAUUGAUAUCAUGGCACUUGAAAUUCAACUUGAUACAUAUAUUUUGGAUAUGCGCACUAGUGCGAGACUAAAAGACAUAAGGUAUAUCCAUUGGUUUACUUGUUAAUAAUAUUAGCAUUGACUUUACCCGUUGCCAUUGCUAGUGUAGAGAGUAUUUUCAGCCAUGAACAUUUUGAAGAAUUGGUUAUAAAGCUGUGAGUAAUAGAUGAAUGAUAGUUUAAUUAUUUACAUAGAAAAAUACUUAUUUAAUAAUAUUGAUAAUGAACUUGUAAUGCAACAUUUUUAAUGUAUGAAAACUUGAAAGGACAAUUGUAAACAUAUAUUGAAGUAUGAUAAAUCUUUCAAAUUUAUAUAUUUAUUACUUUUUAAAUUUUUUUAUAUUGCCGUUGAAUGAGCCCCCAGUCAAUCAAUAUGUUGUCUUCACCCUGCUUCGUACUCUUCUAUAUAUGUAUCGGGUAUGCAGUUGUAGUUAAUGGUUGAGACUACGUGUUUGUUUGACGUGGUAGUUACGUUACGAGUCUGUUAAACAUUCGAUGAUUAAAGUAUUAUCUGUUAUUUCAAAGGGACAAAUAAGAUUAGCUACAACACACCCACUAGUUUUAUAAAAUUCGAAUGAGAUGGAAUAAAAUAAAAAAUAAAUAAGUAAAUUGACUUUUAAUUUUAGUGGUUGAAUAUAUUUUCUAUUCUCUUAGGGCACUGCUGUAAUUAUUCCUUAAACGUCAGUCAUACCCACAUAUAAUAGACACAAGAAAUGAAAUCUAAAAUCACCUGUUUAGUUAAAGAAUCAUCAUGAAAAAAUUUUGCCAUUUUGAUUUGAAGAUCCACUUUUUGAACAACCAACUUAUGUUCAUCAAGAACGGAUCAUGGCUUGUGAGUAGAAAAAUUAUUUUUGGACAAAUUAUUUUUUUUAAUAGAAGAAUUUCUCAAGGGACUAAUAAAAUUACUAAUAAAAAUGUCAGACACACCCACGUACCAUCGACACAAUUGACUAUGAGGAUCCAUGUUUUGAACUUCCACCUAAUGUUCAUCAAGAACAGAAUAUGGCUUGUGAAAAGAAAAUUUUCUGAUUUUGGCCUGGAACAAAAAGAAAUUAAAUUGAAGGAGAAUCUGCUACUUUCUCAUUAAGAAAGGCAGACAUGGUAUACCAUGGUACCAUACAAUAUAAAAAGUCUCCAUUCUCUGGCUUUUCAAACUCUGAAGGGGGCAAUAUUCCCCAAUUCUCCCGUGAAAAUUCUAAUUACGACAUUAUUCAUCGGUUGAUACAUAAGUACAAGUAGUGACAAAAUUAGGAAAAAUAUGACUCAUAAGUAAUUACUAGGCAGGGCUCUUGAGAGCAACAUUGUACUAGGCUUUAUAUGCAAACAUGGUGUGGUACAUAGAGCACGUUGAAUUCCACACUAUAACACAAACCCAGAAAGACAAGUAAUAUCUCAACUGAUAUAAAGACAAAAAGAAGAUAAAAUGAUACAGAACAAAGAAUUUCUAAGAGACAGCAACAUACAAUAGACUAAAGCCAGUUGAUCUGCUCAUUGAUUGCAGCCUUAAACUUGCAAAUGUUUACUGUAGCCUGGUGCUCUAAGAAGUGAAAAUGAUGCAAACCUUGAUUCCCUGUUUACUUCCAUUUACCAUCAACACAUUCUAUUCAUAAGAAAAAAAAUGUUUAGAUAUCUUGCCGUAAAUAUAGCCAUUUGAUUGUCUUAAUAAAGCCACACACAACCAUUCAUAUUGAUCCACAUUGCCACAUAGCCUGAUUUAAGCAUACAACAGCUGAAUGUAUACCUAACUCCUAACCUUAUCAAUACAUUGGCGACAACUUAAGAAGAAAACUAUUUCUCCAUCUCUUUUUUGAAAUUUCACAAUAAAACAGCACAAUGUAAGAGCUGCAAUGAAAAUGGACCGUCUGAAACUAUGGCGGAAGCUUCAACUAGUGUAGUGAUUUGACCUUCUUAUUAACCUAGCGAGAUCAAACACUGCCCUUGAUCUUGAACAGAUCAAUACGAUACGCACAACUUAUGAUUGAAUCCAGAAACAAUCAAAUCUUUAGCAAGAAUAAUUAAUCAGAAUCAAGAAACAAGUUUAAUGAAUAUAAACCUAUAAUUGGAACAAACACAGCCAAAGAACCCAAGAAUGACACAACGAACACCAAGGGAGAAGCUUUCCAGUGAGAUUAUAUUGAUGAUCAAAGAAGAAUCUUUUUACAAAGCUAACAAAAGAGAUUUCAGAGAAUAAGCUAUGACCCUCUCUCUCUUCAAUCUCUGUCUAGUUUGUUAACAGUGAUGACCCAAUCUGCUUCGUUAGCCAGCUUCAUAACUGCGUCAGUGACAAACCAGCAAACCCAGAUUGAGCAGACUAACGACACGUGCAUAACGGCUUUAACGAACUUGGUUAAAGAACUGCUCACAUGUUCGUCACGCGUGUUGCUUAAAUGAUAGCCAAAACGACUUCAACCAGAUGCCGUUUUGAAGCUUAUGAAUUAUAAGUGAAAACACGUGCUUGUCUCGUGACAUUUAAAUGCAACAACAAGCCCAAAACACUGCCGUUUCACUAUGUUGAGUUUGCCAUCUCUAAGCUUCACAACUAGCAGCGGACAAGAUGAUAAUUUAAUUGACAUGGACAACUUUUAUAUCACUUUUACAACAUUCUAUAUAAUUGUGAUAUUGGGAAUCGUCGGUGUUGUAUAUGUGAACCCUCGUUGGCGACACUGGUGGUUUUAUCUUUGUUGAAAUAUGGAUGACUUUUUGUUACUAUUUUGUUGUACAUAGUACAUAACCUUAUUCCCAGGAGAUUUAAUCAUUGAAAUUAACAUGUUAGUUUCAUUAGAAGGCUGAGUGGUUAGGGCUGCUACCCUCCAACUUGGAGGGCAAUAGUUUAAACCCACAAGCGCAAUGUGGGGGUAUUUCAUUCUUUAAUUACAUUGUAUAAUUGAAUAAAUGUAAUCUUCUCUCUUACACAAGUGUGAGUGGAGUAGACAUCUCUCGAAUAUUAGCGAGGGUUAAAACUUGGACAGAGCUCAAUAAGUAUUUAUGUAAGUUGGUCCUAGUAAUAAUCUGAUUUGUAAAUAUCAGUUAUAGUCUCAUGUUUCCUUCCUUAAUUAUAUUGUAUAAUUAAGUAAAUGUACUCUUCUCUCUUACCCAAGUGUGAGUGGAGUAAACAUCCCUAGAAUAUUAGUGAGGGUUAAAAUCUGGACAGAGCUCCAUAAGUAUUGAUGUAAGUUGAUCCCAGUAAUAGUAUGAUUUGUAAAUAUCAGUUAUAAUCUCAUGUAAUAUGAGUUGUAAUUUGAGCAACAGUUUCAUGUAAUUACAAAAAAAAUGCUACUUUCAUUACAUUUUUCUUCGUUAAAAUUCUCAAGUAUCAAUUAUGUUUGCUUAAGAAAUAAAAUUUCGUUAUGAAAAUUGUAGUAGUAUUUCCGAGCAUCUCACAUUUUCAAUGAUUUUUCAUAAAUCAAUUAAUCUGUCGUACCAAUAUCAUGUUUAGUUUUUCAGACUAAAUAAUCAAGAAAGCAAACAAAUUCACAGUUUAGAGGGGUAAACUAGCUUUUAGAUUUUAGAACUAGGCUAGAUACCUCACCAAAUUCCAAUUUGUACAGUGAACUACAAGAUUGAGAAAAUAAUGUAUUUAUAGUUUAAUUGAAUCAUGAGAAAACAAUGUAGUCAUAGCUCAAUCGGACAUGAUCACGGAGAGGCAUAUUCUUUUCAAGUUAAUUUGAUCCAUUUAUAAGAAAUGAAGUGGAUCGAAGUUAAAAGUUAAAAUAAAAAAUCCUUAUUCUUGAGUUUUACGACGUCGUUACUCCUUCAAGAGGCUGAUUGUGCAAGUGAAUGGAGAAACAGAAUGCUUUUAUAAUUUUUUUAAUAAUUGUAAAAAUAAUUAACCAUAACAAAUCCCUUGCGUAAAUACUAAUCAUUAUUUAAAAGGUAGAAAGAUAGUUAGUGCACAAUCAAAUUUUAAGCCCCUACCUCCUCGGCCCAAGAUUCAAACUUAGAUGAUCAGCCAAAUAAAAUUAUUUGAAAAUCAUUCAAUCAGGUUCCCGGAGUAAAAAUACAAGAUCCUUAUUAUAAAAGUUGUCCCACCUGCUGGUGUAUAACAACCACUUCAAUUCAAACUAGAUUCUUUUUGUUUUUUUUAAUGUAAUCCUGAUAAUAUUUAUGUUAUCUUAAGAAUAGGUCAGCUUGAUUAUUGCUGAAAUAUAGGAGGAAGUUAGCUUUGAUUCAUUGUAUUAUUUAUACGCUCUGAUACCAUAAAGAGAUUGAUAAUUGAAAAUGAACUCACUUCGUUACUGGUAUGUCUGGUUCGGUGGUUGGCGGGGAAGGUGGAAGAGAUGGUUGGCGGGCAGGUAGAGCUUCCUGUGGGGUUGGGUCAGCUGGUUGUGAAGUAGCCUCAGGCAGAGAUAAUUCUUGAGAGCUAGCUGCAGAUGGAGUGUUGGCUGCCUGCUGGAGUGAUGUGGGAAUGGACACAGUAAGUACAGGAGGAAUCCAAGUGGAUAUGGUAGUGGAAGUAGGACGUGGAAGAGUGGUGUGUAGUGAGGUGUAUGGAAAGACUGAUUCAACAAAUUGAACAUGGCGAGAAACAUGUUGCUGUUGAUUAUCAUUUUAUCAGAGAUCAAGUUCAAUCUGGUCUACUUCGAGUAGCUCAUGUCUCCUCUGCUGAUCAGCUUGCCGAUCUUCUCACCAAGCCACUGCCCACUUCUCAGUUCUUGCUUUUACGGGACAAGAUUGGCCUCUCUACUCGUGGCCUAUCUUGAGGGGGCAUAUAAAAGUUGUCCCACCUGCUGGUGUAUAACAACCACUUCAAUUCAAACUAGAUUCUUUUUGUUUUUUUGAAUGUAAUCCUGAUAAUAUUUCUGUUAUCUUAAGAAUAGGUCAGCUUGAUUAUUGCUGAAAUAUAGGAGGAAGUUAGGUUUGAUUCGUUGUAUUAUUUAUACGCUUUGAUUCUAAUGGAACGAAGUGAGUUCAUUUUCAAUUAUCAAUCUCUUUACUUAUUUGCAUGAUAUAUAUGAAUUAAUGUAAUUUAUUUGAAUUAUCCAAAUUCAUUAGAGAUAAAACUAUAAAAUAUACCAAAAACGUUAGAAGGAAGGGUGUGUUGGGAUGUUUUACAAACUAUAGGAAUCUGGUGAGAUUUUGAGCCAAACUGUAGGGAGUUGAAGGCAUUUGCCCAAUAUGUUUAGUCGUACACUAACCGUUAUUUGAUCUUGUUGUUGGUCCCGGAUGAGCUGUAGUCUUAUUUUAAUUUUAUUUAAACUCACCAUAAGAUUCGCGGAGCUCCUAACUAACUUAAAUGACUCUGCAGAGCAUGUCAACACAUAGCAUGUUUAACCGUUUUAUUUGUAGAAGAAUUUAUGAUUUCCCAUUAGCAUUAUUAUUGAAGUGGGGCGGGGGCGGGUCAAAUCUCAAUUGCUUGAAAAUUUUAUUUAUUAUUAUUAGUCUUGAAGUGAGGUGGGUAACGGUUCGCUCCAAUUCGAGGGAAUCAAAUAUAUCAUCCAAGGUAGAAUUGUGGAAAAUUAAAGCAAAAUAAGAAAUAUGGAAAGAAAAGAAGAAAGUUAAGGCAUGAAAGACAUAUACAGUUGAAAUUAUAAUCAUGUUUCUAUUUUGUUAACUAAUCAAAUGGAAAGCUGAACUGUAAACAAACAUUAAAACGUGUGGACCAAGCUAGCUGCCCUACAAGUCCACAAUAAUAAUUGAGUACUUUGAUUCAUCCUUCUAUAAAUUUCUACCCAUAUUGACUCCACCGAAAUUUCCACAAAAUUAAAAAAAAAAAACUGAAUUUCCACAAAAUACAAAACCCGUUGAACUUAUUUUUUGGUCAUGUGAACUAAGAUGUAAAUUAAAAAAAAAGUAUAAAAUUAAAAAAGAUAAGAUUUCUAAAAUGUGUGGAAGGUGAUUCAUGAUUCACUGAAAUUACUUACCCCAGAUAUAAAAGUAAACCUAUCUAAUUUCAUUAAAAAUAGUUAGAAAAAAUUAACUAAUAAAAAGCUACGGAAAUUAACCCCCCACAAAAAUGACUUUUUAUAGAAGAAUUUAUGUUUUUUAAAAUAUGUUAUCAAAGUGUAUUUGAUCAAAUCUCAAUUGCUUAGUAUGGUUAGGAUUUUGUGAACAUCACUAAAAAGUGAAAAACUAUGAAUGAUAGGGGUGAUGCUUGCAAUAUGAAUAAAUAAUGGACUGAUUCAAUUGAUGAUUACAUUUAUAUAUUAUUGAUUAUUUAUGAAUUUUCAGACUUGUUAUGAUGUAUAACUAUGUGAUUUUGAAACUUGAAACCGUGGCAAACAUUGAAAGGAAUUAUAACUUGAAAGCAUGACUCACGGGGUAUGUCAUGAUUCACGUGCACAAAAAAGGUAGAAUUGUGGAAAUUUACAACCCAACGACAAAUACGGAAAGAAAGGAAGAAAAUUAAAAGACUUCGGGCCUAGCCUGCGUGUAUUAAUUAUUAGAUUACUUUUUUUUUUAUAAGGGUAAUCAUCAAUUUACUCCAUAACAAUCUUUAAUUCAUUUUUAAAAAAUAUGAAAACUUUAAUUUAUCUUUUAAACAUCGUUACCUCUUCAUUGGUUUUAAUAGUUCAAAGGGUAAAAUUAUAUUUGCAUAUUUUCUUGACCGCCAACUAAAUGAUAAAACUCAAAAUUCAAUCUUGUUAUCUUGUUUCAAUCCUCUAUCAAUCAAAUAAGAUUUCUAAAAUAUGUGAAAGAUAUUGCAUGAUUUCCUCAACCUACCUGGCCCCGAACAUCAAGGUAAAUCUCUCUAAAAUAGUUGAUUAAAUCUCAGUUGCUAAGUAUAGUUAGGAUUGUGUGAACAUCACUGAAAACUAUGAUUGAUAGAAGUGAUCUUUGCAAUAUGAAUAAAUAAUUAACUGAAUCAAUUGAUUUAUAUAUUAAAGUUUAUGAAUUUUCGGACUUGUUGCGAUAUAAUAAUAGCAUAUGAUUUGAAACUUGAAACAGUGGUAAAUAUUGAAAGGAAUUAAUUUGAAAGCAUGAUCCGUGGGGAAUGUGAUGAAUCGUGUUUACAAAAAAGGUAGAAUUGUGGAAAUUUAUAACAGAACGAUAAAUAUGGUAAAAAGGAAGAAAAUUGAAAGACUUGGGGCCUGGCCUGGGUGUAUUUUCUAACUGUCCAAUGGACAAAAUUAUAUUUGUAUACUUUCUCUUCCCUAGCUAGGUUUCAUAGAAUAGCUCAUUUCAUUUUUAUUUUUUAAAUAAUAGCCCAAAACAUCCUUAUGUUAAUUCACUGUUAGUUGAAUAUCAUUUGUUAGUAAUUCAUUAAGGGUAAAAAAUGAUUUUCUAUCAAAGAGAAAAUUAGAAAAAUAAAUAAAAGUUGACAUAUAACUAAAAAUGAUCUUAUCUAAUCCCACUAAAUAAGAAAUGCCAAAAAAGAUGAAAAAUUUAUAUUUCAAGCAAUUCUUUUUUCACUUAUUUCUAUUUUGGCGGCAUGAAAGCCCUAUAAACCCUAGAUCUAAAUACCAAAAAUAUCACAAUUUUCUUAUUCAUAUAAGUAUACUCUCUAAUUGCAUUGUAAAAUGGCUUGAAUUGAAUUGAAGAUAAAGAAAAUAUUCAGCACAUGCAAGCACAUAAAAAUUGGUGGCAUUUUUGAGUUUUUCUUCCAAUGAUUUAAAGAUAUUGUUUUAAUUACAGUUUGUUCCUUAUGACAAUUAUUCAAUGGCUAUAUCAAACUAUAUCAUCGUUGAUUUCAUUUAAGAAAAAGUUAAUGAAUUUUGCAUACUUUGUAGUGUUAUUUAAUUGUGUAAAAAAAUUAUUUUAAUAUAGUUUGUAUCACUUUAAUGAAAAAUCUUAUUUUGCUCUCAAUGAAUUACUGGUUAAUAGUUUUACACUCACGGUGAGUUAACGGAAGGAUAUUUUAGGCUAUUGAUUGAAAAGGAGGGAUAAAAUGGGCUAUUGCAUUAAACUUUAGGGAUGAAAAAUGCUUUUUCUCCUUUCUUAUCAAUCAACUAACUGAUAAAAGUCAAAACUCAUAUUUUUUUUUUCCUUGUUUCAAUCCCCUCUCAAUCAAAAAAGUUUCCUUGUCUAAGCAAUGAGGAAUAUGGCUAGAAAGAUUGUUAUUAGAAAGAUUUAUCAAUAGUAAUUGGUUCACAACUGAACAAUUUUAGAUUAUUGUGAGUCAAUAUAGGUCUUGUUUGGAAUUGAAGUGUUGUAGCUUUUAAGCUACAGCUGCUUUAGAAAAAAAACUAUAAUUAUGAAAUAAGAGUUAAUAAUAUAUAAUAAAUAUAAAUUUUAAAUAAUAAAUUUGACAAAAUUAUUAAAAAUAUAAUAGAUUUUUGAUAAUACAAGUAAAAAAAUCAUAUCAACAUAGCUUGCAAGUUACAACAGUUAGUGUUUACCUAAUACUUUAAUACUGUAGCUUUUAAGUUACAGUUGUCCAAUACCUCAAUUCCAAACGCACCUAUAAAAUGGCUUGCUUCAAAAGUCUAUCAACCCAACUUGGAAUGCUCUCAUUGUUGCGGAAACGUGGGUUGAGCAAUUACUAAUACUGCAACUUCUGGAGAAAUAUAAAUGUGGUGAUAAACAAAUGCAAAGAAAAUAGAACACAAUAUUUUACGUGGUUCGGCGUAAUGCCUACGUCCACGGGCAAAAACUGGAAGAUAAUUUUACUAACAAUGAAAUUUACAAAAGUGGGAAAAACUCACAAAACCCACAACCCCAAUACACCCAAAUGGAACCUCACUAGAACACUCAAGUGGAAGCUCUCUCAAAUUCUCUCAAAGAACUCACUUGCAAUUGCUCUCUACUUCUCUCAAAUUGGGAUGGUUACAAUAGCAAAAUGCUUCUCUAUUUAUAGAUUGCAUUCUGCUCCAAGUUGGGUUCAAUUUGUCAAAAUGUUGAGCUGGAUCUUGUAUUGCAUGCACGAGCUUUUCAACACCUAACUUUGUCUUUUGAAAUUGCUUAGCCGACCAUCUUUGCUUUUUUGAAUUUGGCAAGCAAUUCUUUGACUUUUCAACAAUUCUCCACCUCGGCGAAGAUUUAGUAAAUCUGAGCCGAUUAUCAAUAAAUUAUCCUCCAGCCUUUGCCUUCUCCGACUGCUUUUAAACUUGCAGGAUAUUAAUCAAGUUUAGACAAUGCUCAAACUUGAUCGCUGUCACCACCUUGGUCAACAUAUCUGCGGGAUUAUCUAUAGUUUUAAUUUUCUGAAGAAGAAUCUUCCCCUCAUCAAUAAUUUCCCGCACAAAGUGAAAGCGUACAUCGAUGUGCUUCGUACGCACAUGAUAAACUUGGUUCUUCGUUAAAUGAAUAGCACUCUGACUAUCGCAAUACACAUUAAUGUGCUCCUGCGCCAAUCCCAAGUUUUCAAGCAAACCUUAUAACCAAAUAGCCUCUUUAAUAGCCUCUGUAAUUGCCAUGUACUCGGCCUCUGUGGUCGAUAGUGCAACUGUAGACUGUAGUGUAGACUUCCAACUAAUUGGCCCUCCAGCAAAAGUAAAUACAUAUCUGGUGGUUGACCGUCGUUUGUCCAAAUCACCAGCAUAAUCAGAAUCAAUGUACUCGAUCACACUUUGACCAAGUGUAUCGUCUCUUUCAAACAGUAAACCAACAUCCACGGUCUUCUAAAUGUACCGUAGAAUCCAUUUCACAGCUUGCCAAUGUCCUUUACCAGGAUUAUGCAUAUACCUGCUCACUAUACCAACUGCAUGUGAAAUGUCAGGCCUUGUACACACCAUUGCAUACAUCAAGCUACCCACUGCAUUUGAAUACGAAACUUGUAACAUGUAUUCUCGUUCUGCAUAUGUUGAAGGAGAUAAUUGUGCAGAAAGCUUGAAAUGAGAAGCCAACGGGGUACUCACAGGUUUUGUCUGCUCAGUCAUGCCAAACUGCUGUAGUACCUUCUUCAAAUAUUGCUUUUGAGACAAGCUUACUUUGCCACGAGCUCUAUCUCUGCAUAUCUCCAUGCCAAGAAUCUUCUUAGCUUCACCUAAAUCUUUCAUUUCAAAUUCUUGAUUGAGUUGAGUCUUCAACUUCUCAAUCUCAUUUUUGCUCUUCGAUGCUAUUAGCAUAUCAUCGACAUACAAUAGCAAAUAAAUGAAAGAGCCUUCUUGUAGCUUGCGAAAAUACACACAAUAAUCAAAUUUAUUUCUUGUGUACCUUUGUCUUUUCAUAAAUCGAUCAAAUCGCUUGUACCACUGCCUCGGAGAUUGUUUCAACCCAUAAAGCGACUUUGUCAAUUUGCAAACCCAAUUUUCUUUUCCAGCAACCUUAAAUCCAUCUGGCUGAGUCAUGUAGAUUUCCUCUUCCAAAUCACCAUGUAAGAAUGCAGUUUUUACAUCAAGUUGAACUAGUUCAAUAUCAAAUUGCGCAACCAUGGCUAGCAAAAUUCGAAUAGAUGAAUGUUUCACAACUGGAGAAAAUACCUCAUUGUAGUCUAUUCCUUCCUUCUGAGCGUAACCCUUCGCUACCAAUCUAGCCUUGUAUCGAAUUUCAUUUUUACAAGGAAAUCCUUCCUUUUUUGCAUAUACCCAUUUGCACCCAAUUGCCUUCUUUUCCUUGGGCAGUGUAACUAACUCCCAAGUUUCAUUUUUGUGAAGAGACUGCAUUUCUUCGUUCAUUGCUUUCUUCCACUGUAUACUUUCUGGAUUACUUACUGCUUCUCUGUAAGUGGAAGGAACAUCAUCAUCUACAAUUGGAAGUGCAUAGGCCACCAUAUCAACAAAGCGAGCAAGUCUGCGAAUCUCUCUAUGUGGCCUUCUAUAUGCAAUUGAAUCAUGUUGCUGUGAAGGUUCCUAGGUCAGAACCUCUUCAUCAUUUUCGGUCGAUGGAGAAUCAUUAUCCAUCUCAUCGACACCAGCUGGAUCAGCUUUAACUUUUUCAAACUCCACAUGCUGCAAACUGCUACUGGUCUUGUCAUUCUCUUGAGAAUCUUUUUGUUUCAACAUGGUUGAUUCAUCAAAAGUUACAUCUCUGCUGAAAAUAAUCUUCUUCGUUACAGGACACCAGAGACGGUAUCCUUUUACUCCACCAGUUAUACCCAUGAACAAUGCUUUCUUUGCUCUUGGGUCUAACUUAGAUUCUUUUACAUGAUAAUAAGUAGUGGAACCAAAAACAUGUAAAGAAUUAUAAUCAGUAGUAGGUUUACCAGUCCACAUCUCCAUGGGUGUUCUGCCCUCAAUUGCAGUUGAUGGCAAACGGUUGAUCAAAUGGCACGCAUAUACAACUGCCUCAGCCCAAAACUCUUUGCCCAAUCCAGCAUUGGAUAACAUACACCGAACUUUCUCCAGUAUAGUCCGGUUCAUGCGUUCUGCCACCCCAUUCUGUUGUGGUGUAUCUCGAACAGUGAAAUGUCGCACAAUACCCUCAUCUUGGCAUAUUUGAAGAAAUGGAUCAUUCUUGUACUCACCACCAUUAUCUGAGCGAAGUCUUUUGAUCUUUCGACCAUUCUGAGUCUCGACCAUUUUCUUCCAUUUCAUAAAUAUGCCCAAAACUUCAUUUUUGUUCUUCAUCAAAUACACCCACACUUUUCUUGAAUAAUCAUCAACAAAAGUAACAAAAUAGUGCAUACCUCCCAAAGAAGCUGUUUUGGUAUGUCCCCACACAUCACUGUGAACAUAGUCCAUAAUUCCUUUUGUAUCGUGAAUUGCUGAACCAAACUUUACCCUUGUCUAUUUGCCCAGAACACAAUGUUCACAAAAUUCUAAUUUGCAAGAAUUUGUACCUUUCAAUAAGCCUUGCUUCGCUAAAGUUUGCAAAGCUUUUUCACCAGCAUGUCCCAAACGCAUAUGCCACAAUUUGGUUGCUUCUAAAUCUGCAUCUUUUCCAGAAACUGUUGAUGCUGAUCCAAUAACUGUACUUCCUUGGAAAUAGUACAAGUUAUUUCUUCUUGUGCCUUUCAUUACCGUCAGUGCCCCAGCUACUACCUUCAACAAUCCAUCUCUUAAAGUGAUUGUGAGUCCUUUAGAUUCUAGGACUCCUAAUGAGAUGAGAUUUUUCUUCAAGCUUGGUACAUAGCGAACAUCUGUCAAAACUUGGAUUGAGCCAUCAUGAUUCUUUAAUUGGAUUGUACCUAUUCCCAUGGUUUUACAAGCAUUGUCAUUGCCCAUAAAAACAACUCCACCGUCUAGCUCCUUGAAGUUAGAAAACCAGCCCUUGUUAGGACACAUAUGAUAAGUACAACCCGAAUCCAAAAUCCACUCAUCUGAGUGACAUAUCAAUGUCAUGCCAACCAGACUAAAGUCUGACUCCUCAUCAUGCUCUGCUACACAUGCAUCAGAAGUAGCCUUGCCCUUUUGUAACUUAGGACAAUUCUUUUUCCAAUGCCCUUUCUCGCGACAAAAAGCACAUUCAUCUUUGGCAGGUCUCCCUUUAGACUUGUUCCUUUUUCCAGGUUUGUGGCUUUGCGAACGACCUCUCGCUGUCAGUGCUUCUGCAACUGUAUAUCUGUGAUCCUUUCUAUCUUUCUUUCUGGUCUCAGAGUUGUACAAUGCACUGCAUACAGCAUCGAAUGUGACACUGUCCUUCCCAUGAAGCAAAGUAGUGGUAAGAUGAUCAUAUUCAUCAGGAAGGGAAUUCAACAACAAUAAUGCCUUAUCUUCAUCUUCAAAUCUCUCAUCUAGAUUUAGCAAAUCCGCCAAUAUCUUGUUGAAUGAGUUCACGUGGUCAUUCAUUGACAUGCCAUGUGUAUAUGUAAAUCGAUAGAGUUUCUUUUUCAUAUAAAGCCUAUUUUCAAGACUUUUCUUCAUAUGCUUUUCUUCCAGUGUCUCCCACAAUUUCUUUGCCGAUGUCUCCCUCAUGACAGAGUAUUUCUGAUCUUUAGCCAGACAUAGGCGAAUAGUACCACAUGCCUGUCUAUUGAUUUUUAUCCACUCCUUGUCAUCCAUCACGUCAGGCUUUUCUUCAAGAGCAACGUCCAACUCUUGUUGACAUAAGACAUCCAACACCUCACAUUGCCACAUACCAAAAUUAUUGGUACCAUCAAAUUUCUCCACUUCAAACUUUGCAUUAGUCACAGUAGUUCUCGCUGAUGAAGACGACGACGGUGCCUCUGCCAUCCUUUUUAUCUCAAAUGAUCAGUUUCUUCAACAACUAUUUACACUUAAAAAACAGCCUCUAUGAUGUUUAUUUCGCGUGAAUAAAUGCACCAGGAAAGUUCCCAAGAGACUGGACGGGAACUCGGUCCCAAUUAAAAACCAGAAUCCUUAGACUCUUAUCGCCUUUGUUGACAGAACUUUCCUAGACAUGCAAAAAUACACACUACUUACAAUAGACUGCCUCCCAAGUAUAAAUGACCGUCUCCACCGUAUUUGUGAACAGUACCGUUUAUAGGAAUAGUACCGUAUACGUGAACAAUACCGUAUCCCCCCAAGUACGAGCCGUCGGCUCUGAUACCACUUGUUGCGGAAACGUGGGUUGAGCAAUUACUAAUACUGCAACUUCUGGAGAAAUAUAAAUGUGGUGAUAAACAAAUGCAAAGAAAAUAGAACACAAUGUUUUACGUGGUUCGGCGUAAUGCCUACGUCCACGGGCAAAAACUGGAAGAUAAUUUUACUAACAAUGAAAUUUACAAAAGUGGGAAAAACUCACAAAACCCACAACCCCAAUACACCCAAAUGGAACCUCACUAGAACACUCAAGUGGAAGCUCUCUCAAAUUCUCUCAAAGAACUCACUUGCAAUUGCUCUCUACUUCUCUCAAAUUGGGAUGGUUACAAUAGCAAAAUGCUUCUCUAUUUAUAGAUUGCAUUCUGCUCCAAGUUAGGUUCAAUUUGUCAAAACGUUGAGCUGGAUCUUGUAUUGCAUGCACGAGCUUUUCAACACCUAACUUUGUCUUUUGAAAUUGCUUAGCCGACCAUCUUUGCUUUUUUGAAUUUGGCAAGCAAUUCUUUGACUUUUCAACACUCAUUCAAGUGGCUAUAACUAAGAUAAAACGUCGCAAAGGAAGAGUAAUUAAAAAAUGUAACUUCUUUAACAUGUCCAUAUAGCAUUUUUGUUUACAAGUGAAUUUGUGUGAUAGAGAGAGGAUGUAAGCAAGAUAGUAAACUCCUAAAUAUAUUAUUGUUUGUAAUGUCUAAAAUUUGAAGAGAAUCAAGCUAAUAAAACUCCAUUGAAAUUAGACCUUCAAGAGUACGGUUCUUGGGCAUUAUAAAAUGUUGUAAUGUUGAGAGAUUACCCAACCAUUAUGGAAUCCUACCAAGAUGAUUGUUACCACUAAGAUACAAUCCUUCUAGUGAACAACAAUUAGACAAAUUUUUUGGAGAUCUCUCUUACAAAGUCAUUACCAUCCAAUCGCAAUUUUGAAUGAAAAUAAAUUUUUUUUAUUGGGAGUUUGACCUUAACAUUAAAUUUAGACAAUGAAUUUUAACUUUCUUCAAUUAUUAAGCAGAUUACGGACAUUUGAGGAAUUUGAAAACAUUUCAUCCAUCGAAAGUUAAAAUUAGAGAUGGAAGCUAGGUGCUACAGCUAAUGGGAACAUUAAUUCCUGUCCCUCAUCACACUUUAUUUUGGGUCUAAUAAUUUUACGGCAGCAUUGACCACUGCUCAAGGUAAGUAAAACUUACAAAUGUGUGGCAAAAUAAAUAAUUAAGUGGAUAAACUGUUAACUAAUUUUCUUGAUAUAUACAGCUAAUGUAGUUGUUCCUCUGUUAAAAAAACAAAUGCUAAGCAAUUUCGGCUGAGCCUGCUUGUGGUGUUGAUAAAAACGAGGGCUGGCUUCAAAUAUUUGAAUAGACACCUCCACCGUACCUCAAACAAAUCUGUCAUUAUUUGUGCCAUGAAACAUGUUUCGGCCGUCAAAGUCAUGAGAGGGUUGAUGACGCUACUACGUAUGAUGACACACCAGCCGACAGUGUAGUAACAGCUCAAAAACAAAAUCUACCAAAAUCAACGGAAGUUAAUAAAAAAUUAUUUUAUUAAUAAAAAUAAAUAAAUAACUUAUUAUUUUUGGAGACGUGUGUAGUUGAGUCUGUGGACUGAAAUGGAAAAUAUGAAGAAGUUCAGAGUCGUUGUGCAGAUUGACUUCAGUUAAAUGGGACUAGUAGAUAUUUUAUGCUGACGUGGCACGAAUUAGUUAUAAUCUGUUACAACGUUUCCAGAAACAUCAGUAUAAAUAGAAGCUGAUGAGCAGUGCCUGUUGUACUUGUACGAUCCUUUUUCUUCUUCAGUUGUUCGUCAAUUUGCAUAGAAUCUGUUUCAUUGUGAUCUGUGCAAAGUCUUCUAUAAAUCCACUUAUGUUUGAUUAGUUAUUGAUCAAUAUCGAGAACAUUAUCCACCUGGAACGACUUCAAGUCCAAAGUAAAAGAGAGAGUGGCUCCCCGCAAUUUUCUUGUUUUCAGUAUAUUUUCUUUUUUUUUUCUUUUUUAAAAUCUUUUGACGCAUGCAUAAUCUACCCUUGUUUAUUAUCUCUACUUUGCUCUGCUCAAGUCCAUUUUUUCAAAUCUUAUUUUAAAUAAUAAAUUGAAUAAAAGUACAUUUGUGUAAUUAAUUAGUAUCUGAGGGGGGCAGCAUAUUUGGUGGAGUGUUAUGCUAUGUAAGACUCAGCUAUUAUCAAACAGUCCCUUAACCAUUUAAUUUAAACCAACUUCUAUUUGGUUUAUUUGCUAUCUUUGUGGAUCUCAUAGGCGUGGCAGAGUUUAAUAAUUUUAUCGUCUGAAGAAUAGGAUAUUGGCUUCAAUAAAUUUAAUUUAAACCAACUUCUAUUUACUCCAUCAAUUAAUUAAUGACAUUUUGUUUUGAAAAAUUCAAUAAUUAAAUUCUCACGUUUCAUGUGUUUGAAGUCAAAUUAUUCAUUAACUAGAACUCUGUUCAAAAUUGACUGUCUUGUGGUUCCCAAAUGUAGUUGUAAUAUUGAAUGAAAGUAAAAACUUUCUAUGGCGAGUUUAAAUCUAAAUCUGGACAAUGAAUUUUGAGUUUCUCAAUGCUAUUCUAAUAACAAAAAUUAUGUUGAUUGAUUUAUUGUUACAGUUACUAUCCUUUGAAAAUGGAUGGAUUCAUUGUUUCCGUGACCAAAUUAUGCCUGCCUAACGCUGCAACUAUUAAAAAAUUUAAUAUUUAAUGCACAUGUUAAAAGAUUUAAAAUUUUAUGCAUUUAUUAAUUGUUAUAAUCUUAAAAAAAAUUAAUUAAUUCAGGUCAAUCUGAGUUGGUGCAUCUGCAGGAGCCUUUUUUUAAUUUUUUUUUCCCCUUAUUGACCAUAAUGACAUCUCCUUCAACAUGACUAUUGACAAAGAGCAUGUAAAAACAUGGAAACAGAACUUCCACAGGUGGAAUUUAAGUUUUGGCCAUGUGGCCAUGAAAGAAAAAGGAAAAGACGCCUCUAAGAUUUGUUUCAGUGGUUUACAUUGACUCUUUAAUUUAAUUUAUAGUAACACAAUUUUUUUUGUACAAAUAUAUAUUAUUCAUGUUUUGUAUUAUAUUUUAACAUCAUAUUUUUAUUUAUUAUAAAUAUUUAAAGCUAAUUUUUAGGUUGAUAUUUAAUAAAAGGGUAUAAUCGUUCCAUCCAUUUCUCAUCUCGCGAUCUCUCUCAAUUAUCCUUUAUUGAUAGCUCAAAGCGCGUUGCUGUGGAAAAUUGUAGCAAAAUGAAAAAUUGGAAAGAAAGGGAAGAAAAUUAAUGCUUGGAGAAAGCAAUCCAAUAAGUCAACUGGUCUUUAGUGGGAACAUAUUACAAAAAGGCCUCGAUCAUCAUAUCGUAGACUCGGGGAUAAGGAUUUGGAUCGAGUUUUUGUUUUGAUAUUGAAGGACCUACUUCUCUGCCGCGAUGUAGAAUAUAUGCAAGGAGUUGUCUACUGCUCUUUAGGUCAUAAUAAUGUGAUUGGUGCAUUCAACGUUGCCCCGAAACACUGGAAAGUACUUCCAUAUCCUCCGAAUGAGAACUGAUUUAUAUAUGAUUUCCUAAUUGACUCAGGAUCAGAUGACAACAACAACUUAUUAAUAGUUAUAUCAAAACGGCAGAAGACGUGUUUUGUUUACAGGUUUGAUCCAUUUGGAAUGAAGUGGUCUCAAGUCGAAAGUAAUUUAUCGAAUAACUUUCGACUAAUUAAUAGUUAUAUCAAAGGGUGUGGGUGUUUUACCUCAUCAUGUCUUCAAGUGGAAGAUGAAGACUAGCAAGUGAAUUCAGGAAUAUUGCAUGCCAUUAAAUUUGUAGUUUUUACAUGUUGAUCAGCAGGAUACAACAUUAAAUUUUGUCAUUGACAAUACUGCAUGCCUGUCGUCUAAAGCAUUACCUCACAAGGUUUUAUGAGAAACGAAAGAUGUGUUUGCUUUGAACAAUUAAAGUUACUGCUACGAACCUCCCCAAAGGUCAAGAAGACAGAACAGGAAGCUAAUGCCAUCAAUGUCUUGUUCAUUAUAGCUGCUGGGUAGUUAGGUGUAGUUUCCUCAUUUGAAGCUGUCUAUACAUGGGCAUUUCCCCUGCUUAUGUACAAAUAAAUGAACAACCUUGAAGCUUUAUUAUUCGCAACAAAAAGGGAUUACUAAUUGGAGAAGACUAUACAGAGUUUCUCUCACACUUUCACUCUGUCAAUUUCAUCUAGAAGUCCCUCUAAAAGCAUCUCCCAAAACAGUUAGUCAUCUUUUAUGCUCUGUUUGUAAAAAAUGUGGGCUUUAUUCUUUCUAGAAGAGAUGGAAUUCUAGAAGAGAUGGAUUUGCACGGUCAAAAAGAAAAGAAAAGCCGUAAAAUAAACAGUAGCCGCAAAAUGAACAGUAGCCGCAAAAUGAACAGUAACCGCAAGAUGAACAGUAGUCACUGGUGGCUAUAAAUAGAGGAGUGCUCCUCCUUAUUGUUUGUAUCCAAAAUCCCAGAGAAGGAAUCCAAGUUUUGGUGAGAAAUUGAGAAAGAAAAAUAUUCUUAAGCAUGUAGUUAUAUUGAAGGAGCAUUUGUCUCCUCAAUAUGGGUAUUACGAGUUUGCUUUGUUAAGAGGUAUUUCUCAAGAUUAUGUAUUUGGGGUUUGGGUGAGAGAAAAUUUAUGAGAGUGCGGUUGUAAUAAUUUUCCACAUAGUGAAUAUUUUUUCUCUGGUUGUCUUUUUGACAACGGCCGUGGUUUUUUCUCCGGAUUUGGAGUUUUCCACGUAAAUCUUGUGUUGUGGGAUUGAUAUUAUUUUUCAUUUAAUUUUUCUUGUUAAUUUGUUAAUUGACAAAUUGCUUGGAGAGAUCUUGGGAGGAAGCUCAAUUUCCUAACAGUGGUAUCAGAGCCAUUGAUUGAAGUUUUGGUGUCGGGGUACUAUUCACGUAUACGGUACUGUUCACGUGAAGCAGUUUGAGCCAAUCCGAAUAAUCUGUGGUGAAGAGAAUAUGAAGCAAAUAUGUCAGCAGCUGGUGUUUUUCAAACUUGGUUGAAGUUUGAUGUUGUUGAAAAAUUAAUGGGAGAAUGAUUUUAUUGGCUUGUGGAGAAUUCAAGUCAAAGGUGUAUUCAAUCUGGGUUACACAAGGCAUUGAAGGGGAAGCCAUCCCCUGCGUCCAGUGGUGGCUCUGGAAAAGCUAGUAUAAGUGAUGAAGAUUGGGAAGAAUUAGAUGAUCGAGCUGCAAGUGCCAUACGACUAUGUCUAGCAAAGAAUGUUCUUGCAAAUGUAGGAAAAAUUCUUACAGCGAAAGAACUUUGGGAGAAGCUAGAAAAGUUGUAUCAGACAAAGAGCAUCUCAAAUCGAUUGUACCUGAAGGAGCGAUUUCACACACUGCGAAUGGCUGAAGGUAUAAAAAUUUCCGAUCACCUCAGUGUUCUCAAUGGUAUUGUGUCAGAACUAGAAGCCAUUGGAGUUAAAAUUGAAGAUGAGGACAAGGCGCUUAGGUUACUAUGGUCACUUCCAACUUCCUACAAACACUUGUUACCUACUUUGAUGUACGGGAAGGAUACAGUAGAUCUUGAAGAAGUUACUAGUACUUUACUCUCAGAAGAAAGAAGACUGAAUGGUGAAAGUACUAAAACUACAGAUGUCUCGGCUUUGGCAGUUGUAGGGAAUUGGCAGAAAGAUAAAUCUAAGAAGAAAGGAGUCUGCUGGGGGUGUGGACAAUCGGGGCACUUAAAAAGAGAUUGUCAUAGUAGAAAUGGAGUAGGAUCGGCAAGUGGCUCCAGAUUAGAUACUGAUAGUAUUGCUAGUGGUAAGUCUCUCAUCAUCAUGGGAGACGAUGAUCCCUUGUAAAAUGGAUGAUGAUGACAUCCUCAUGGUAUACCGCUAGUACCAUGAAAGGGGAUAUGUUACUACUAGCGGGUCCACAAGAUUUACACACAAGGCAUGGUUGGCAUUGAUGCAGGGUGUGUGGUGGAAUUUAUGUCGAUGAUUGACAAACUUCCAGGAAGGCCAACAUGGAAGUUGCACCAUAAAUUUCAGCAGGAUAUUUCGACAUGUGCCGAUGUAAAAUUCUUAGAAUUGGUAAUUAAUUCUAAGUGGUAUAUUCUUUAUGGUGGAGUAUGAUAAUUCUCUAUGACGAGGAUUAUGACUUAGGUGAAAACAGUAAGGACAGUGUGGAGAUUGAUUGGUUCUUAAUCAAAUCUCCAAGUGAGAGAAUGUAAAAAAUGUGGGCUUUAUUCUUUCUAGAAGAGAUGGAAUUCUAGAAGAGAUGGAUUUGCACGGUCAAAAAGAAAAGAAAAGCCGUAAAAUAAACAGUAGCCGCAAAAUGAACAGUAACCGCAAGAUGAACAGUAGUCACUGGUGGCUAUAAAUAGAGGAGUGCUCCUCCUUAUUGUUUGUAUCCAAAAUCCCAGAGAAGGAAUCCAAGUUUUGGUGAGAAAUUGAGAAAGAAAAAUAUUCUUAAGCAUGUAGUUAUAUUGAAGGAGCAUUUGGCUCCUCAAUAUGGGUAUUACGAGUUUGCUUUGUUAAGGGGUAUUUCUCAAGAUUAUGUAUUUGGGGUUUGGGUGAGAGAAAAUUUAUGAGAGUGUGGUUGUAAUAAUUUUCCACAUAGUGAAUAUUUUUUCUCUGGUUGUCUUUUUGACAACGGCCGUGGUUUUUUCUCCGGAUUUGGAGUUUUCCACGUAAAUCUUGUGUUGUGGGAUUGAUAUUAUUUUUCAUUUAAUUUUUCUUGUUAAUUUGUUAAUUGACAAAUUGCUUGGAGAGAUCUUGGGAGGAAACUCAAUUUCCUAACACUGUUUUCUAGAAACAGAGUCCUAACUAAAUUGAUUGACUGAACAGUGCAUUUCAACAUAGCAUAUUUAACUGUUUAAACAGUUAUUUGAACCGUCUUCAGAGUUAUCAUCAACAAACUCAUUCAUACUGGUCCAAUCUUACGGACGAUAUCAUAUGCUUAAUAAUGAACGAAUAGUCUUGGAUCAGUGUUUUGCGGCAAGAGCAACUCGACACAAUCUGGAUUCAACCUCCUCCUAUCUAACAAGGGAUUUCGAUUUGAGUUACUUGGUGCUCAAGCAAAUUCACAUCAUAGUUUUGAUUCUUUAGAUAUGAAUUCAUCACAUUACAUAUAUCAGAUUAAGUGUAACAAAAUUCUUUAUCUACUGCGAAAAUAAUAUGCGCUAAAAAAUGAUUUCAAGACUAUUUGACUACAAAAAGCAGCUGCAUGGCUCAGCCUCAGGUAAGAAAGCCACAGAAAAGGAAAAUCUCACUGUCACGACUCACGUCACGCAUCAUUCAAGUGAUGGAUUUAACAAGACUGCUUAUGUUCUAUCAAAUUCCUCUGCCUCUCAGAAGAUAACUUUUCUGGGCCAAAUUUCUCAUCUAAAGCAUAUUAUGCCCCAAAGUCAGAGAUAACAAAAUGGGGCACUACCGAUUAUGAAAGAGAGCUAGUAGUUGUCAGAAGCCUAAGUCAAAUUCCGGUAGUAAGAAGAGGCCUUUCUUGAGUUUAGAUUAUGUGUUCGAGUUUUAAUAAAUGCCUAAGUUAAUAAUAAUAACAACAGUAAUAAUAAACUAAAAAGCAUAAUUACUAUUGAAUGGUAAAAAAAAAAAAUGAAAAUGUGUGAACUCCAAUAACCACCCCAGUGGCGAAUUUUGGAGAGGGCUAGGCCGGGCUUCUUAGAAAUUAUUUUUAUUUAAUUACAAAAUCACCUUUACUGAAACCUAUAUAAAAUUUUUUAUAUUAAUUAAUUAUGUUGCCUCUUCAAUUAUCAUUGAAUUCUUGUCCGUUCAUCAUUUGAUGGAUAAAUGUGUAUUUCAAUAAUUUCAAAUAAUGUCUAGAACAAAUAUUUUGAAUGAUAAAACUCAUUAUGUCCUGCAUUACUAGAUGUAUCUAUAAUUUAUUAUUUACAAAUUAUAUUGUAUGAUAAAAAUGUAUUGAAUUUUUUAAAAAAAAAAAAGUUCGGCUCACUCAGAAAAAAAUGUUAUUAGCUUCGCCACUGCACAAAUCUAGAAUAAUAAUUAUUCCUUAUUAUAUUGACUGCACCAAGCAAUAAACUAAUAAGUUCUCAUUAGUGGUUUUUAAUCUUUUUAAUUCUUUUUACCGCACACCUGAUCAAUAAUUCUAUUUUGUUAACUAAUCAAUUGCAAAUCAUAUAUUAGUGUUGAACGGUGAACAAAAUUGAAAAAAAAAAUUCUUAAAAAACGUGUGGACUCGGAUAGCCAGACCAGAAAUCUAUGACAAUAAUUAGCUUUGAUGCUGGGAAUCUUUUAGUUUCUGGCCGUAUUGACUCCACCAGUGAUGCUGGGAAUCUAAUGGAGCUCAUUCUUUGGUUUUACUUGCAGGUCUAGAAGCAGGUGUCAUCUUGUAAAGAAGGAAAAUAAUAUUUGCCUUUUUGAAUAAUUUUAUUGAACCAGGAGACGCAGCUAUAUACAAGAGAUUUCCUACAAUCAUGCUAAUCUAUUCUAGGUAGUCUAAGGGCCAGUUUGGUAAUGCUGCAGCUUUUAAAAUAAUUACUGUUAGCUGUGCUGUAGAAAUAAUCAGCUGUGAAGAGAAUCAGUUAAGUGUUUGGUAAAUUUUAUUUUUAAAAGUACUGUGAAUUUUGAAAGCAGUUAUGGGUGUUUGGUAAAUCUUAUUGUUAAACUGCUGUAAGAAAAUAAAUGACUAAAAUGUACAUAAUGUAGGAUGAAAUUUACUUAUACAUAUAAAAAUAUACACGUACAAUAUUAUAAUAAAAAUUGCAUAGGCAUAGAAUUGUUUAUAUAUAAACAAACCCAAAUAAGACAAACAACAAAUAUUAUAAUAAAAAAUACAUUGAAUAUGCAUGAAAAGGGUGAUGAAUCACUUACUGUUAUUGAAUAUGGUUAUGGAACACAUACUGGAUCUUGCUUUGUUGCACUAGAGAAGUUUUGAUAGAACACAAAAUAUGAAGAAAUAGGGUAAACGAAAGGUGUGUGUUAAUUAUAAUAAAAAAUUAUUAAAAUAUUGAUUUUAUUUCCAAUUUAAAUAAGGAUAAUUUCGGGUUUAAGUAAUAAUUGUAAGGAUAUUUAUGGAAUUAUAUUAAAGGAUAAAAUUGAUUCUCAAAAUCAAAAUCUAAAAGUUACUCCUUCCCUGCUUUUCAAAAUCAGCUGUAGGAGGAGCUGAUUCUGGCAAAAGUAAUUUUGAUUUUUUUUUUACCAAACACCAAAAUUAGCUUUUAGAUUUUUAAAAUCACUUUUAACCCUCUCAAAAGCAAUCCCAAACGGGGCCUAAAUAUAAAAGGCAACUAAACAAAUAUACAACUAAUACAAUAUAUUCGUCAAUGAAUGGUCAGAUAUCAUUGACCUUUCCUUCUCAACACUCCCCCUCAAGUUGGAGAGUGGAUGUCAAGAACUCCCAACUUGCGUAUCAUAGUUGAGAAAGCUUCCUUUCCCAAUGGCUUGGUGAACACAUCUGCAAGUUGAUCUGUUGAGGCAACAUGUUUGGUUACAACUGAACCAUCUUGUAUUUUGUCACGAAUAAAAUGGCAAUCCAUCUCUAUAUGUCUGGUUCUUUCGUGGAAAACGGGAUUGGCAGCUAUAUGUAAGGCUGCUCUGUGUUAUCACAAUAUAAUAAUGCUGGCUUCGGAUGCAAUAUUCUCAAAUCCUUCAAUAAUGAGCGUAGCCAGGAUAAUUCACAACAUGUACCUGUCAUGGCUCUAUAUUCAGCUUCUGCUGAGGAGAGAGAUACGGUUUUCUGCCUCUUUGUCCGCCAAGAAAUAAGAGAAGAUCCCAGAAAAACACAAUAACCCGUAGUGGAUCUACGAGAUAUUGGACAACCAGCCCAAUCCGAAUCAGAAAAAGCUCGCAAAGAUAAAUCAUUCUGAGAAAGGAAAAACAAACCUUGCCCUGGACUAUUUUUCAAAUAACGCUAUACACGCAAGACAGCUUCCAUGUGUGGUCUACGUGGUGCAUGCAUGAAUCUGCUUAACACAUGGACCGAAUAGGUGAUAUCCGGUCGGGUAAUAGUUAAAUAAAUUAGGCGUCCAACAAGUCGUCUAUACUGAGACGGAUCUUUAAGCAAUUCACCUAAAUCCGAGAGCUUUAUGUUUUGUUCCAUGGGAAAGUUCACAGGUUUAGCACCCAAAAAUCCACCAUCUUUUAAAAUUUCCAAAGUAUAUUUUCGUUGCGAGAUGGAAAUACCUUUCUUCGACCGAGAAACUUCGAUGCCCAGAAAAUACUUCAAAUCACCCAAAUCUUUAAUUCGAAAAUGACUAUGUAGAAACUGCUUGAGGGAUACUAUGGCAUUGACGUCAUUACCCGUAAUAAGAAUGUCAUCGACAUAUAUCAACAAAGCUGUAAACGAUUUGCCUUUCCGACAUGUGAAUAACGAGUAAUCAGCUUUGGAUUGAACAAAGCCAGCAGCUUGGAUAGCUGUAGAGAACUUGGCAAACCAUUGUCGGGAAGCUUGCUUUAAGCCAUAUAACGACUUGUGAAGGCGACACACUAGAUUCUCCCCCUGUCGCCGAAGACCAGGAGGUGGAGACAUAUAAAUUUCUUCAUGGAGAUCGCCAUGAAGAAAGGCAUUGUUGACAUCAAGUUGGUGAAGAGACCAAUUCUGGGCAGCUGCUAAAGCCAAUAAACAACGAACAGUAAUCAUUUUAGCAGUGGGAGAAAAAGUGUCAUGGUAAUCUAUACCUUCUAGCUGUGUGUAACCUUUUGCAACCAAACGAGCUUUGAAACGCUCAAUACUACCAUCCGAGUGUCGUUUGAUUUUAUAAACCCAACGACAACCAAUAGGCUUCUUACCAGGAGGAAGAGAAGUGAGGGACCAAGUGUGGUUGGCUUCUAAAGCAGCCAAUUCAGAUUGCAUUGCUUCUUGCCAAUGGGAAUGGGAAGCUGCUUUGGCAUAAGAUGUAGGCUCAAUAUCUUGACUGACAGCAGCAGUAAAAGAGCGAUGUUGUGGUGAGUAACGAUGAUAAGAGACAAAAUUGCAAAGGGGAUAUCGUGUACCUUUUUGUAGACUUGAUGACAAAGGCGGCAAAUGGUUGGGAGACGUUACUUGGUUACAGACAUAAUCACGUAAAGCCAUGGGAGGGUGAUGAGGUCUUUGGGAACGACGUAAAAUGGGUUCGGGAGGAGGACUAGCAGGUGAUAGCUGAGUAGAAACUAAAUUCGGUGGUAAUGGUUGUUGGAUGGGAGAAAUUGGUUCCGGUGGUAAGGGUUGUGGAACUGGUGGGGAAGGAGCGGAUAUAGAAAGAGGAAUCACAUGGUCUGAAUUUAAGGAAGGGGAUGGAAUAGACUCAUAAGGGAAAAUAGUUUCAUGAAAAACAACAUCACGGCUAGUGAACAUUUGGUGGGUGUCAAGGUCAUAGAGCUUGUAAGCUUUUUGACCAACUAGAUAGCCAAGAAAAAGACAUCGUUUAGCUCGAGGAGCAAAUUUAUGGGGGACGUGCACAUUAGUAGCAUAGGCAAGACACCCAAAAACUCGGAUAUGAGAAUAAGAAGGAAGCUUUCCAUAAAGUCGUUCAAAAGGAGUUUGGCGAGAAAGGAGUGGUGUGGGCAAACGAUUAAUUAUAUGAACAGCAGUAGAAACACAUUCUGCCCAAAAAUGUAAAUGAAGGUGGGUUUGAAAACGAAAAGCUCGAGCGGAAGCAAGAAUAUGGCGGUGCUUGCGCUCUACAACCCCAUUUUGUUGAGGGGUAUAGACACAAGAAUGUUGGUAAGUGGUCCCUUUUUGUUUAAAAAAUUCCCGCAUAGAGAAGAAUUCUCCACCAUUAUCAACCCAAAUGUUGGCUAUAGAUACAUGGAAUUGGGUUUGGACAAAUGAAAAAAAAUUGACAAGUAAAUGUUGUGUUUCACUUUUGUGAUGCAUAAAAAACACCCAUGUGAAUCUAGAAUAAUCAUCCACAAUAGUCAAAAAAUAUUUCGCACCAGAAAGAGAGGCAAUUUUAUAGGGACCCCAAAUGUCACAAUGAAUUAAUUCAAAAGGUCUAAUAGAUGAAAUUGAACUAAUAGAAAAUGGAAGUCGACUUUGUUUUGCAAGUGCACAAACAUCACAAGCAUUAUUAGACUGGGAAGGGAAAUUUAACAAAUGUUUUGCCAUAAAAUCUAAUCUAGAGGAAGACAAAUGCCCCAAACGGCGAUGCCACAAAAUGGUGGAGGAGGUGACCUGAGAACUGGGUGAACAGCAAGAAGUGGCUGCUGCGGAUGGAGUUUGAGGUUUUGGUUUUUCUGAUGCUAACGCAACCAAGUAAUAAAGUCCGUCUCGUUGUUCACCCAAACCAAUUGUCGUCCUCGUCGUCAAGUCCUGCAAAAUACACCAAUGAGGGAAAAAAGUUACUGAACAAUUGAGAUCUCUGGUAACUCGACUCACAGACAUUAAAUCCACCUUAAAAGAUGGCACACCAAGCACAUUUUGUAAAGUAAUAGCAGAAUUCAAAGGUAAAUUCCCAAUGGAUGUAAUCGAAGCCUGUUCUCCACUUGGCAUAGCAACUGGUGGCAAAAAAGUGUUCUUAUUGCUGUUGACAAGCAAAGUUGGUGAUGAAGUAAUGUGGUCUGUUGCACCACUGUCGAUAAUUAAUCGAUGGAGGCGCAACAAUCUUUGUAACAAACCUGAGGCAGCAGCAUUAGCUUUAGGAUUGGUGGAUUGUGUUGUCCCUUUACCCUGCAUGAUAGAUAAGAUUUGUUGGAUUUGCAAGUCAGAGAGCCCAUUUGUCACUGAUGGCACUUCCUGCAUUACUGGACUUUCCUUGACAUUGUUGGCUGAAGAUUGAUGGUUAUUGUUGCGCUUGAAAUGAGUGCUUCCUUGAUUAGAUUUGUUUGAUGCAUGUUUAGGGUGUUCUGGUGGGUACCCAUUCAGCUUCCAGCAUUUUUCUCGUACAUGAUGGUCACGAUCACAAUAAGAGCAAUGCAAAGGUUUUCGAUUAGAUGGGUUGGAACGAGAAGAAGAACCUUGUUCAUGUCGAACAGCUAGAGCUACCGGUUCAGCCCUUCGAACAAUCAUGGCUGAGUUCUCCAUCAUCUCACGUGCAACCCCCAGGCUGCGCUGCUUCUCCUCUUGUACAAUGGAAGAGUAAGCCUUAGCAACAUCAGGUAGCGGAUUCAUCAACAAAAUCUGCCCUCGGAUUGCACUGUAGGACUCAUUGAGUCCCAUGAGAAAUUGCAUCAAUCUGCGUCUCUUAUGGUCUGCCCCACAAGAGCAAACGGUGUCAUUAUAGGAUCCUAGUUCAUCCCAUAAUUUUUUUAGCCUUGUGUAAUAAGCUGCAACAGUCAUCUGAUCUUGAGCAAGACAAGCAAUGUCCCUCUCAAUCUGAAAAAUACGAGGGGCAUUGCUUUGAGAAAAACGAUCCCGAAGGUCUUCCCAUACCUCCUGGGCGGUGGUCGAAAAUAUGACACUGUCUGCAAGGUCUUGUGUGAGUGAAUUGAGAAUCCAAGACAGGAUCAUAUCGUUGCAUUUUUUCCACGAAGCACAUUCGUCUGGUUUGGCUGUGGCAGACGGCAUUGUGGUGGUCCCGUCUAUGAAACCUAACUUGGAUUUGGCAUUCAAAGAAAUCGUCAUGGCUCUACACCAUGUCGAAUAAUUAUCCCCAUUAAGGGGCUUGGAAACAAGCACCAUUCCUGGAUGAUCAGAAUGAUGAAGAAAAUAUGGAUUGGCAGCAUCAAGCUUGCCUCCAUUCGAAGGUUGCUGUUCCGUCAUGAUAAUGAGUAACAACGAAAAAAGAAAGAGGGCAGAGAGCUAGGGUAUCGUUCCCUGCUCUGAUACCAUGUAAAGAAGGAAAAUAAUAUUUGCCUUUUUGAAUAAUUUUAUUGAACCAGGAGACGCAGCUAUAUACAAGAGAUUUCCUACAAUCAUGCUAAUCUAUUCUAGGUAGUCUAAAUAUAAAAGGCAACUAAACAAAUAUACAACUAAUACAAUAUAUUCGUCAAUGAAUGGUCAGAUAUCAUUGACCUUUCCUUCUCAACACAUCUAACAGCUGCUUUGAUAAUUUCCCACACCUUCAUCUUUGAUGGAAAUAUGAAAUAAAAACAAAUUGGUGAAAAUGGUUUUGGUACCCGCGGCUCUGUAAUCUAUUUCAAAAACUACACCAUCAAAACGACUGCAUAAGAAUCUAACUUCUCCUCUUGAUUUUUAUGGGCAUGUUGUGUAGUCCAUGCAGACAAAAAUCAUAUUUUAGUUUACUCUUACUCAAUGCUUGGAUUAAAGGUUUUUUUUUUGGGGGGGGGGGGGGGGGGGGGGGAUUGAAGCAGACUAAAAUGACACAAAAAAUAGUUGAACGAGUGUGGGUUUUGUCUUCAUUUUAGGAGAUCUUUAUAAAUUUUAGGAUUUUUUUUCCCGAGAAAAUUUAUGCCAACUCAUUCUUUGCUUCUUUUAUGAAGGGACAGAUGCAACUGAAAGUAUAUUCUUGAAUUCUAUAAGAGACAGCAGUUUAGAUUCUCGAGCCUUCAAAAAAAUAUCAAAUUCUAGAUUGCUGAAAUUUUAUAUAUCCAAGUAUGAUGGUGCACCAAUUAUUAACUCCAGGGUGCAACUUCACCGCGGAUUAGAAUGUCUUCCUGCAGAAUUGAGAAAUCUCCAUUGGCAUAAAUAUUUUUUUGAAAAUACUGUCAUUAGAUAUUUUUAUUAUUCAUACUUCAUUGCACAAGGCACCACCUGGCUUCUAUUUCAAGCCCUAAUAAUGAUCCGCUGCUGGAAAAGAAUUUGUGCAGCAUGUACGCUCCUUGACCACAACAGCAAAGUUUAUUGAUGUUAUUUCAUAUUCUGCUGUGAGUCAAAUAAAAAUUUACUAUGCCCUUUCGGCAUGGCUUGCCUUUCAGCAAAAAAAGAAAAAAAAUCUUUCAAAUUGUGGAAGCAUGCUUACAUUAAUCAGCUCAGUAUGUUAUGUUUCAAGGGAUGCAAAAUUCGUUUUGUUUCUCAUGGAAGAAUUGACUUGUCUGGAUGUAUUAAUCUCAUAGAUUUUCCACAGAUUCGUGGGAAUAUAACAAAGCUAGACUUAAGUGAGAUCCCAAUAGAAGAAGUUCCGUCAUCAAUAAAAUGCCUAGCUGAUCUUAAAACGUUGCGUUUGAGUAAGUGCACGAGGCUGAAGAGGCUUUCCAUCAAGCAUUUGUAAAUUGAAAUCUCUUCUUGAGCUUUAUCUCUAUAACUGCUCAAACCUUGAAAGUUUUCCAGAAAUCAUGGAGAAAAUGGAACGUUUAAAGAUAUAAAUUUAGCAAGGACGGCCAAUUACAGAGCUGCAAUCUUGAUAGCCUUCGGGAUAACAUUAGCAAUUUAAAAUCUUUGAGGUACAUCUCUACUAAUGGAUCAGCCAUUAGUCCUCUGUCGCAGGUUCGGUUGUACUUAAAUAUCUAUCAUUUUCUCAAUACAGAGGUUUGGUAUCAUUGCCUCCAAUAUUAUUGUCAGGUUUAGGUUUAUCGAAUUUGUUACAGCUAAAUUUAAGAGACUCUGCUAUAAUGGAAAUUCCCCAAAAUAUUGUUCGUCAAUCCUCAUUGAAAAUUUUAAAUCUAAAGGCUUGUUUGUUAACUACUUGAAGUAUGUAGUUAAUGCUUUUUUUUUUUUUUUUGUAAUUUAUGUUUGAUUUGAGAUAUUUACAUUUGAAUAAAAAAAUUAAACUUUUGUUACAUUUAUCUAAAAAAAAAAAAGGCUGAAUGGGAAGUAAAUAAUUCCCUUUUUCGUUUUAACUUACAAAAACAUAAAUGUUAACUAUGUUUAAGAAAUUUUUUAUUUAUAAAAAGAAACCAAAUACUACUUAUAUUCGUAUAUCAAAAAAUGAAAAACAAACAUGUUAUUCAUACGUUCACAUACAAACUCAUUCAGACCUCAGCUAAAUACAAAUCCAUUUACAUUUCAAAAAAAUAAAUAAAUACUUCCUAAGCGGGAAUAACUUUGAGAGUUGACUUGCAAGGCUAGAAUAUCUUGACUUGAAGGGUUGCAAUGAUUUCUCAUCAUUGAGAGUUUAUCAUUGUGCUUCAUCAUCAUCAUCAUUAUUAAUAAAAAGGUAAGCAAUUAAGAGUCAAAUUAAACCAGAAAAUCACUCAUCCACGCUUUUGGGACAUCAUUCUGCUCAUUAUUUUUAUUCCGUAUCUUCAUUGUUUUAUUUGGUAAUUAUUACCAUUAGUAAAUAAAGGGAUUAGUUGAUUAUUAUGAACUAACUAAAUGGAGCUCACCCUUAAAUGUCGGCUUGUAUCAGGGAGGUGCCUUAGGGUUAAUAAAUCAACUAAUCCCAUAAUUUGUCGAUGUAGGUGAUGGUUGUUAAAGCCAACAAAAACAAAUACCUACUCUAAAUAAAUUGUGUAUAGUGAUUGAGCAGGGUCGUGUUUACAGAGAUCGGUAAUUAUUUAAAUCCUUUUAAAACGUAAAACAUAAAAUGGGGGUUUUGUUGACAAUAAUAAAAAUCAAAUUAAAAUAACAAGAAUGCAAAUUAAAGUUGUAAUUCAAAUUUGGAGAAAGCUCUGGUUGAAGGAAUUAACUCAGCUUAAUUCGACUACUGAUCAUUUAUUCAAAUAUAAAUUAUUACUACUUAUGAAUAGACCGGUUAUGGCUACUGAGAACCUCUAAUAGCCAAUAUCUCCUUAACUAGUCGAUAACCAAGGUACGACCAUUGAUUAUUUCCCUAAUCAAUAGACAACCCUAGAUACGAUCAUAUGAUUUAAUCAAUUGACAGCCUAAAAAACCAGAGAGACCCAAAUCCUAAUCAACAAACACAUACGAUGGUUCAUUUAAAUUAGAUUGUUUAUUCUCAUAACACAACUCUCUGCUAUGUUAUUUGUCACAAACAUUAAAAUCUUCAUACAAUGAAUCCUUUAAUUGACAAUAGAUUAAGUUGAUAAUUAAAUAGUGGCCAAUUACCUAAUUAACAAACAUAAUCAUGAAAAUAAUUCAGAGAAUAAACAAAUACCCAAAAAGCAAUAAAACAAUUAAAACAUAAGAAAGAUCUCACAGUAGUGAUGAAUCAAAGCUUCAUUAACCUUCAACUAGAAAAAUAGGUUUAGUUCUUCAUAGAGAGAAGAGAAAAGUUUAGAUCUAGCGUUUCUUUCUUUUUCUCCAAUCCCCCCUUUUUCACUAUAGAUUCCUCCCUUAAAUACUCUCUCUCUCUUCUCCUCUAGAGUUCUAUUUAAAAUAAAAUACUAAUAUAUGAAAUAUUAAAUUCGUAAUUACAAAAAUAGCCAAAAAUACAAAACAUGUUAAACUAAAAACUGCAGGUCCGUAGUUGACAGCACGCGCCCACGCCUUAUCAAUAAAGUUCUUCUGACGCUCUAAAUUUCUCCAAGAGAACAAUCAUCUUUAAACAUCAUCUUAUAGCUCAAUUUUAUCACAAAUCAAUAAAAUUGCACCUACAAAAGUAAAACACAAGUAAAUCAUUAUUAUUAAGUGCAAAACAUCGAUAUUAAGGGAAGUAAACAAUGCAAAACUAGUGCAUAAAUUGCACUCUAACAGUAGGGUAGCAAAUUAUUGCCAUAGAUCAGCACACAUCUCGAAAACAUAUUUGAUCCACACAGUGAAGAUGAUUCAAUAUUAAGCAUGUCAUAUAAUCUGGAGUUGGAUAUUGGAUCAAUUUGAUGAUAAUGAGUUUCUUUCAAUCUCAAUAUGUAUCUUCUUCGCAACAUGACUAGCCAUUGCAAACUCAAACUCUGACAAUGAUUUCUCAAUCGCUUUCUAAGACGAUGAGCAUGUAUGUAUAUAUAUGUGUGUGCACGUGCGCGUGUGUGUUUGUGUACGUAUAUAGAGAGAGAGAUAUAUAUAUAUCACACAUGUGCGCUUUCCUUUUGUCAAUAAGAUAUGCAGAGAGCUUAAUAAUCAUAGAUUAGCUUAUAUCCUUCAAACCAUGUGCUAUGAAGUAAUUUCACAAACACUUGUUGAACGUUAUUGAAUCAGUAGUUCACAGUUCAAUACAAUGUAGGUUUCCUAUUUGAAGUAAAUGAUUAUGGUGUGUGCAUUUUUCAUAAAGCUAACUACUGAAUUUACCAUUGAAACUUGCAAAAUGUAACAGAGAGAUGCAGAUAGCAGCCACGAAACACUAAGAUUGAAAAUCAGGACUACUGAAUUCUAUUACAAGCCCUUAAAAUAGACAACAAUCAUCCUCAAAUGUAUAUACUGAAAGUAAAAAAUAUUAAUCGUAAAGUUAUGCAUUAACAAAACUAUUGAAUACUUAUCUUUAGCUAUAUAUUUUUAAUUGUAGCUCCCUACUUUGUUCUAAGAACUAGGCAAAAGUAGCAUAUCUUCAAUCCAAUCAGCAUAUAUACCGCUCAUCUUCUCCAGUUCUUUCCACUUUGAUUUGCAUUUCAUACCCUGCACUUGCUGCUUAGAAAUAGUCAUAGUUUGCACAUUGACAGUAGAAAAAGUACUUGAAACAAUCAUUGGCAUAGCAUGGGAUUCCAUUGAGUCGCGGUCUCCAAGCUUUCAUGGUUCUGUAAAGAAAAUGACAAAAACAUCAUGCUAUUGGCAUUCUACUUUUAGCAAUUUUCCACAAGCUGAGCUUUUUCAUAUCUCUCUAUAAAUUAUGCUGGUUCAACCUUCAGAUAAGUUUGUGAUAAAGGCAUCUAUGAUUACAAUGGGAAAAUUACAUGAACUUAUGUUAUCAAUCAUUGUUUUGCCUUCUCGUGAUAGAAUUCUGCGCAAUAUAAAACAUGACAUAUCUGUUACUUACCAUGCCAUGUCGUGAACCUAGAAGCAAUGCAAAUUGCAAGGAACAUAUUAAGCUAUCUACUGUAUAUAACAAAUUCUUAUUAGCCCACAAUCUUGUGCCCCAACAUUGAUCAAGUAACACUAUUAUUUCAUUUCCAAAAUGGCAUAUAUAAUCUGAUGUUGAACAAACCAAAUUGGGAAUCAUCAUUCCUUACAUUGAGCUGACAUUCGUACCUGCUAGUCCAUGAGCAAAGUUGCUUAUAUUUCCACACAGGCAGCUCCCCUUAUCUCUCGGUUCCGACAGAGCUUUGUUUUCCCAUCACCAGCUUUGGAUUCAUUCGAUCACUGAUGCUCCGAGUUAGCAAGCCCCUUGUUGUGUUCCCAUUUAACAGACCCACUUCUGUUAUCCACAGAAGAUCCACCACUCAAAAUGCUUAUCACCGAACUAUUCCUAAACUGAGUAGAAACUUCCGCACAUCUCUCGGCAUUUACAUGAAGAAAUCGACACCCACCCUCAUAUUUGUAAGUUUUCUGAUAAUAGAAAUGUCUACAAAGCUGCAUUUCGUUAGGCAAUCUAGUCUCUCCAUUCCUAGCAAAGUGACAUUGAUUCCCGUAUUUGUAAUUGCCUAAUUGGGGUUUUGGCAAUAGCCUGGUCUUAAAAUUACCACCCAUUACUUUGUUCAAUGCCACUGGCAUCCUCUGAUUAGGAACAUUUUCACAAUUUUUAGCCCUGUUAGUCGAAUCACAUUCAAGGGGAUAGUGAGACAGUAUUUCACUAAAAGAUUCAAUUUGACUACACAUAUAAGAAUUUGAAAUCACUUUUUCUUGGAAUAUUUAAUGACCCACCCAGGGUGAAAGUUUUUGAAUGGAAAUUAUUUAAUUUGAUUUGUUUUCCAACAAAUUCAAGAAACCCCAGAUAGUAACAUAAAAAAAAAAAAUCAACCAAUAAUACGCAAUGGGUUUCUUUCUUUUUGCUUUUGGAGGGCCAUGAAGAUCUGGAGUGGGCUGUAAGUAAUAGCCUUUAUCACUGGAGUGACAAAUUUGCAGAAGAUGAUGCAUGGGGAAGGAUUGGGCGAGCAUAAAAAUGGCUUUACACUCUUUGGAUUAGCGCCUCAUUUAGGUUGUAGCGAGAUAAAGAUAUCAUUUAAAGUUUUAUAAUCCUUGUUAUGCUUAAGGCUUCACUUAGUAUAGCAUAGAGCUUUUCUAGUUUAGCAUUUUACAAGUAGAAUUUUUUUAAAUUAUUAUUUAUUUGGUUGUUUUGUUCAGAAGAGCUUUUAAAGCUCCAAAAUCUUUGAUAGUCAGGUUUUUUUUUGGUAAGUAAAACUUUUAACAAAAAUUUAUUAUUCACUUGAUCGUUUACAAGAGUUUUCAUUAGAAGUUAUGUAAAGUUCUUUAAUUUUUUUUAUCAGUGCAUCUUUUUACAAGUAUAAUUUUUAUUUUUUAACAAAAAUUAAUUCAAUAAUAUUAAUAAUCUCAAUAUUUGAGUUUUAAUAUCAUAUGUCACUCAUUUAUUGGAUGACAGAUUUCAUAACUUAUAAAAUUAUUUAACUAACAUCCACUAAGCUAAUGUCACUAUAGUGAAGAUUGAAGUUGAAAUUUAGAUGUUACGUUGGGUAAUAUUGCGCUUAUUUGGUUGUUUAUGAGAGUUUUUUUGUACAAAUUUAUUUUUAUACAAAUUGAUAUAGUCUAAAUUCAUUAAUUAGAUGAAAAUAGAAAAUAAUAAAAAUAAAUCUUGUGUACUAAAAGUUAUUUAAUCUAUUUAAUUGAAUUAUCCUACGUUUGUUUGUACUAAAUAAAUUUAUAUAAAAAUUAAUUCUAUUUUUUGAUGUGCAACUAAACUUUUAGUCUCUUAUUAUUCGUAAAAUUCAAAUUCAGUGGCUUAUCAAAUAAAAUUAAAACUAUUGGUUAAUCAAAUAAAAUUAUUUGAAAUCAUUGGGUGUGGUAGCUGGAGCUCUUGAAAGUUGAAACUAUGGAAGCCAUGAAAUAUACCAGCGAAAAGAGUUCUAAUUUUUAAAUGUCUAUUUUAUAAAAAUUUUAAUAAUAAAAGUGUCGCAUCGACAUUGAACAGUAUAAAAAUUUUUAAUAAUAAUUUUUUUACGUUUGGGGUAUUUUUGUAAUUAUACGAAGGUAAACUAAUCGCAAAAUUCAUUUGGCUUACACUUGCUCUGUGUAUGGUUAUGGCGGUAUCAUUAUCAUCUUCUCCAUUCGUACUGACACCAAACCUUAACCGUUCAGAUUCCCUUUCUCGACUGUCAUACCCUACGCCCCGUCUCCGUGUCUCCGAUAAACAGUGCUCAAUUAAGGCCAUCAGAUUAUCCCGGACCCACAUUGAUCCAACGGCUCACAAUGACCGACGACCUCUCCAUCUCCAUUACAAGCUUCCUCUUCAACUGGCUUCUGCCUCUAUCGUACUCUUUCUCGGAUUCGGAGCCCGUAUAUGCUCGGCUGGUCCUACGGAGCUACCUCUCACUCCAGCUGUCAACCAACAAGACCAAUUGCUUAAUCCAGACACAGAACAACAAGAGGGUGAGAAAUUGAAUCAAGAAUUUGAGAAUUGGAAAUCGAAAACGUACGCAUUGACCGUGCCUUUAAGGGUCGUUUCUCUUCAGAAUUCAGUGCCUCAAUCUUGGGUUAAGGAUUUUAUGCGAAGUCAAGGAAAGAGAUUGAAGUUUCAGAUGAAUUUUUGUGCUAGCACUGAUGGGAUCGUUAAAAAUUUAUCUAUGCCCUCUAACAAAGUUAAGGCUAACUCAGCUUCGUAUAUGGCUGCUGAUUUGGUUAGUGUUGGUGAUUCAUGGCUCAGUUUUGCGAUUAAAAAGAGAUUGAUUGAGCCAAUAGCUGAAGCUGAAGAUCAAGAUUGGUUCAAAUGCUUAAGUCACAAAUGGAAGGUAACAUCUUUGUCUUUGACCGGAUGAUUUUUAUUGUCUUACAUUGAAAUUUGGUAAUGUAAUUUGUUCUCUAUCUGUGUUACCUUUGUAGUGAUUUUUUUUUUUAUUUGCUUUUAUUUGCACUAACAAAGUCUUAGGUAUAUCUACGCAGGAAUGAUGCAGAAGAAAUUGAUCCUCGAGGUAAAAUAUGGGCGGCACCAUACAGGUGGGGCACAAUGGUGAUAGCCUACAAGAAAAGUAAAUUUCGAAAGCAUAAUUUGGCUCCGAUUGAGGUAAUAAUUGUCUUUAAACUCAUUUAGUUUUAUAUGAAACAAAAUCAAGACUGCCUUUCUCUUCAAUAUUUUUGAUGAUAAUAUCUUUAGAAGCAUCUCAUUGACAGGUAAUAAUGGUAUCCCUGAAAGAGUCUAUAAACUCAAUGAUAUUAUCUUCUACAAAUGGUUCAUUAAACUUCUUCGUUGCAGUCAAAUGUACACUAAGAACAAUGAGAAGCUAUGCCACUGUAGCAUGUAGUGAUGGCACUUAAUAAGUGAGUUGCUAGGAUGUGAACUAGAAAAAUUAAAUAUUGUCUCCUUGGGUAUGCUAGCUCGUAAGUCAGGGUUAAUAUUAGAACUUAUGAUACUAUAACCAUGAGAAGCUAUUGACUGCCAAUUAAAAUAUCCAUUAAAAUGUCUAGGGAGUUAUGAAGGUGGAGGUAACUUCCAAUUUCUAAGGCCACAUAGUAGACAUCAUGCAGGAUCCUAGGAAAGUGCAGUUAACCUCCUGGUCGAUGCCAUUAAUAAAUUUGAUCAAUGCCACUGAAACCUGCUAACUGAUGUCACAAUGCGACAUGAGCACUUCAAAAUGGGACAGACGGUCAGUAGCACUAAAUUUUUCUUGUCUAAGAUUGAGCAAUUGGUCUAACUACUAACCCCUAUUGUAGGUUGAUCAUUAUGUUUUUCAAUUAUGUUCAGUUUGACCCAAAACAUUACAGAAUCUUGAUCUGAAUAUUGUCACUGAACACUGUCAAUGUCGUUUGGCAUAGCCAACUAACUUGAGUUUGGUAAAACAAACACACAGUGUGUCUCAUGUCUCACAAUUCAAAUUAUCAUCUGUAAUGAUGGAGAAUUUUUCCAAUGUAUGAAGUAUGCUUUGAUACGUGGGUUACCUUGGGGAAGGUAUCUCAAAAUAAAGAAUAUGGGGAGAAAACAGUGCAGUAGUUUAUUAUUCCGUAGUCAAGUUUUGUCUCAAAAAUGGUCAAAAUUUAAAUGAAUAAGGACAGGGGAUCUUCAGUCUUUUUUCCCUUUUUUUAUACCAAGAUAUCUCUCAACCUUUAUAUAAUCCCACUGGAUAUCUGCUUCUAAUAAUUAAAAUAAAAUUUCACCCACACAAAUAAGUACUGACCAAGCUCUAACAAUAAAAAGUAACAUCUUUAGUCAAGUAAUUUACAGUUCCUCAUCAUCUUAGUGUGAGACUAUCAGUACGAUCCAAGAGCAAAAUAAAACUGGUUUGACCCUGUUUAUUGAUGUUUAAAUGUUGUUCAUUGUGACAUGUAGAAAUGAUGAGGUGAAGUUUCUUUGGUCAUCAAUUAGUAAGAUCUCGUUUGAAGUUGUUUUCUGAAAUGAACUGGCAAAUGGUAGUUUUUUUGGGGCAUUUGAUGGCUCUUUUUCUUUUUUCCUCAUUUUAAACAUGUGCCUGCUUGGAACGGGAUGGAUUAAGCUGCAGGUUAUAUAUUUUGACAUGCUCUGGUCAUUACACAAUUUGUUCACACUGGGAAUUAGGAUGAGAAAUUUGUUGAUGCUGUUUUGAGAGACCUGCAUUCUAUGCACAAUAACCUGAUUAAUGAAAAUGGAUUGUAGAACUGGAAAGAUCUGUGGCGGCCUGAGCUCGCAGGAAGAAUUUCAAUGGUUAAUUCUUCCCGAGAGGUUAUUAUUGGUUCAGUUUUUAAGUAUAUGGGAGCAUCAUACAAUUCAAACAAUAUUGAUUCGCAAGUUGCUGGUGGGAAGAUUGCUGUUCAGCAGAAUCUGGCAUUACUGGCAAACCAGGUACUCUUAAAGAAACGAUAUCUGGUCAUUGCAUGUUAUUGCCUGACAACUGAUUUUGUUUGUAAAAGUCUGCUUCUUCAUACAUAUGAAUGCAUAUGUUAGUGUUUUCUUCUCCUUUUCAUAAUAUAUGAAUGCAUAUGUUAGUGUUGUCUUUUCCUUUUCAAACAUAUUAUACAGAUGUUGGUGUUCUCUCCUGAGAUGGAUGCAAUAAAGGCAUUUGCUGCUUAAUUUAGCUGAAGAAAUGGCAAGGGAUGUGAGAUUCUGUCUCAUUAAAUUAACAAAAACCCAAAACAAUGAAAGCCCAUAAUAAUGUAGUGUGGGUAAAUUGGCGCCAUUUGGUUCGUUUCCUUAAUGUGAAUAUGCGAGCAAUAGAGACUAACAAAAUGAAGUGAGAACAGCAAGUCAGUGUCCUUUGAUGGAUGCUUUUUUAAGCAGAAAUAGGUUUGUAAUUGACCAAAUUUGUCUGGCAUGCCAAUUUCAAAAAAAUUAAAUUGUGUGGUUAUUAGCUGUAAUGAAGGGGCAUAGUAGGUGCAAUUAGGCGGAUCCAGGAAAGUUCAACAAAGUUCUGGUAUGGCCUAUUGAAAUUGGUUUUUGCAAUUCAAGAGUCUUUCAAGUGAACGAUGAGGGGUUUUGAUUUAUAAAUGUUAUAAAUCUACUGUGCAUAGUAUUCUAGUAGAAUCAUCUAUAAGUUCUAGUUAUUGAAAUUGUCUACCUUGUUCAGUUUGAGUUAAGGGCAUAUGUAAUAUGAAAAAUAGUUGUCGCAUCUUUUAGGUUACCUAACAUUUGAUCAAUCCUAUUAUGAGGGCUUCAAGAUGUCUAACAAUAUGCAGAAUGCCCAUGCUCCUCCCCAUUGUUUAUCUUAUACAAUAAUUUGUUUUAGAUGCUAAUAUCUUUGUUGAUACCGGUAACAAUAUUGCAAUAUCUGCGUUUAUUGGGUUUUACAUAGGUUCGACUGUUUGACAGUACACACUAUCUGAAGGCAUUUGGAAUUGGAGAUGUAUGGGUUGCUGUUGGGUGGAGUAGUGAUGUUCUUCCUGCUGUCAAACGUAUGUGAGUAUGUCUAAUGUUGCAUUGUUAUCUCCUUCAUAUUAGCGAUCAGUAAACACGAUAAUGUGACUAAUAAGUUUGUAUUCUCUUUUAUAGAUAAAAAAAUAUUAGAUGACUAGUAAUUAACAUUUAAUUAUAGUUGAAAUAUUGUUUAUUAAAUUAGUCUAUUGUCUAAGAACGGUUAUAAAAUUAAUUUCAACAUAUAAUAAGAACUAUUACAAUAAUUUAUUUAGAUUUAUAUAUAUAGCUUAACUAUGAAUUAUUAAAACCAAUAUAGCUUCAUAGUUUGUGUGUUAAUAUCUAUUUUAAUCUUUUGUUUAUCUUAUUAAUUUUUCAUUUAAAUUUAAAUCUAUGUUAAAGAUGUUCUAUCAAUCAAUUUGGACUAGAGAGUAAAUAAACAAUCUAGUAAUCACACAAUAGAUAUUGUAUAUAAUUGUUCAAUUAUAACAAACUUUAAAUUUGCAUUAAUAUGAUUAGAAGUAUUGUUUUGCAAUUAACCGAAUCAUAGGCUAAUAAUUUUCAAUAUGAAAUAACUAACUUAGGAUAAAUUAAUUAAUUGACUGAUUUUUUUUUUAAUUUGAAUAUCUUGUGUUAUCUCUAGUAAACAAUUAAAUUUGUCCUUCAAGACUUGAAACAAAACAAAUUGGAGGGCGAGUCAGAGGUCCCUCUCCCUUAAUCCAUCAAUGGAUAGAGUUCUGCUUGCAAACAGCAAGAGCAUUGCCUUUCAAGCAAGAGGUUAUGCCGGGCGCAUCUCCCUCUGCCCUUGAAAGACUCUGGUUAAGUUGCCUGAAGAACUUCUGAAGGGUAAACCAAGCCUGGAUACUAACUUAAUUGCUGGAGUACCCCCGGCUGAAAUUCUGGCCAGAUGUGAGUUUUUGGAGCCAUUAUCUGAAGCUACUUUGUCAGAUUAUGAGUAGCUGGUUGCUAAUCUGCAAAAACCUGCUCCUGUCUUGAUGAAAAGGGUGCAACAUUACUUGUCAUCAUUAAUCCAAAGCUUUCCAGCAAAAGCUACACUGAAAAGUUAAUGGCACUGCAUGCCAGUCAUUAUAAUGCUGUCAGGGCAAUUGGUUCAGGGCAACUGGGUCAGAGCAUAACUUCAUUGGGAAAAAAGGCUUCAGCUAGUUACCUAUUACAGUGCGCACUGAGAUGGCAGUUCUUGAGGUUUUAUAAGAAAUGAAAGAUGAGUGCUUGUUUGAACAAAGUUGUUGCCAAUCUCGCAGAGUUCAAGAAGAAAGAUCACAGAGCUAAUGCCACCAAUUUCUUCAUCAUUGUAGCCUGCAUAGUUGAAGUUUCCUCACUUGAAGCUGUUUAUGCAAACGCUUUUUCCCUGCUCAAGUACAGGAAAUUGAAGAAUUAACCAGAUAUGAUAUGCUGAAAGAGGGAAUUUCUUCCUUAGUGGCCUUUUGAUUUGUAGUGAAGGAGUAGGAUGAUCACUAGCAAGAACCCUAUCAAGGUAGAUUUUAUGAUGUUAACAUAUUAUUAAGCAUUUGUCACUUAGGAAUGAUACAUUCAUAGCAUGAAAUUAAUUAUAUGAUCCUGAUUAAUCAAUUAAUUUUCAUGAGUUUUAACCUAGGUAAAACUAAGUACAAUCGUCGUUAACAACUACUGAAAUUGGGUAAGUAUGAUCUUGACAUUGAAGAAUUUGAAAACACAACCCACAGAGGAAAUUACCUAUUGCAUGGGGAUGGAGAUGUUUACCGCAGCGAUACAGAGCAGUGUUGUCCACUGCUCUUUGGGCUAUGGUGUCACUAAUUCUGAUUACGUAAUUGACUCUGGAUCGGGUGGAAAUAAUAACACUUUAUUAACAUUGCAUAGUCCGAGUACUUUUCCAGGAUCAGAUACGACGUGGUCUAAUGUUGAUAAUAAUAGUUUAUUAAAUGACAAAUCGUUGUUCAAGUAGAAGAUGAAGGUUGUGCAGGUGAUUUCAGAAAUAAAAUACAUUCUAAGAGAUGCUGGUCUACUAUUGCAUGCCCCCAGAUUUAAGAAUCUUUUGAUUGGGGCAUUUGGCAACGAUUCGACAAAUUCUAGAUUCAAGCUCCUCCACCAAGGGAUACCAACUGAGUUAUCAAUUAUCGUAGCAGUUUCUAUGAACUAAAAUUUGCAAAAUAAUUUCUAGCCCCGUUGACUCCACCAACUAAAGUUUACAACUCUACAAUAAUAAUUUCUAGCCCCGUUGACUCCACCAACUAAAGUUUUUUAAAAUUUAAAAAAGUACAUAGAAUUCCACAACAAGCAAAACGUGUGGAAUUUAAUUUUUUGCCGAAAAAGGACAAGAAAAAUGAUAAGAUUUUUAAAAUGAGUGGAAGGUGAUCCAUAUUUUACUAAAACGACUUACCUCGAACAUUAAGAUAAUUGAUUUUUAUUUUUUAUUUUUUAAUAAUAUCAACUUCCAUAUCUUUCUAGCGGGUCCAGCUAUGUUGCAACAGUGAUACUGUACCAUUGUUGCUUUCAGCCAUUGGAUCUUACUAAUGUAACAGUACAACUAUAGAUCCAAUGACUGGUUGCAACUGUAAUACCAUACCACUGUUGCAACAUAAUUUUGCCCCUUUCUAACCCCCAGAAUAUGCUCACGUUCAAGUCUAUCUUGCUAAUUUAAAAAAAGAAAAUCAAAUCAACACCAAAACAAUGAAAAGUAAAGCUUUUGAAUUUCAACUCGAGCUAGCAAACGUAUUCAGCUUUUUCAAAUUCUUCCCAUUGCAUAUCUUCUUCCUCCAUCAAUGCAAUAUUUGAACGAUUAUGAAAGAGUUUAAGAACAUAAAAAAUCUCCAAGGUUUAUACGGUAUAACAAAUUUAAAUUCUCAAUUACAAUAGAUAAUAAUUAAACUAAUAAUUUUUUAUGUACUUAUUUUAGUAAUUUCACCUAAGAAUAAUAUUGUAAUUAGAAAAAAAAUCUAAUAAGUAGGGUGGUCUUAUAAAAAAUCAACUGGUCUCCCCCCCAUAUAAUUAUAAUCCUUCUAGAAAGCUAAUUUUUAUUAAAUAUUUGCUUUUUAAGUUAAUUUCAAUUAAAAAAUGUUUUAAGUUAUAUAUACUCUAAUGAGAUUCUGAAUUCCUUUAUUCCAAUAAUAAUGAAAACGUAUUAAAUUAGAAAUGAAAAAAUUGGUGUUGACGAUUCAACCUAUUUGGAUAGAUUACGUGAAUAAAAUUGAAAUUUUGAUUUAAUUUUUGUUUAUUGUUAAUUCUCAGGCUAUCUUAAUUUCAAGAAUUUAGAAUGUUAAUUUGGUCAUGGAUUUCAGCCCGUGAGUGUCAUAUUCUAGACUUAAUGGUAUCAUUCUUUGAUUGAGGGCAAUGACUCUCACUCCUCUUGUAAAAAAAUAUUUUCAACUAUUUUGAUGACUUAAAAAUUGAUAGAUUUAUUGUUGUCAUGACCAAAUUAUUCAUUUUAAUGAAAUAUAAUUAAUGCAUCAAAGUUACCAGGUUUAUGUUCUAUCUUAAUGCGCUUUUUUUUUUUUUUCAGUUAUCAGCUAUGCCCCUGAGGCAUUUUGUAGAGUAUAGCUUCUGCUUACCUCUGUUUCAUUUUUUUUUAAUAAAAAAACAAGGGAAGGUUUUUCCGAGUCAUCCAUUAUUUGAUUACCGUCAAUCAAGAAAACGACCAAAUUAAUUUCUCUCCAAAAUUUCCAAAAGCUAGAAAAUUUUGUUAUUUGAAAAUAACAUCAUUAAUUAUAGAGUGGAUCAAACCGCGUUAUUGUCUUUUAUAAAAUUGAUGUCUUUUUAAGAGUCAAUACAUUUUAUUUACGCAAACCAGUCGACAUCAACUUGAACUUCCAUAUUUUUAUUAUUAUGUUAUUUAUUUUAAUCCCCGAUUAUUUGAUUAGCCACUAUAUAUAUCAAGAAAGCGACAAAAUUUAUUUCUCAUGACUUCCAAAAACUAGAAAACAACAUCAUUUAUUAUUUUUUUGCAACCCUAAUUGACAUCAACUUUAACUUUAUUAUGUUAUUAUUUCAAUCCCCCAUUAUGACCUUUCUAAUCCUCCAUUAUGCAUCUUUUAUAGUGCAAAUUUAAUUGCACAUCUAAAUAAAUUGAUUAUUGUCACUCCACCACCAAUAUUUCAAAUAGUCACUAGACCAUUUCUGCCUUUAAUUUUCCCUUAAUUUUAACUGUUGACUGUUUUUAGCAUCUUAAAAUAUACAUUUAUUCCUUGAUUAUGUGAUAAAAUUAUGAAAAUAUCCAUUUUAGCUUAAAUUAAUUGGAAUAACCAUAAGCGUAACAUAAAUUAAUAGAACAAAAUUAUCAAGUGUAUGUUCUAUCUUACUUUUUGAAGAAUUUAACAUAUAUAAUGCUAUACUAUUAAUAAAUUUAUCAUUUACUAUAUAUGUUCAAAUAUUUUAUAUAUUUAUUAAUUGUUAUAUAGUCAAAGGAUGAAUGAUUUUUCAGGUCUACAUGAGUUGGUGCAUCUGCAAGACUCAAUUUUGACAACAAUGAUCUAAGGGGUAAUUUACCUUGGCGUUUGACAAAUAUAACCUCUCUUCAAGAUUUACUUCCAAUCUACUUACUGUAAAUAUCUCCUCAUCUCCUCUCAUUUAUAUGAUAACCCUUGAAGAUCUCACAUUUUCAAACGAUCAUAUUAGGGUUUUUAUUAUUAGCAUCAUUGUGUCAAUAAUAUAUGUUGCAGUAAGAUUUUUUCAGACCAAUUCCCUUCUUCAAAUAAUAAUGGAAAAGUAUUAAUUUAAAAAUAAAAUGAAUAUGCAUUGAUUAUAUCCUGAUUUUCAUCGAUUAUAGAGAGAGUUUCUCCAAAUCAACUCCCUUAUUCAAAUAAUACAGAAAAAAUAGUAAUUUAAUAGUAAAAUUAACAAGUGUUGAUUAUAUAUCCUAAGUUUCAUCGAUUAUGUGAUCAAAGUGGCAUUGUUGAUUUAUUUCUUCUUCAAUGUAAAUUUUUAGGUUAUCUAAAUUUCAAGGAUUUAAAAUCUUUGUUCAUGGAUUACACGCUUAUUAAUUUUUCUGCCAUUGACUGUCAUAUUCUAGACUUAAUGGUACCUUCCUUGAUCAAGGAUAAUUACUCUCUGCUCUCCUCUUAUAAAUUCUUCUUCCAUUAACAUCACUAGGAGUAUGUUGAUCUCUCAGACGUUAACUUCAGUGGAGAGUUUCCAAAUUGAUUGUCACAAAACAACACAAAAACUAGACACACUUGAUCUGUCUAUUAAUUCUCUUUCGGUAAAAUUAAUUAAUUUUAGGGGAAUAUUCGACCAACCUAUAUAAUUUUAGAUUGAUCAUUAAUUAAUUGGACGAAAAAAGUGCUUGUGCUUUUGUGGCGACAAUUGAACCAGAGAAGUGAAGCUGUAAAGAUUUGGCAGUAGUAAAUUGUUAGAAAGACAUAAAGACGAGUUCCCAUUAUUAUAAUUUUUUCAAAAAACUUUUUUACAACACAUGCACCUGGCCAAAAAUUUUAUUUUGCUAACUAACAAUAAUUGAGUAGCUGACCGUAUUGACUCCACCUACUUGCUAAAGUAAAAAAAUAGAAAUAGAAUUUCCACAAAAUGGCAAACAUGUAAAAUCUAAUAUUUGGCCGUGUGGAACAAAAUACAAAUAAAAAAAAAAGAAAAGAAAAAAGGCCUAAAGACUUUUAAAAUGUGUGGAAGUCUUUCGGCCCUUUUAUAAUGGUGUGUUUUUCAAAGGAACAAAUAAUAAUAAUGACACUUCUACGGUUUGUUUUGAUAAUCACACAUAUACUCUUUAAUUUGAUAAAUGGUUACACAAAUUUUGUUUACAAAAAUAUAUUAUUCAUGUUCUGUGUUAUUUUUUAACAUCAUAUUUUUAUUUAUUAUAAUUGUUUAAAGUUAAUUGUUAGGUUGAUAUAUAAUAAAAACGUAUAAUCGUUCUCUUACUAAACACACAUACUCAUAGUUUCUGUUCAUUUGUCAUCUCAAUCUCUCUCAUUUAUCCUUUAUUGAUAGCUCAAAACGCGUCACUGUGGAAAAUUAUAGCAAAACGACAAAUAUGGAAAAAAAUGGGAAGAAAAUUAAUGCAUGAAAGAGUUGCAGAAGACAACCAAAUAAGUCAACUAUACGCUAGCUGGGUGUAUAAAUUGUUAGAUGUGUUAUAAACAAAUAGCAUAGAGCCCUUUGGUUGGUUACAAAGAUAGAAAGAGUGUGUGUGUUUUUUAGAACUUAAAGAUACAGUUAGAAUGGGUGGUUCAAAAUAAAAAAUGGUGAUAAUGUUUGUUCUGUUAUUAAUAAUAUUAGAAGGUGGGGGGAGUGAGGGAUGUUUGGAUCAUGAGAGAUUUGCUCUUUUGCGACUUAAACUUUUCUUUGAUGAUCCUUUUAAUUAUCUUCACGAUUGGAUAGAUGAUGAGGGAGCAACUGAUUGUUGUCAGUGGGAAAGGGUUGAGUGCAGCAACACCACAGGCCGAGUGAUAGCGCUAUACCUUUUUCACACGUAUGGGGGAGAGGACAGCUGGUAUCUGAAUACUUCUUUUUUUACUCCCUUCCAACAACUUGAGUCACUUGCUUUACAUGGCAACAACAUAGCCGGUUUUGUUGAGAAUGAAGGUGCUUCGUCUAAUUCAAUUAAAUUACAUUUCGCUCUCGUAAUUUAAGACGAAUAUCAAGACUGAGCAGCUAUAUGCAUAUUCAUUCAAUUGACAAUUUUUGAAAUUACACCAAACAUCAUAUGUGAUCUUUGUUUUGAUUUUACUUGCAGGUCUAGAAAGAUUGAGCAACUUGAAGGGGCUUGAUUUAAGAGGAAACUUGUUCAACAAUAGCAUCUUAUCAUCUGUGGCUCAUCUUUCAUCACUAACAUCAUUAUAUUUAUCUGAAAAUAGAUUGGAAGGAAGUAUUAAUGUUAAAGGUACGUAAUUAAAACGUCAUCGCUUCUACCAACUCUUUCAUUAACAUGCUAAAAUAAGAUUCAAGGCUUUGAAUUCAAUUUUUUUUAUGAGUAAUAUUAGAAAAAUAGUUUUAAGCAAUUCAUAAAUACAAUUUUCAAUGUUUCUCAUAAUUUCAUCUUGUACUUUUGUAUGUCUUGACUUUAAGAUUAAAAAAAAAAUUACUCUAACUGUGAAGCAAAUACCCCAUGACUAAUUUACAAUUUUGUCCAGUUAAAAAUGAUAAAAUUUAUCAUUUGUUUAUAUUGAUUUAUUAACUCUAUUUUAAGUCUUAAGUCUUGGCGUCUUGGCAUGUUUGCAGAAUUUGAUUCCUUGAGCAACUUAGAGGAGUUGGACAUGAGCGGCAAUGAAAUAGACAAUUUCGAGGUUCCUCAAGGUACACAAUUAAAAUAUUAUUUAAUUAUAUUAAUUUAAUUCGUUUGAUUAGGGAAGGCCCAAAAUGUACAAAAACAUAAUUAAAAAAAAAAUAAAGAAAUAGAGAAUUCAUAUUAUUUCAAAAAACAAAAGGUAAUACUAUUAUUUCAAAAAAAGAAUGUAAUAAAGAUUUGAUUCCGGUUCUUUAAUCUUUAUAGCAAUUGAAAAACAAUGUUGCUCUUUUCCUAAAGCAUAAAAUAUGAAAUGAGUCAUAAUUGAAUUAGUCAUUUAUUUUGUUUAGAUCUAAAUUUAGACAAUAAAUUUUGAUUUUUUUUUUCAAUCCUAUCCUUAUUAUUAUUGUUAAACAGGUUACAGAGGUUUGAGGAAGUUGAAAAGCCUCUAUCUAUCGGAAGUUAAAAUUAGAGAUGGAAGCAAGUUGUUACAGUCAAUUGGAUCAUUCCCAUCCCUCAACACUCUUUACCUUUCAUCUAAUAAUUUUACCGAUAUAGCGACAACUACUACUCAAGGUAAGUAAAAGGUACAGAUGUGGCCAAAUUUAUAAAUAAAUUGUUAAUUAAUUAAUUUUUCCGUAUUAUUAAUAAAGCUAAAUUCGUCGCUCCUUCCUUCUAAUUCUAAACAGAGUUGGCAAUUUCACCAACUUGGAGUAUUUGACAUUGGACUUGUCCUCACUCCAUUUAAGCCUUCUGCAAUUGCUUGAAGAAUGAAUUUAUAUAUUUAUUUAUUAUUAUUAUUAUUGUUAUUGUUGUUGUUGAAGUGAGGUGGGCAAGCGUUCACUCAAUUAAUAUGUGGGGAAUUAAUAAUUACAAUCCAAGGUAGAAUUGUGGAAAAUUAAAGCAAAAUGAGAAAUAUGGAAAGAAAGGAAGAAAGUUAAGGGCAUGAAAGACUGGGAGAAGACUAAAGACCACCAAAUAAGUCAACUGAAAACUAGCUGGGGCCUGGCUGUACAAAUUGUUAGAUGUGUUUGUUAUAAAUAACAUAGAGCCCUCUUGUUGGUUGCAGAGGCAGAGAGACAGAGAGUGUGCAUUUUGUUAAUUAAAAAUAUAUAUAAAAUGGGUGGUUCAAAAUCCAAAAUGGUGAUAAUGUUAGUUUUGUUAGUAUUAAUAAUAUUAUAAGGGAGGUGGCGUGAGGGAUGUUUGGUGCAUGAGAGAUUUGGUCUUUCGAGACUUAAAACAUUUCUUUAAUUCUCCUUAUAAUUUUUGUCACGACUGACCAUUGUCAAUGGGAUGGGGCUGGGUGCAGGGUUGAUUUACGUUAGAACAAUAUAGCCGGUAGUGUUGAGAAUGAAGGUGUUUCAUUUAAUUUAAUUAAUUUACUUUCUCCCUCCUAAUUUAAGUGGAAUAUCAAGACUGAAUAAUUAUAUGCAUCUUCGUUCAGUUGACAAUUUUGACAUAUUUUUUUAAGUGAUUAAUUUUGAAAUUACACCAAACAUUAUUUGUGAUCUCUGCUUUGACUUUACUUGCAGCGCUAGAGACGUUACCAAGAUUGAGCAACUUGACGAUACUUGAUUUAAGAGGAAACUUGUUCAAUAAUAGCAUCUUGUCAUUUGUUGCUCGUCUUUCAUCAUUAACAUCAUUAGAUUUAUCUUACAAUGGAUUGGAAGGAAGUAUUAAUAUUAAAGGUACGUAAUUAAAACGUCAUCGCUUCUCCCAACUCUUCCAUUAACAUGCUAAAAUAAGGUUCAAGGCUUUGAAUUCAAUUUUUUUUAUGAGUAAUAUUAGAAAAAUAGUUUUAAGCAAUUCAUAAAUACAAUUUUCAAUGUUUCUCAUAAUUUCAUCUUGUACUUUUGUAUGUCUUGACUUUAAGAUUAAAAAAAAAUUACUCUAACUGUGAAGCAAAUACCCCAUGACUAAUUUACAAUUUUGUCCAGUUAAAAAUGAUAAAAUUUAUCAUUUGUUUAUAUUGAUUUAUUAACUCUAUUUUAAGUCUUAAGUCUUGGCGUCUUGGCAUGUUUGCAGAAUUUGAUUCCUUGAGCAACUUAGAGGAGUUGGACAUGAGCGGCAAUGAAAUAGACAAUUUCGAGGUUCCUCAAGGUACACAAUUAAAAUAUUAUUUAAUUAUAUUAAUUUAAUUCGUUUGAUUAGGGAAGGCCCAAAAUGUACAAAAACAUAAUUAAAAAAAAUAAAGAAAUAGAGAAUUCAUAUUAUUUCAAAAAACAAAAGGUAAUACUAUUAUUUCAAAAAAAGAAUGUAAUAAAGAUUUGAUUCCGGUUCUUUAAUCUUUAUAGCAAUUGAAAAACAAUGUUGCUCUUUUCCUAAAGCAUAAAAUAUGAAAUGAGUCAUAAUUGAAUUAGUCAUUUAUUUUGUUUAGAUCUAAAUUUAGACAAUAAAUUUUGAUUUUUUUUUCAAUCCUAUCCUUAUUAUUAUUGUUAAACAGGUUAUAGAGGUUUGAGGAAGUUGAAAAGCUUUGAUCUAUCGGAAGUUAAAAUUAGAGAUGGAAGCAAGUUGUUACAGUCAAUGGGAUCAUUCCCAUCCCUCAACGCUCUUUACCUUUCGUCUAAUAAUUUUACCGAUACAGCGACAGCUACUCAAGGUAAGUAAAAGGUACAAAUGUGGCCAAAUUUAUAAACAAACUGUUAAUUAAUUAAUUUUUCCGUAUUAUUAAUUAAGCUAAAUUUGUUGCUCCUUCCUUCUAAAUCUACACAGAGUUGCACAAUUUCACCAACUUGGAAUAUUUGGCAUUGGACUAUUCCUCUCUCCAUAUAAGCCUUCUGCAAAGCAUUGCAUCAAUAUUCCCUUCGUUAAAAAAUUUGUCGAUGUAUCACUGUGUAGUCAAUGGCGUCCUACGUGGUCAAGGUAAAAGAAAAGUGUUGAUUGUGAACUCGCUCAAUGGUGUCCUACGUGUUCAACAUUUUUAUUUAUUUAUUUUAUUGUUUAAUGUUUCUGCUAGGUUUUCCUCAUUUCAAGAGUUUGGAACAUUUGGACAUGGAUUUCGCGAGCAUUGCACUCAACACCAACUUUCUUCAAAUCAUCGGAGAAUCAAUGCCUUCUCUUAAGUACUUAUCACUAUCAUAUUCUAAUCUUAGCACUGACAGCAAGACUCUUGAUCGAGGUUAAUGAGAUGCUUCAACCCUCCCCUUUAAAUCUAUAAUAUUAAUUUUCGAUUAAAUAUAUAAUUAUAGAAACCAAUCACUUAUAAAAGAAUGCUAUGCAUUUGCCAAUUUUUUUAUAUUUUACUGAUUGAUGAAUUAAUAAAUUUUCAGGCCUCUGUUCGUUGGUGCAUCUACAAGAGUUGUACAUUGCAACUCUUGUAGUAAUUAAUUAAUUAAUUAAUUAAGUAUUAGUUAAUUAAUUAAUUAAUUAAUUUUUUGUAUUAUUAAUAAAGCUAAAUUUGUUGCUCCUUCCUUCUAAUUCUGAACAGAGUUGCACAAUUUCACAAACUUGUAAUAUUUGGCAUUAGACUCUUUCUCUCUCCAUAUAAGCCUUCUGCAAAGCAUUGCAUCAAUAUUCCCUACGUGGUCAAGGUAAAAGAAAAGGGUUGAAUGUGAACUCACUCAAUGGUGUCGUACGUGUUCAACAUUUUUAUUUAUUUAUUUAUUUUAUUGUUUAAUGUUUCUGCUAGGUUUUCCUCAUUUCAAGAGUUUGGAACAUUUGGAUAUGGAUUACACUCGCAUUGUACUCAACACCAGCUUUCUUCAAAUCAUCGGUGUAUCGAUGCCUUCUCUUAAGUACUUAUCACUGUCAAAUUCUGAUCGUAGCACUAACAGCAGCAGGAUUCUUGAUCAAGGUUAAUCAGAUGCUCCCACCCUCCCUUCUUAAUCUAUAAUAUUAAUUUUCGAUUAAACAUUUAAUUACACAAACAAAUCACUUAUUAUAAAAGAACAAUACGCAUUCAUUAAUUUUUAUAUUGUAUUAAUUGAUGAAUUUAAUAAAUUUUCAGGCCUCUGUUCGUUGGUGUAUCUGCAAGAGUUGUACAUUGAUAAUAAUGAUUUAAGAGGUAGUUUGCCUUGGUGCUUGGCAAAUAUGACAUCCCUCCGAAUAUUAGAUGUUUCUUCCAAUCAACUUACUGGAAGCAUCUCCUCAUCUCCCCUCAUUCAUUUGACAUCCAUUGAAGAGCUGAUGCUUUCAAACAAUCACUUCCAGAUCCCAAUUUCACUUGAACCACUUUUCAAUCACUCAAGACUCAAGAUUUUCAAUGCUUACAACAAUGAAAUAAAAGCUGAAAUAACUGAGUCACAUUCUUUGAUCGCCCCAAAAUUCCAAUUAAAUACACUCUUGUUGUCUUCCAGUUACGGAGACAGUUUCAUAUUCCCUAAAUUCCUUUACCAUCAACAUGACCUGGCGUAUGUUGAUCUCUCACACAUAAAAAUGAAUGGAGAAUUUCCAACUUGGUUGUUGGAAAACAACACAAAAUUGAGCCACCUUUCUCUCAUCAAUGAUUCUCUUGCAGGACCUUUUUGGUUGCCAAUUCAUUCACACACGCAGUUAAUACUGUUGGAUAUAUCCAACAACAACAUCCGAGGCCACAUUCCACUAGAAAUUGGAGAUGUUUUACCACGUUUAUACGUUUUCAACAAUUCCAUGAAUGCUCUAGACGGUAGCAUUCCCUCUUCAUUUGGUAAUAUGAAAUUCCUCCAAAUUCUGGACUUAUCCAACAAUCACUUGACUGGUGAAAUCCCCGAGCACUUGGCCGUGGGUUGCGUCAACUUGCAGGCUCUUGCAUUAUCAAAUAACAACCUACAAGGUCAUUUGUUCUCUAGAAAUUUUAACUUGACAAACUUGAAAUGGUUACAAUUGGAGGGCAAUCGCUUCGUAGGUGAGAUCCCACAAAGUUUGUCUAAAUGCUCCUCACUAGAAGGAUUGUCUCUUAACAAUAAUAGUCUUUCGGGUAAGAUUCCACGAUGGUUGGGUAAUCUCACACGGUUAGAAUAUAUUAUAAUGCCCAAUAAUAAUCUUGAAGGCCCUAUUCCAGUGGAGUUUUGUCAGCUUGAUUCGCUUCAGAUUUUGGACAUUUCAGACAACAACAUAUCUGGAAGUUUACCAUCUUGUUUCCAUCCUCUCUCUAUCAAACAAGUUCAUCUUUCAAAAAAUAUGUUACAUGGACAGCUAAAAAGAGGUACAUUCUUUAAUUGCUCUUCCCUUGUGACAUUAGAUCUUAGCUAUAACCGCUUGAAUGGCAGCAUUCCGGAUUGGGUUGAUGGGCUUUCUCAGUUAAGCCACCUUAUCUUAGGUCACAAUAAUCUUGAAGGUGAAGUGCCAGUUCAAUUGUGCGAAUUGAACCAACUACAAUUGUUAGAUCUUUCUAAUAAUAAUCUUCACGGUCCUAUUCCUCCUUGCUUUGAUAACACCACACUUCAUGAAAGUUACAGCAAUAGUUCUAGUCCUGAUGAGCAAUUUGAAAUAUCUUUUUUCAUCCAAGAAACUCAGGGAUAUGUAAAAGAGCAAAUCCAUGAAAUUUUUGAGUUCACAACAAAGAACAUUGCGUACAUUUACCAAGGAAAAGUGCUUAGCCUCCUAUCAGGACUUGAUCUUUCUUGCAACAAGUUAAUCGGUCAUAUUCCUCCUCAAAUUGGAAAUUUGACAAGGAUUCAAACAUUGAAUCUAUCACACAACAACUUGACAGGAUUGAUCCCAUCAACAUUUUCAAACUUGAAGCAUAUCGAAAGUUUGGAUCUUUCCUACAACAAAUUGAAUAGAAAAAUCCCUCAUCAACUAGUGGAGUUAAAGACAUUGGAGGUUUUCAGUGUGGCAUACAAUAACUUAUCAGGCGAAAUUCCAGAAUGGAAAGCACAAUUUGCAACCUUCAACGAGAGUAGCUAUGAGGGAAAUACUUUUCUUUGUGGAUUGCCAUUGCCCAUUUGCAGAUCACCAGCAACUACGCCAAAGGCUUCAAUUGGCAAUGAAAGAGAUGAAAAUUUAAUUGACAUGGACAAUUUCUUUAUCACAUUUACAACAUCGUACGUAAUUGUAAUAUUCGGAAUUGUUAUUGUUUUAUAUGUAAAUCCUUAUUGGCGACGUAGAUGGUUUUACUUUGUUGAAAUGUGGAUAAUUUCAUGUUACUAUUUUGUUGUAAACAAUCUUAUUGCAACAAGAUAUUGUCAGUGAAAUUAAUUAGCAGUUUAAUUACGAUUCUUUAAGUUCUAAUCAAGUUUGCUUAGGAAAUAAAUUUAUUUUUAUUUUUUAUUAAAAUUGUAGUAGUAUUUAGCGCUAUAUAGCUUCCAACUUCCAAGCACUUCACAUUUGUCUCUACACUUCCAAACCCAUAUCUAUCCAACAUAACUUAUACUUCCCUAUACUGUGCAGCAUACUUAAAUAAGAGAAUCAUCUCCAAUGUUAAAACCAACCACUCUAUAACAUUCAUUUAGAAACUAUAUUUAGAAUAGUUUUAUAAUCAUACACAAGAAAUGAAACACCUAGAUGCACUUGAUCGCCUAUUUUACUUUAAAAAAUAAUGAUUAUGGUGCUAUCAUCAUCUUCUUCACUAGCAACAUUAACACCAAAUCCAGCGAUGGACCCAGACAUUUAAUCAAGAAAGGUAUAUAUAUAAUAAAGUUGAAGCUUGACAAAAAAUUCAGGAAGAUUAAUGCAUCGCCACAACAAGAGGCACAACAGCAUCAAAGUAGAGAUGAAGCAAUAUUCUCAAAGCUAAAACUCUCAAAUCCACCCACCAGAAUUUCAUAUCUCCUCAACAAUUUUAAGAACUAAAGAUAAUUAGGAUCUAACAUUAGUUUUUUAUAUAUUAGUUUCAUAAUUUACAAAUCAAUGAAGAUGAAGAUUAUGCUAAUGAAUUCAAAUUAUACCAUACAUUCUCGAGAUGUUACCAAAAAUUUCUAAGUCAAUCCCACAUAUUUCAUAAUUUUAAGACUAGAAAAUUUCAUUAGUUAGAAGUUUCAUUACCUUCAAGUGGAAGAUGAAGAACAUUAUACAAUUGAUUCAGAUUAUAUCAUACAUACUCCAAAUGCAACUAGAAAUUAACAAGUUCAUGCACACAGAUUUCAUAACAUUAUGAUUGGAAAGUUUCGCAAAGAGAAAUUCUAAAUUCAAUCUCUUGCAUCAAGGUAGUUUGAUUGAUUUGAGUUACUUUCAAGUCAGGGAGAAAGUAAAUUAAAACAGGGAAAAAAUAACAGUAAAAAUUUGUUGCUAAACAUGAUGUGUAUUUUUUUUUUAAGGCAAUUUGGAAACACAGUUGUUACUACAGAUAUUCUCAACUUAGAGAUAACUACAAAUAUUAAAAUGCAUAUGAUCGCACAUAUUACUUGGAGCUUAGUAGGAUUUCAUUAAGAGAAGCAAUCAAACCACUUAUCAAUUGUUGCAAUCGUUCUAUAAGCUAAAAUAGCAAUAUAAUACAAGAAAAAGAACAUAUAGAUACUUGGCAAGAGUUCAUUAAGAAGUCGCAUCACAUUCGGGUGAGUUUGCUUCUGAUAUCUUGCUAGCUGGGGCUUUUUCUUGUCUUUCUGCGUAUGCCGAAGGAAACCAACCAGCUUGGCCCUUGCAUUCACCUUCUGACCAUCCAGUAGGAGCCACCUUGAGAAGUUAUAACUAAAACAGUGAAUUAAACAAAAGUUGACCGUUCAAAGACCUAAGGGGAAAACUAAUUCUUUUACGUAGGAGUGAAUUAGUUGUGAUCACUGAAAUAACAGCAUAACUAUGGAAGCAUAACAAGAUAUAAAUUCACACGUCUAUAAGGGUAAACUGGGUGGUUUAGAACUGAGCUAGCAACCCUACUAUAUUCUGAUUUGCACUUCAAUGUAAAAGGGAAUAUAUGGUAGGAAUAAAGAAAACCAACUAUCAUUUGUUAACUCAUUGCUUUUCAAUCAAAAUUUUAAGAACAAAAUGCCAUGUGCUUUGAACAUCAAAUAAGUAUAAGCAUUAGUUCUAAAUUCCACAUAUCAUAAGUUAGAAGGAUAAGUUAAUAGCAUAUUAGAAAAAUCUAUGUGUUGUUAUUUAGAGGGGAAAGUACCUGGCGAACCACAACAUAAUCAGCUAUUGAAAGACUUAGCUCUCCAUUUGCUUGAGCAACAAAUGGAUGUAUAACCUGCAAGAUAAUGGGAUAAAUAGAACUUAAUCUUAAAAAAAGCAUAACAAAAGCAGCAACAGUAGCAGCAACGUUCAUUGUAACCACUAUGAUCAUGGCCAACAAAGAUAUAUUAGAAACAAAAUUCCAUUUAUACUACGACAUUAAUAUGUACUAUAUGAUAUCAUGACGAUUGGGUUACCAAGAGCUAUCAAAGUCCAAUAAAUUCUGUAUAACUUUAUGUAGUUAUUCAAAUUAUGGAUCAGAUUUUAAAUCUGAAAUUUUGACUGCUCUCCACAAAACAUGGCCUAUGCGCAAGAAAGUCAUAGAUAAUGAGGAUUACAAGUGUCUGACAUCUUUUGAGUGAUGGAUUUAACAUGAGAGCUUAUGGUCAGUCAAUUUCCUCUGCCUAGUAAUAUAAGCUUUCUCGGCCAGAUUUAUCAUCAAAUACAUAGAUUGCCCCCAAGUCACAUCCAUAUAAACAUAGUUUUUCUAGGUAAACCAAGUAAGGAGAAUCAUAAUUCAGACAUAAUCAUAAAAAGGAACAUCUAACUUAAGAGAAAAUCUCAAAAAGAGGGAUGCUGAGCUAUCAGUCUUGUAUCUAUAAGCAAUAUCAAGACUUUACAUCACCUGCUACAUCGUGAAUGGCUACACAACUUUCAGUGGUUUGUCUUUCUUUGGCAUGCCUAACUCAGCUUUGAUGUUGCUGAGAUAUUGAUAGUAGAGACACAUGAUACUUCUAGCUCAUGCAUUCUAUCUAGCUCAUCCGACAGCUAUGUCUUUUUUAAUUCAUUAGUGUUUGCUAAACCUCAUGCUUAAAAGUCCUGUUGUUCUAAACAAAGUUUCCUAAGAAUGACUUCCUCAGCACCACAUUUGGACACUUUUAGAGCAAUUUAUUUGGGGGAAAAGAAUUUUCAAGGUGUUAACUAAUAAAUUUUAAAAAAUAAUUACUAUUUGUCCUACGAUUAUAUGACAAUUUAUCUGGGAUGAAAGGAUACAGACAGACAUCUUCCACUUUCAAGACUAAUCACUACUUCCGUAGAUGUUUUGCAAUAAUACAAAUACUUGACCAGAUGGUAGUGAUGGUAGAAAAAAAUUUUAUUGCUCCAAAAUUAAAAUAAGAAUGCAAUAUGUUAAGCAAAAGACUGUGCAACAUCAAAUUAAUUGAUAAGUUUGUAAUUCAGUAAAUUAACAACUUUCAUGGUAAAAUACAACAAAUUUCUUUAAAAAAAAAAAAAUCUUAAAAGACAGCAUUCAAUUUUGUGCGCAUCUUAUUUCUUAAGAUUUUCCAGGAGGGCAAUAGAGGGACUUUCACCUAUGCAAGAGAGCAGAAGCCUUACUUUCGCUAUAAAGUAGACGUCAUUCUGAUUAAUAUGCAUUUGCAAAUCAGCUCCAUUUGAAUCAGUAUUCUGAUAGACACAUGAGGCAUUUACAUCCAUUUCCAAAGUCACAUGUUGAGAGGAGGACUCAUUUGAUUGCUCCUCUAGGACCAUCUAAUUCAAGUAGCAAGGGAUGGAAGAGAAUAAAAAGUCACAAUUAUUCUUUUGCAUAAGUGAGACGAAAAUGAUAAAUGCAAUAUUAUCAGCAGUAAACAAGAAGAGAACACUCCAAGGAAUAGAUAGAUGCGGACAAGCAAGUUAAAAUGCACAGUUCCAAACCUCCGCAUACAACUUCUCUAAAAUAGCAAUAACGUGUUGAUGAUAUGUUUUCUCAGCAUCUACCUGCAAAGGCCCGAGACCAGGAAAACAACAAUAAAACCACUAGCUAAAGGAGAAAGUAAAGAAAGAAAUACACUUGACAUAAAUCUUGACAAGAAGCACAAUUUAAGACAUAACAAACCCCAAUCAUAUUGUUUAGAACUACCAUUCAUUAUUUCGUUAUUGUAGCAUUUCGAACAAGUGUUGACUUAAUUCAACAUUGUUGGAAAGAUAGGCUUUUAGAAGCGGAAGAAAGCCACUCAAACCAAAGUGAUUGUCCUUGUAUUGAUCAAGGGAUGUAAACAUAUUACAUUUGCAGGAUGAGUUUUAAUCACUUCCUGAUUUAUUUGGGUUGCAGUAAAACUAAGCGAGCAACUGUUUGACUUUCAAGCAACAUCUAAAUCAGCUAUUAAAAUUCAAAUAAAAUUAUAAUAGAAUAAUAACAGGCCAUCUUGCAUCAAAAUUAAGUUUAAUUUGUGAAUUUUUUUCUAUAGACAUGUUAGUUCCUGCUAUUGAAAUGUUAAAAGCUUUGAAAAAUUAUUCAAUAAAUUAUGCAAACAUUAAAAUAGAGGACAUAUUAAAAAGUUUCUAAUUACAAUGUUAAGAUUUCCUAUAUUUUAGCAUUUGCAUAUUUUAAUUUAUUUAAAAGCUACGUCGAUCAACUUUGGGCGUGAAGAUUUUAGCUUCUACGAGACUUGAUUGGAAUAUGCAUAAGGAAGAGUGUUAAAAUAUGAUGCAUCCAACGAAAGACAAACCAUGUGUAGUCUUUUAAUUAAGCCAAAGUAGCAGCUCAAACAAAUGACACUUGGACCAACAUGCAAUCAUGAAGUGGCCGGAAAAAGGACAAAUGCAACUUUGGCUUAAAUAAAAAAUAACAUGUGACUUGACUUUUCCUGGACAUGCAUCAUGUUAUUACAAGACAACAGAAAUCAGUAUGAUAGUACUAAAAGUUGACAAUAACAUGAAGAUAAGAGGCAGAAUGUCAACACAUGCAUAGGCACACACAAGAAAGUAUUAACAUAUAUACCAUAGCAAAAAGUCUUUGAUAUGUCAUCUGUUGCUGCUGUGAUUCAACUGACAGCAUGGCAGCUGUUGCUUCUCUACCAAGAGCCAUUAUUGUAGAUUUAAGCUCGGUCAAUCUUGCUUCUGCAUUUCGAAGCUUCACAGCACUCUCUGCUGAUAUAUCAGAUUCCCUUAUCUUUGAUCGGUGCCUAAAUACUUCAGCUGCCUGGUGAAAAUAUUCAAUAUAAAUCUAACAUAAUUCUCAUCUUGCCUUAUACAUGCAUAUGUUACCUCAAAGCUUGCCUGGGCUUCAACUUCAUGUCGAAGUUUGUCAUAACGAUGAGUCAGGUGUCGAGCAUCUUCCAAAGGUGCUCCGUUGAUUAACGCCCAUAGUGGCUUAGAUACCUACAUGUCCAAAAACCUGUAACAUAGUUAGAAAAAUGAAAAGAAAGAGCGAAACCUCAAUUAAAAAGUUCCUCCAACAUAAUCAUGGAAUUUGGGCCUACUUCAAGGAUAUAUAUAAGGAUAAUUUAUGCAAUUUUGGGUCUUAGGAUGAUUCAUAUUAGGUUAGUGUUCUUCUCUUCUGUAUUUAAGGUUAAAAUAGAAAUAAACCUAUGCAAAUAUCUAAAUUAGGGCUGUAAGACUUCCACAUGCAUCCUUCAGUCUCAUGGAUUUGAUUUUACUAUAGAUGCAAGUGUCUUUAUCGAAAAUGCUUGGAGUCAAUUGAGAGAACUCACAGCCAAUAACUUGUCACAUGCUAGUCUUUGCUAGUGAUGCAAGAAGUCACAAGGUCUCUUCAACAUUUGAACCAAUAAAAUUAUUAAGUCAUGGAUGUCACUAGCAAUGAUUUCAAUAUAAAACAUUAAAUAUUUCAAGUUGUAACUUUAAAAUGGAUUCUUUUAUUCAAUAUCUUAGAACUAAGUUUCCUUAUGAGAAGAUAAUAGUUUCAGUAGUAAUUUACAUGAAAUUUUCUAUAUUUGAAUUAUUUUCUAGUUAGGGAUGAACUAACCUGAUCAUGAAGAAUCCCAAGCAAAGUUUCCCUCUCAUUUUCCAUCAAAUCAUGUGAAGUGCCAAAUUGAAGAGCAGCUCUUGCAGCGCAAGAAUUGUCACUUUGAUUCUCCGCUCCAUACUUGCAACAAUCUUCAGCCAACUUUCUCGCUACAAUAUUUGAAUACAAAAAUAUUGUACACAAGAACCAGUCAAGAAAAUAAAAAAAAAUCAAAUAUUAUAACGAGAGCAAGAGCAAACAAACAACCUAUUUCCAUUUGUUUCAAGCUUACUGCAACAAACCCUUCAAUGCCACGGACAAUAUUCCUCUGAAAAUGCUGUGCUACAGAGCAUAUAUUCCAAAUUAUUGUUCAGAUAAAACCAUAGAAACCAUCAUAAUUAUCAACAUACAUUAAGCUCCGUUUGGUAAAUACUUGCAACUUCAGUCUAGAAAAUACAGUUGUUUGUACCAUAUUUGACAAAAUUAUUAUUUAAAAAUCAUAACUAAUUACCAAAAGCCACAAUAAAUCAAUAUCAAACAGAGUCUUAUUAUUAGCUAAAGGAGGAUGGUGCCUUAGCUGCCCUGGUGGAAUUGUAUAGAUUUUAAAGUUG